rnacentral:lncRNA from 1 species
GGCUGGUAAGGACUAAGAAUUGAUGUAGCUAGAAUGCGAAGAUGAUAAGGUAUGUUGUGCACUAUUGUUUUAUUCUAUAAUCAAUCUUGACCCUUGAUGCUUGGCUCUCAAUCUUGUCCAUUGAUCUUCUCUGAUUUUGGAGACUUGAAGACCUUUCAGUAUCAUGCCUUGUUGUUGGUGUCUUCCAUGCUGUAGAACCGCCGACUUGCCAAGUAUUUGUUCAUUGACGCAUUUUAUCAAACAGUUGGCCUGCUCAUAGCAAAUAGCUCCUCUUUUAGAGCUUUCGAAUUCAUGCCAAUUAAUUUUCAACUAGGCUAUUACCACAAUAAACAUUUAGAAAUCUAAAUUUGUUCAUUAUAUAUUCUGAUCAUCACUUGAACAUCCAUGCAGACUCCUAUUAAUUAUAUCCUCUAAUGGAGAGAACUCAUUGCCUCAGUAUGAUCACUGUGUCAUCAACCCACUGCCCGCUUCUUUGCUUGGUUGUUGCAGCAAGCAACAAUAUUACCACAGAUCAACAAUAGUUUGUCCAUUUUUUUCAGUAAGGUCGUCAUUAAAAAUUAAUUUUCAUAUUGAUUUUCUUAAUUAUAAAUAAUACUAAUGAUAUUUCAUAGUUAUAAAUAUAUUAGAAUUAAUCAAAAUCAUUUUUUAGUGCGGCAUGGCUAAAACUACCUUUUUUUUUUUUUUUAUAAGUAAUUACUACUUUAAGGAAAAUACUCGUAUUUUCAGGAAAAAGUCAAGUACCCGUAGUUGUGAAGACUCGAGCUCACCCUCUUAUGAUAAAUCUUCAUAUCAAUUACAUAAAUAUCCUCUAAAUGUUUAGUUAACUAUUCAAAAUUCGAUGUUAUAUGGGUAUUUCAUUUAUUUGAGUAGGGGUUAGGGGUCAAUUGGAUACAAAUUCAAAAUUAUCCUUACUUGAGAAGGUGAUAAACAUUGGGGAUUUAGUUUGGGUGUCAUUAGCUACAAAUAUUAAACUCAUACAUCUAAUUCAAAAUUGCAUCCAGGUUCAUUGCAGCUAAGGCUUGUGGAAUUUCAUCAGUAAGAUGUGAGUAGUCAUACCUACGUCGACAUUCAAUGGCUGUAUGUUUCUGUAAAUGACAAAUUUGGCAUAUGACAGUUUCUUCAUUGACUUCCUCAGCUUGUUGUUUGGAUUGAUUCUGAAUUUUGUGCCAAGGCUGUCCAGAAUUAUUUUGUCGAGGUUGCUGCCACUGUUGUCCCGAAUUUCCUUGCCAUGAUUGUUGCCCUUGUUGACUUGGAUUAUUGUUUGAUUUUUGCCAUGGCUGACUUGCAUUAUUAUUCCAACUUUUUCCACCAUUGUAGUUGAUUUUUUGACCACUUGAAUCAGCCAAAUUUUGUCCUCCUGCUGCUGUAAAACCACGACCUUUUGAGUUAAAGAAACCUCCAUUUCCACGACCUUUUCCCUUGCCUCAUUGGCUAAAAAAGGCUUGAGCCAGAUUGAUUGUAUUCUUCUUUUCUUCUUCAAAAUUAAUAAGAGUUUGUUCAUGAUUUUCGAGGGCCAUGACAAACUGCUUAAAUGAGGGAUAAGGUGGUUUCGAAAGUUGAGCAAGUUUGAAGUCUUGAUACCUGUAGCCAAGACCUCUUGCAAGACCAAAGACUUCAUCUAAGUCAUUCACUGGCUUAUUUAUUGCAGCCAAACAAUCACAGAUAUGCUUGUAUUUGCGCACAUACUCUUCAACUGAUAGAGAUCCCUUUUUAAACCGAGAGAAUUACUAUAUUUACACAAUUAACCUUGGCUAGAAUUAAUUGUGCAGAUUGGAUGAUAACUAGAGAAUAGAAAUGAAGAAAAGGAAGCACACAACACCGAGAAGAGUAAUAAUUAAUGCUGCCAUUGACGAAAUGUUUUAUAUUACUCUUCUUUCUUGGUAUUUAUUUAUUUACAAUUUUUAAUGUAAAUGUACAGUUGUUGGGCUAAUAUCUUAUUUACUUUUGAACGUAUUAGAUGCCUUUUUUUUUCUUGGUUCAUAAUAAUUUUGUAGAAAUUCCUCAAGUUUGCCUAAAUGAUAGCACAUAUUCAUAAUUGGAUUGAUUGAGUAAUAAUAAAAUAUAUUUAUUUGGCAAAUGGCAGUUAGGCUUUCUUUUGAUGCAGAUUAAUUAGAGAGAAUAUAUAACAAUUUUAAGCUCGUCAGAUUCGGAAGCUGCUUAUCUGUCGUGUGGGGAUCACUUCCGUGUCUUAUUUUUCUAGAAAAAUCUGGACCAUUGGAUUUCCCAUUAUUCAAUAGAUAAAUGUUUGAUCUUGAUUCUUGAUUAAGAUCGAAGUUUGAUUCUAACCAACAUGAUGUCAGAUUCAGAUUGCGAAGCAAGCAAAUUGAAAGUAACUUGUUCUAUUUUGAUAAACACAAGUUCUAAUAAAACAUUCUCAUAGUAAAGUGAAUUACCAUCCAACGAUCCAACUCAUGUUUUCAAAUUGUAAAUUGCAAAUCGUGCGUUUGCUCCAUUACAGCGUUUCUUCAAUCUGAAAUAGAGAAUCAUUUGUGUUUUGGAUUAAUCGUGGGUCUAUAUCCAAAUCUAAAAAUUGACUAAUUUAAUUUCUAUUAAAUUCUUAAUCCUAACAAGAAAAAUUGAAGAUUAAAAACGACUAAUUUGGUACCAUACCACUAUUGUAACAUAGGUAGAUCCUCUAUUAAUUGGAGUAAAGAUUGAAUUAUCUCAUUUAUUAAGGUUUAUCAAAAUCUUGUGUCAAAAUCUAUUAAUGAUAUAGGUUCAAGGAUGAAAGAGUCACUUCAUUACUUUUGAGUUCCCAAAUAGAUGAAUGGAUGUUAUUUUUGGAUUCCGGAGAGUCGAAAAUAUUAGGAUAGGUGCUAAAUCGAAUUAAGUUGUAGAUAAGAUAGAAAUGGAUUUGGAGAGAUUGGAAUCCUAGGUAAUCCGGUGCACGUUGUCGUGUUAAAUUCUCGUUGACUUCACGUUGACUGAAGCAUUAUUGGAAGAAACAAGUUUAUUGAUGUGAGGCCUUUGAGAUUGUAAGUGUUAAAUCUGAGAAGAAUACCCACACAACCAUUAUCCUAUUACUCUUAUAUCACGUGAAGAGAAUUCAACAUUUGAUUCACACGGAAAAAAUUUGUGAGGAUUGUGAGGGUUGAUGCAAUAUAAUUUAGAUACAAAGUGUUUACCAGUGCGAUGCUUCGCAAGUGUUCUUGAAUCAAUAUAAACUCACGUUAUUUUCAUAGUGAUUGUUUCAUCUGCACGUGGAUAUAAUCACAUGUCGAGAUUUUUUUUUCUUAAAUUAUGGUCUUAUUUAGUAUUGCGGUGUUAUAUCUUUUAAGGUACAAUUAUUGUUGGAAAAAAGUUGCAACUAUUAAAUAAAAUUAAUACUAUGUGCUAAAUAUAAUUGUUAAAUAAUAAUUUUGACAAAAUUAGUGAAGUUAUGUAGAUUUUUUUUCAUCAUACAAGUAUAAAAUCAAAUCAACUUAACUUCUAAGUUCUAUAUCAGCUACUGUUUAUCAUAUGUUUUAGUUCUGUAACUUUUAAGUUAUAGUUACCCAACCUCAAUUCUAAACCAGACCUAUAAAGAUCAAAGAUUUCCUCAUUAAAUUAUAUGUCUUGUGAUUGCUUAUUUAAUUUAUAUUUUUUUUAUUUAUCUUUAUUAAUUAUAAUCAUCUUUUUAUAAAUUAAAAUUGAAGGAAGUUGAUUGAUGUUGUUGACACACACACACACACACGCACGCACGCACGCACUCACAAAGAUCACCACAAGAAAAUAGAGUAUUGGCUACAAAUUCUAUUGCAACAAAACUUACUUUAUUGCUAAAAUUCAUAUCUUGCAACAAAAAUUAGUCUUUAUCGCUAUAGCUAAACAGAUUUUAUUCUUCUUAAUGAUGUGGAAUAGGCAAGAAAAUUAGAAUAUAUGGCAACAAAAUAUUUUCUUGCCCUAUGCUAUGUUUGGCAACAAAAGUGUUCUUGUUGCCUAACAAGCUUAAUGAAGGCAAAAUAUGUUUCGUUGCUCAAGUUUUUCCACAACAAACACUUGAAUCAGUUGCAACAAAUGAAAUAUUGUAAAAGGUUGUGAUUAGCGAGAAAAUUUGUUUUGUACUCUCAGAGUUUUUUGCAACAAGAUUAAUUUUGUUGCGCAAAGGUUAACAAAAAUAUUAAAUUAAUAAAUGAAAAUAUAAAGAUAAUAUAAAAGCAAACAUGACUUUGUGGGAGGCUUUUUAAUUUUUUAUUUCCGCGCCCUUUAUUUAAUAAACCGCGUGCUAACCGAAGUAAAGUUUCCAUCUCCAAUUUUUUCUUAAUUAAAAUAUUGCUUCUAGAAUAUUUCCACUUUACUCUUCGCUUGUUUCUUUUGCCCUGCCUUGGAGUCAUUCUCUCUGGCCAAGCUUUAAGCCAUUGAAGAGUUGUACUUGGAAGGCACCACUCAAGACAACGAUUUCUUCAAGUAAAUUUAGUUUUAUUUUAUAUAUUGGCCUGUUGAGUUUGAUUUUGUUUAGUGGGUUUUGCUUUAAUUAUUUAUUAAGUGGGUCUUUGUUUCAAUUUUUAAUUUGUUAAAUUAAAGUUAAUGGAUUUUUCAUGGUGAAGAACUUGAGUUUGUGGACAAUAGUCAAAUGAAUGUAGGAUCUAUGCCCAGUAAUAGGAUCUUUCAUGUUAUAAUUUCUUUGACAAAAUUAUAGUUAUAUUGAUUUAUUUUUAUGUUGAUUAUUAAUAAACUCUAAUGUAUAUUUUUAAUAAUUACUAGAUGGGUCCUGGACAUAGAGUUACCAAACGUGUAAGAGCAGAAAUUGUUGUCGCAUCUACAAUUCCCCAAUCUCAGCCUGUUAUGCCCAGCCAAGAGUUUGUGCAAGGUGUUGUUACAACUCUAGAAUUUGGUACUUAAAGAGUUUAAUUGGUAGGUUUUGUUUGAUCGACUAUUAGUAAGUACUUAUGAUUAUUAAUAUUCUUCAUCUGUCAUUUUUUUUAAUUAUAAACUGAGAUAUCUUUUUUUCCUAAAUUCAGUCAAAUUUUGAGAUUGAUUUGAACUUACCACAUGUUCGUCGAUGUGUGAAUAACAUUAUGGGUGGGAGAUAUCAUGAUAUGAGACAUUGGAUGUAUGAUCAUUACUUGGAUUAUCCAUCCUUUGAAGAGGCACUUAAGCAUUCAUAUCCAGGCAUAUGUCCAGAUGAUUGGGCUUGGCUUUGUCAUAACAUUUACAAUUCCGCAAGUUUCCAGGUCCAAUGAUAUUCAUAUUAUGAACUUUAAAUUGUCCAACUAGUUGUCAAUAUGCUUGUAUAUGUAUCUUAUUUUCCACUGUUAUAUUUUUUUAAUGUAGACUCAAUCUACCAAAAACAAAGCUAAUCGUGCUAAGCUUCCAUAUGUCCAUUGUGGGGGAUCAAGACCUUUUGUUAAUUAUCUUGAGGAUGACAUGGUUGAUGGUGAAAUAGAAUUAUUUCGCGUCACUCAUUUCAGCAAGACAAAAGGUUGGGUGAAUGAGGUGGCACACUUAAACCAUGUAAGAUGCUUUGUUGGAAACAAAAUUUUUAAUUUUAUUAUUUCUUAUCACCUACAUACUGUUGAUGAAAGUUUACUCAUUGAGUUUUUUUUCUUAAUUUUUCUUUCAUGCUCUAAUUAACUUUAUUAUUUGAAAUAUCAAAUAAUUAGAUUUAUAAGUAUAACAACAAGUUUUUUUUUUUUUCAAUUUAUGUCUUAAUACAAAUUAAUUCCAUGACCAAUGGAUUAAAUUUCAACUAUUUAAUUAAUAAAAUUCUUUUUUUUCUUCCUUCGUUUACUAACAAAGCUUUACGUAUAGGACCAAAUGGUAGAGAUACAACAACAACAACAAAUAGAUCCUCAAGAAGCAAAACCACUAACUCAAAGGGAAAUAUGCAUUGAAGUACUUGGAAAGAAAACAUGCUAUUUUCGAGGACUUGGCAACGGACCACGCCCAACUUCAAACCAUGGUGUUGAUACUUCUGAGGCUGAUAGAUUGCAUGGUAUUAUAUCUUCACAACAAAGUAGAUUGGAUUCACAAGAUGUUGAGCUUCAAGAACAAAAGAAGACUAUUGAUCAAUUGGAGUCCAGAUUGUCCCAAUUUGAGGGUAUGAUGCAGCAAUUUUUUUCUUCUCAAGGAUCCGCUUUUCGCUUUACAGAUUCAGCUACUCAAUGAUUACUCAUUUCAAUGAUGUCCUUAGAGUAUCUUGAACUUGUUAGUAUUUUGAAUUGGUCAUCACUUGAUCUUUUUGGUUACUGCUGGUGCAUGUCAUAUCUUUAAGGAUUUGGAGUUUGGAGCAGUUGUAAUUAGAGAUCGUUUAUAAUUUUUGCUCAUUACAUUUUUGGGAUAGAUGACAAUCCACUUUUGUAUUUGACUAUCAUAUGUGAUUCUUAAAGUCAGUUUUGUAUAUAUAUAUAUAUAGCUUGGAUACUGAAUGGGCCUUUAACUUUUAAAUUAGUUCAAUGACAUUAAUGAUUUUUUUGUUAGAUUUCUCAACAUAUAUUUGUAGUUUAUUAUUGUCAUGGUGGGGGAAAAAAUUGGUAUCUUUCCCAACGAACUUGGUUUGCUUCCUUUUAUACCAUGAUAUUAUUAAAAAAAAUUGUACUAUUUUUUAAUGACAAAAUUGAUUUGUUUCUAAAAAUAUUUAAAUAUUUAUUGCAAAUUUGUAAAAUUUUCAACAUAAAGAAACAAAGUAGUUUUGUUGCCUAAAAUGAUCUUAGCUAACAAACACCUUUGUUGGUACACGUUUUUUUUAUAAAAUGUACUUUAUUUCUUAGCAACAAAUUAGUUUUGUAGUAAAUAACUAUAUAGAAACAAAAUUAUUUUGUUGUGUAAAACUGUUUAGCGCAACAAAAAUGUUUGUUGCCAAAUUAUUCUCUAAACAAGUUGAAGACUCCUUCACAACGAAUCUGUUUUGUUGCGAAAGGAAGUUUGAGGCGAGAAAUGUUUUGAUAUGUUGUUAAACAUAGAGGGCGACAGUGCUAGGCCGACGACGGGCCGACAAGCUUGUUUUUGUAGCAAUAACCUAUGGCAACAAAAUUGGCACUUUAGGCAACAAAAUCUUUUUGUUGCAAAAAGCCAUUUCUGUUGUGGUGGAUAUAUUGGAAGUGCUUAAUUACGUCGACUCGAAGUUGUUGGGAAUUAAUGCAUGUAUUGAUUUAUUGGGAGUGUUUAAAUGAUUUUGUGAUUUACUUGAUUGAUUGAAUAUUGUUUGAUUGCUUCAUAUCCAUUCUACAAAGUUUAUUUCUUUGUGAAAUUUCAACGAAAUAUGUUUUUUUUUUUUUAAAUAAGGGUGUUCUAAAUAAUUUUAAAAAAUAUAUGGACUAAUUAGAAUUAAUUAUUAGGUAAUUAACUCAAUCUGUACAGGGUGAAACAACAUUUAUCCUAAUUAUAUCAUGAUAAAUACUUUUCUGAUUAGAAUUAGGAAAUCAUAGGUUUAUUGAAUUGUUUUUUUUUUCCUUUGCGGAAACGGAUUAGAGAAUUAGAAAACAAUCAUGUUGAUGUCAAAAUCUGAUCUAGUCGGUUAGCGACUUAACAUCAUAUUACUGCACCAGUAUUAAAUUUAUUUGGUAGAGAAUCGGCUGGUCAAUUGUCAAGAUGUCCUGCAAUCACUAGCGAUUAACCUACGAAUACAUGAAAUCAUAGAAGACGGUAAGAGCCACCAGAAGUUUUUUCGUCGUGAAUCUUCUGACGCUCAAGUCAGUUUAUAGGUUUACCAUAAUAAAAAUAAAUAAUUUCUAUUUAAAACAAAAAAUAGAGAUCAAAAGCUCAAAAAUAAAACCCAAUCCCAAUAUGAAAAUGAAUUUCUUUUUUUUUUUUAGCUUGGCCGAAUCCUUCUGCCUCCUAAAGAAACAUAAUAGAGGAGCAGGUAGCCAUGUUCCCUAGGUAACGCCCCACUCCCCUCUUUUAUUCCUCCCCCUCUCUUCCGUUUCCUUCUUUUGCUCACUAUCCUUUAUAAUUUUUUAUGCUUGUCUUCCCAAAAUAGCCUUUGAAUACACAAGUAAAUGUCUAGGCUUUGGUGAGGAUAGUUUGGUUAUUGCAUUUUACAAGUAAGAUGAGUGGUGGAGAAAAAUGAGGAGUGCAUAUAACUCUUCAGCAAAUCCCACCAACAAUUCAAUUUUCUUAAUUAAUUAAUCUCCUUUUUUAUCCCCAAACAAAUCCUAAUGAUACUAUUAUCAGGUUUAAAACAGUACAUAAAUAGUGAAAAGCUAACUAGUCUGUAGAGUAAUUGCUAAUUGCUUUCUCCUCUCUGAGCGCGCUGAAUAAUUUGUUGCAUGCAAACUUUUUAUUAUAUGCAAAUCGUACGUACUGUAACAUUGGAAUUGAUGUAUAAGCAAAAAUACAAGAAUAUUUAUGUCAAUAAAAAUAGUUUUUUUUUCCUUUUUAAAUAAACACAACGCGAUGUUGCUCUUCUCUACAUUUUUGCUAUCUCUUUAUUCUUUUUUUUUUUUUUUGGGCUUCUUAAAGCCUCAAACUUUGAUAACCAAAACUUCAUCGACCUAUGAAAAAAAUCUGCAGAUUAGUUUUUAUUAUCGGAAUAAUUGUUUGAGAAUACUAAAACAAAAUAUAAAAUAAGAAAAUAGGAGGUUAAAUUAGAGGGGGGGGAAAAAGGCAUGUUCUAUCGAUUACUAUAGUUUAAGGGAAAAAAAAAUCCAAUUGGGAAUUUUUUUCUUUAAUUUUUGUUUUACUUGAUUGAGAUUUCUCCUUAGUCCUUACAGUUUUAAGUUUGGAUGCCGUAGGGUUAGUAAUUUAGUACUUCCUUUGCAAGCUGAGUGCAAGAAUGAAAAUCUUUUAAGAAAUUAAAAAAGAUUAAAAAAAAGCAUACCAAUAGGUAAUUAUAAAUAACCAUAAAUAAACAUAAACAAAAUGUUUAUGAAGUAAAUUACACAUGCACAUAUUUUUUUUUUGUUUUAUUUCUUACUUGUCUAUUUUAUUUGCUGCUUGAUAACCCGUAAAUACUAAUCUAUUACUGCUAAUUCCAGACACAAAAUUUUUAACUCUAGGCUGCAGUUUUACUCAAAAUGAUGACCACUGGCUUCGCACCAUUUAACCGGCAUACAUUUCUACAAAUUGAACAAGGCUAUUGAUUUUCAUUAUUAUUUUUUAUUUAUUUAUAAAUUACUAUUUUAAUUUUCACUUUUUAUUGGGUUGUUUAACGGAUUAGUGAAGUUGGUGGUCGUGAUGCACUCACAAGGUACAAUUUUAUUUUAUAAUUUCAAAUUUGUAUUUUAAAAUACAGGUACAUUAUGUAUACAUAAUUAUUGAUUUUCGUAUGUGGGUGUUUUGAAAUAUUGCUAAAAGACCAAACUUUAAUAAACUAUUUUUCAUCUUUUUUUUUCCUUUUUUCCUAGAGUUUGAGUGAUAUCCGCAUUUUAAAUUCAUGAGGAACAAAAGCUAAUGUAUGCACAAAAUUCUUUUAUUUUUUCCUAGAAAAAUGGGUAAGAGAAGAAGAUUUUUCUCUUGAAAAAGAAAAACUAAUACGAUGCAAGCAUAGGAAAGAGGUCAGUGUUUUUGGAUUAGAAUUUAGUAUUGAGCUGAAUUUUAUACUAAACUCUUUUGUGGUGCUGCGAUUAAUAAACUCAUGAUUUGCUUUUGCUUUUACUUCAAGUGAAAGAAAGAGGAAACCUUUUGUUUUUUGUUUGAUUCUUGACUAUAGAUGUUACCUAUAUAGAGAGUUGAGGUAUCUGCCUUAAGUGAUGGUGAUAAAAAGAUUAAGCAGCGCACACAAUCUUACUGUCGUCCAGACCAUCCAGCUGUGAUGACUCUAGUUUUUUGGUUACAUUAGCUUUAGUGGAAAGGAGGGCCAAUUUAACAAAGACUAGAUUUGGUGGCUUACUAUAAUGCUUAUUCUCAGGGAAUCUAAUGUUAUAAGAUGAUUUAAUGAUCUUCUAUGAUUGUGAGUAGUAUAGUAUAAUUGAAAAGAGUCUGGGCUUCUAUGAUGAAUAUAUAAUAUUAACACAGUACUGUGAUUGAAAAAAACACAGUUACAAUAUACUCUUCAUUUAUUCAUUGCGGAGAUUAAAUGGCAAACAGAGAAUAAAAUGAAGCAGAGGGAUCUCAUUGCCAGUAAAAUUGACCCUCUUUAAUGUUAUAUGGCACAGGUGUGUGUACAGCAAGAGCAAGUUACUUGCAGUUUUUAUUGUAAAAUAUACAGGUUAUGACCAUGAUCAUUGUAGUUAGGUUUUGAUGAUUUUAGAUGCUUUUUUUAUUUUUUUAAAUUGUGACACCUUUGAUUUAUGGUAGUUUUGCAGAAGAAAAAAAUAUAAAUAAAAAUUAGGAGGGAUGAGUUAACUAACGAUUGCAAUCAUUACUGUAAUGUUGAUGAGUGAUACAUCAUUUGAAAUGUACUUGUCAGUUGCUGAAAUGAUGAAAAAAAACAAUAAACAAUAGCAGUAAUAUUUUUAUGGAAAUUCAUGGUUUUUAUGGAAAUACUCUUGCUGAAAUUCUAAUUUUGACUUUCAACUCUUGGUUUUUAUGGAAAAUAAAAUGACUUGUUUAUUAUAUUCAUACAAUCCACUCUACAUAAUGAUUUCAUUUUAAUAAAUGCUUGAUGAUCUCCACUGAAAAACUACUUCAAUUCUUUUGUUUUUUUUUAACUUUUUGGUUGUUGAAAAUAGCCUUAAUUUUCAAAUAACUGGAGAAAGAGUAAAGAACAUUUAACAAAUUUAUGUGCCAAAAAUAAAUGAGAAAUUGAAGAGAAAGGGUGCUUGCAGAAGUGGGUGCAAAGAUAAAUUAGUCUAUAAGAAUUAUUGUGGUUAUUAAUUUUUUGGCAAUAUAAAAAUUUUUCAGCAAAUAAAAAUUGAUUUUUUCCGAUUUACUAAAAAAUUAAUUAAAAACUUUGGCGAUAGCAUUUUUUAUGGGGCAUGUACCCUCCCUUUUAAAAAAAAAUAUAAUAAUUAAUACUUAAUAUAGUAUUAAAUACGAAAAUCUCAAUAUUUGACUACACAAAUUUAUAUCAUUAGGUCCUUAAAAUUUAAAAUUGAAGACACAUAAUGAAAUAUAUAUAAAUUUUCAACCUCAUAGGAAAUGAUCCUCUUAUAAUCUUAAAAUAUUUGAGAUUUGAAAGAUUUUUUAAAACAAAUGUACUUUUAUUUUUGUACAAUCAAUAUUUACUUAUUUAUUAUAUUUUUAUUCAUUAACUAUCAAUCAUGUGAGUAUAUUUACUCAAAAAUAUCAUAUCAACGGAGCAUCUUGAUCCCACGCACACGCAAAUAUGUUAAUUUCUAUACGCUUCACUUACCUCUAGAAUCAAUUAUCUAAAAUGCAAGUUUGUGGCCACAAAAAAAGCCAAAGAAAGAAGAUAACAAUUGACUUGUAUAUUAUACUCAUACAAUCCACUCGACAUAAUGAUAUCAUUUUAAUAAGGCAAUGGCUGAUGAUCUCCAUUGAAAAACUAAUUCAAUUUUUUUGCUUCAUUUAACUUUUUGGUCGUUGAUAAUAACCUUAAUUAUCACAUAAUUGGAGAAAGAGUAAAGAACAUUUAACAAAUUUAUGUGCAAAAAAAAAAAAAAAGGAGAAGUUGAAGAGAAAGGGUGCUUGCAGAAGUGGGUGUCAGAGAAAAAUCGGUCCAUAAGAAUUAUUGCGGUUAUUUUUUGGCAAUAUAAAAUUUUAUAGCAAGUAAAAAUUAAUUUUUUUCCGAUUUAUUAAAAAAAUAACUAAAAACUUCUGCGACAGCAUUUUUAUGGGUGCAUAUACCCUCCCUUUAAAAAAAAUAAUAAUUAAUGCUUAAUAUAGUAUUAAAUACGAAAAUAUCAAUAAUUGACUACUCAAAUUUAUAUCAUUAGGUCCUUAAAAUUUAAAAUUGAAGACACGAAAAAAUUGAAGAUAUGAAAGGAAAUAUAUAUAAAUUUCAUUCUCAUGGAAAGGAUUCUCUUAUAAUCUUAUAAUAUUUGAGUUUUGAAAUUUUUUUGAAACAAAUGUAAUUUUAUUAGUGUACAAUCAAUAUUUACUUAUUUAUUAUAUUUUAAUUUAUUUAUUAUAUUUAGUCAGAAAAAUUAUAUCAAGAGAGAAUCCUAAUUUCACGCAAACACAACUACAAGACAAAUAUGUUAAUUUCUAUACUAUUCACUUUCCUGUAGAAUCAAUUAUCUAAAAUGCAAGUUUGUGGCUACAGAAAACUCGCCAAAGAAAGAAGAUAAUAACAAUUGAGCAUUGAUAGCAAAACUAAUGCAUCCAAUUCUUCUUGACUUGAUGAGAUGGCGCCAUAACGUAGAAACAAGUACCUAAAUUGACCGGCACUGAGUGAUGUGAAUACUACCAGCCAGUUCAUCUCUUCCAGUCUUGCUUAAUCACAAUCACAAACACCACGAGAUCGACAUUUGCAUUAUAUAUAUCUUCAGCAAUCGAAACACCUUGCAUUACCAAAUUAACCAGUAACAAACAAAGCAAUGUUUCAUGGAGAGAAAGCUUAGUCUCAGUAUGAUCAUUGUGUCAUUAACCCACUGCCUGCUUCUUUGCUUGGUUGUUGCAGCAGCAGCAGCAGCAAGCAGCAAUAUUACCACAGACCAACAAGCUCUUCUUGCCCUGAAAGAUCAUAUAACUUAUGAUCCGACCAACCUUUUUGCCCAUAAUUGGACCUCGAAUACCUCUGUUUGUAACUGGAUUGGCAUCACUUGUGAUGUCAAUAGCCAUAGAGUCACAACCUUAGAUAUUUCUCAAUUCAAUCUACAAGGCACCGUCCCUCCUCAACUUGGAAACCUCUCUUCACUCACAACACUUAAUCUUAGUCAUAACAAGCUUUCCGGAAGCGUUCCCACCUCCAUCUACACCAUGCAUACACUAAAAUUUCUUGACUUCACUGAUAACCAGCUCUCUGGUUCAGUUUCAUCCUUCGUCUUCAACAUGUCUUCAAUAUUAGACAUUCGUUUGACCAAUAACAGACUUUCUGGUGAGCUUCCGAAAAAUAUUUGCAACUAUCUUCCUUAUUUGAAAGCCCUUUUUUUGGACAAAAACAUGUUGCAUGGCAAAAUUCCUUCUGCUUUAUCAAAGUGCAAACAACUGCAACAAUUAAAUUUGCAGUUCAAUAAUUUAUCCGGUGCAAUACCAAAAGAAAUCGGCAACUUGACCAUGCUCAAAGGGAUAGACCUCGGCUACAACAAACUCCACGGUAUGUUCAUAAUACUAUGUAAAUAUUUUAAUUUCUCACUUGUUAAUUUUCUUGAAUAUCUUAGAUAAGAUUUUGUAAGUGAGAUUUUUUGCAUCUAUGUUAAUUUACCAGGUGAGAUACCCCACGAAAUCGCUAAUCUUCGAAAUCUAGAGGCUUUAGUGCUAGGAAUGAACAACCUAGUUGGUGUGGUAUCAGCUAUAAUCUUCAACAUGUCAUCACUGAAGGUACUUAUCCUCAUCAAUAACUCUCUCUCCGGAAGUCUCCCAUCAAGAAUGGACCUUUCACUUCCAACUAUUGAGCAUCUUAACUUGGCACUUAAUAGAUUUUCUGGAACCAUUCCUAGUUCCAUCACCAAUGCUUCUAAGCUCUCCUUUCUAGAGUUGGGAGGAAACACAUUUUCGGGCUUUAUUCCAAACACAAUUGGAAAUUUAAGAAACCUUGAGUGGCUCGGCUUGGCUAAUAACUCCUUGACAUCUUCAACCUCAAAAUUGAGCUUUCUUUCCUCUUUGGCAAAUUGCAAGAAAUUAAGAUCCUUAAACUUAAUAGGCAAUCCGCUUGACGGCUUCCUUCCAAGUUCAAUAGGUAAUCUUUCCAUGUCUUUGAAAAUACUUCUCAUCGCCAAUUGCAGUAUUAUUGGCAACAUUCCUCGAGCAAUUGGCAAUUUAAGCAACUUGUUGGCCUUGACAUUAGAAGGCAAUAAAUUGACUGGACCAAUUCCAAUUACAUUCGCCCGACUGCAGAAACUCCAAGGUUUAUAUCUUCCAUUCAAUAAGUUGGUAGGUUCAUUCCCAGAUGAGCUUUGCCAUCUAGCUAGGCUGGCUGAAUUGGUCUUACUUGGCAAUAAGCUUUCAGGAUCUAUACCUUCAUGCUUAAGUAAUCUCACUUCUCUAAGAUCUCUCUAUUUAGGGUCCAAUAGGUUUACUUCUGUCAUUCCCUCAACUUUCUGGAGCCUAAAAGACAUCUUGUUCUUUGACUUUUCAUCAAAUUUCUUGGUUGGUCCUCUUUCUUUAGACAUAGGAAAUUUGAAGGUGCUUGUAAGAAUAAAUUUAUCAAAAAAUAACUUAUCCGGUGAUAUCCCAGCCACAAUUGGAGGAUUGAAAGAUCUUCAAAUUAUGGACCUAGCAUAUAAUAGACUGGAAGGCCUAAUUCCUGAAUCAUUUGGUGACUUGAUAAGUUUAGAAGUUUUGAAUUUGUCAAAUAAUAAAAUCUCUGGGUCUAUUCCAACAUCCAUGGAGAAAAUCUUUUACCUCCGAGACUUAAAUCUCUCUUUCAAUAAACUAGAAGGUGAGAUUCCUAGUGGAGGAAUUUUUGCCAACUUCACAGCUGAGUCAUUUAUGGGAAAUGAGUUAUUGUGUGGUUUACCAAAUCUUCAAGUCCAACCAUGCAAAGUUAGCAAGCCGAGGACAGAACAUAAAUCAAGGAAAGAGAUACUUCUCAUUGUGAUUGUUUUGCCAUUGAGUAUUGCUCUAACAAUAGCAAUCACUCUACCUCUCAAAUCUAAGCUGAUCGAAUGUGGAAAAAGAUGCACAGUGUUGUCAAAUGAUAGUGUCUUGUCAUCACAAGCAACACAAAGAAGAUUUUCAUACUUAGAACUUUUACAAGCAACAGAUAAUUUUGCUGAAAACAACAUAAUUGGCAGAGGAGGUUUUGGUUCCGUUUUUGGAGCAAGACUUGAAGAUGGGAUGAAGAUUGCAAUAAAAGUGUUUCACCAGCAAUGUGCAAGCGCAUUGAAGAGUUUUGAGGCUGAAUGUGAAGUGUUAAAAAAUAUUCGCCAUCGAAACCUUAUCAAAGUUAUCAGCAGUUGCUCGAACGAUGACUUCAAAGCAUUAGUCCUAGAAUACAUGUCCAACGGGAGCUUGGAGGAUUGGCUGCAUUCUAGCAAUUACGUGCUGAAUAUAUUUCAUAGGUUGAACAUAAUGAUUGACGUUGCAUCAGCUUUAGAAUAUCUCCACUUCGAUCAUUCAACUCCUAUUAUUCAUUGUGACUUAAAGCCUAGUAAUGUAUUGUUGGACGAAAAUAUGGUUGCUCAUUUGAGUGAUUUUGGCAUAGCAAAGCUUUUAAGUGGAGAAGAUGAGUCUACGAUGCGAACAAAAACCCUUGCCACUAUAGGUUAUAUGGCACCAGGUUUGCUUCAAAUAACUUUUUUUUUUAGUUCAUUUUAAAUUUUGCAACUUAUUGAUUUUUACGAUCCUCACAUCAAAAUUUUAUUGAUUAUUUAUCUAAUUGUGAAAUUAAUUUGAUUCAUAGAGUACGGCAUAGAAGGAGAAGUAUCUACAAAAAGUGAUGUUUACAGCUAUGGGAUUAUGUUGAUGGAAACUUUUACCAAGAAAAAACCCACAGAUGAAAUUUUUGUUGGAGAAUUGAGCUUAAAGCGUUGGGUUAAUGACUUGCUUCCUACUUCAUUAGUGGAAGUUGUGGACAAAACUCUGCUAAGUGGAGAGGAAAAACAUUUUGCAUCAAAGGAGCAAUGUCUGUUGUCUGUCUUUUGUUUGGCUCUGGAGUGUACAAUGGAAUCACCGGAAAAGAGGAUUAAUGCAAAAGAUAUUGUUACCAGAUUACUCAAGAUAAGAGACACAUUGAGUAAAAGGAUAGGAAACUUCAGUUAAUUUCGUUUGCUUUCAUUGAUGGUUAAUUCAAAUUCAUGUAAUAAGUGUAAGAAUCUUAUAUGCUUUCCUUAGAUAUAUAUUUUUUUUUUUGAGAAAACUGUCGUAGUCAUCUUGUUUCCAUGGGCAGAGUUGAUUUAGUUCUUCCAAAAAAUGCUACUGAUGACCUUUGUUUAAUACUCUCUUUUUUUGCAUGUGUUUAGGUAGAACAGUGGUUUGGCUGCAGGCUAAGAAGACUAACUACACUAAAAGAAUAUGAUUUAAUUUAUUAAACAAAACUUCAAGUUCAAGAAAAGUAUUUCACUGCCCCCAAUGCUUUGGACACCUACUGGUAGGUUUGUACGUGUCCUCAACUUUUUUUUGGAGCACAAAAUUCGAGUCCCAUGGAGACUCAAACAUUCCUUUCCCGCAUCCCGAGCACGCUAAAUUCAUCAGACUGACGACUGGGACAUAUACAAGAGUGAAAUGUUUGGAGCACACUAAGUUCGAGUGAAAGAGAUUAAUUUACGGAAACUAAAGCCGAAGGUUCAAAAAAAAGUGCAAAGUGAAUUGAUGCACAAUGUCAUAUUCAUACAGAGAUCAAUUAUAUUAUUUACAGCUGGUAAGGGCUAAGAAUUGAUGUAGCUAGAAUACAAAGAGGAUAAGGUAUGUUGAGCACUAUUGUUUUUAUUCUACAAUCAAUCUUGACCCUUGAUGCUUGGCUCUCAAUCUUGUCCAUUGAUCGUCUCUGAUUUUGGAGACCUCAAGACCUUUCAGUAUCAUGCCUUGUUAUUGGUGUCUUCCGUGCUGUAGAAUUCAUAUACAAGCUUUCCCGCCGACUUGCCAAGUAUUCGUUCAUUGAUGCAUUUUUAUCAAACAGCUGGGCUACUUAUACCAAACACCGCCUGGUUUAACUCCCCCUCUCUAGCUCAACUAUCUGGGAAGACAAUUAAUUGAGAUAUGAAUCAGAAAGUUAAAUUUUAACAAUUAUAUUCGGACUCUACAUUUUGUAAUGAACAUUGGUUUGACUUGUUAUACAUUUAUGCGUACAUAAUUAAUAACCGAUUCUCAAGUGCGGACAUUCAAGAGCACUGCUUAAAGACCAAAUAUUUUGAUUUACUAUUUUUUGUCUUUCAAUUUUCUUUUAAGUUCUGAUGACGUCCGCAUUUUAAAAUCCUGUGGAACAAAGGCCUGAGGUGCAUAUAAAAUUCUUUUAUUUUUCAGAGGAAAAUGGGUGAGAGAAGAAGAUUUGGCAAAAGAAUUGCAACGGCAAUAUGAAACUAGUCUUUGUCUUUUAAUUCUUUUAUAUUUGUUUUUGUUAUUGAUGUUAGCUUGGAUGUGUGCGCGUGUUGUUAACAUAUAUGUUUACAUAAUGUUGAUUUUGAUGAUAACAAACAAAAUUAAGAAUGAUUAAUCUUUUAAGCUCAAAUUAUUUAAUAUUCUUUUUAAAUAAAUCAUUAUUUUCACAUUAUAAAUGUUUCAUAUUUAAUGGAAAAUUGAUUUUAUGAAAUUGGUUGUUUUUCAAAGUUUAUGGUUUAAUUGAAAGAAUUUUGAAAACUUUGAAAUAAACAAGUAUUGCUUGAAAUUUUAGUAAAGGACUUAUUUGAAAAGUGUCUUAGCAUUUUUGGCUAUAUCAUAAUUUCAGAAAGUUUUGGGAUUAACAAAGCAUUACUUAGAAAUUCUGAAAUUGGACCUAUUUGCAAAGUUUCAUAACGUUUUGGGCCUUAAUAUAGUUUUGUAAAGUUUGGGAGUCAAAAUGUAAUUUUAGAAAAUAAUUUCACUGUAGCAUCACUGUAGUAAACGGCUAACCGUUUAUUUAAAACGGCUAACCGAUAAUUUUCAGAAAGCAUAUUUUGCAUAGUAUUGUUAAAAUGAUGAUUCUGAAACAUAACGGUGAACCGUUUACUGAAAACGGUUAACCGAUUAUUUUCAGAUUGCUAACCUUGAACCGUUUAGUAAGAACGGUUAAACCAAAUUUGUUUUGCAGGUCUCUGGAAUUUAACGGCGAAAGGGUAAUACUAAACGAUAAACCGUUUAUUUGAAAAUUGGUCCAACGGUAACUUUGACCAGCCUAAACGGUUAACCGUUAAUGGUUAACGGCGAACCAUUUUCGAGCAGACAGUCUAUAACGGCUAGUUUUUCAGCUCCAACUAUAAAUAAGCUCAAUCCAAUUCAAACAAGAUAAAUUCCAACGAUCAUCAUUGAGCAAAAUAUUGAGAAUACAACUUUCAUUGAGCUUUAAAUCCUUGUAUUCAUCUCAUUCAUUCACACAUUGAGCUUUCACUUGUGAUCAAACACAUUGUGUGAGAGAGAUUCAUUUGAAAUCCUCUUUGUAAAAUCAAGUUAAAAGAUUGUAAGUGUUGGGAUACACUUGAGUUAAGAGAUUGGGGAUAAUCUCUUGUUGUAAAGGUCCAUUGACACCUUGGAAGUCAAUUGUAAGCGUUUGAAGCCUAGGGAGGCUAGCUUAGUGAAAUCCUCAAGCCCAGUGAGCUUGGAGGCGUGGACGUAGGCGGGGUUUGCCGAACCACGUAAAAAUCAUUGUGUUUGUUUUCUCUUCCCUUAGUCUUUUAAUAUUGUGCAUGAUUGAAUUUAUUGUUUUCAAUUUGAUUAAGGCAAUAAAUUAAAUUGUUGUGCGAAUUGUAUUGCAUAAAUUUUAAAAUCCCAAUUCACCCCCCUCUUGGGUUGCCUAGUUAGUAUUUCACGUGUGACUGAAUUCAACUUAUAUUUGUUUUUGUUAUUGUUAUUAAUUUUAUUUGUUUGUGUUAAAUUGGACCACCAAAAAGGGCUGUCCAUUAUCAAAUCAACACGGUUUAAUUAUUAUUAUUUCUACACUUUUUUUAUAAACAAAUAUAAAUAAAAGGAUAUUUACACCCCAAAUUUUAGUGAAAUAGUCAUUAACACUCCUAAAUUUUUAAAAAAAGAUAUCAAGAUCAUUUUUUGAUCUUAAUACUCUCAUACGGUACCUCUAUUAUUCUUAAAAAUUGACUCUAAUGUUUUAUAAUAAAUAAAAAUAAAACAUUAAAAUAAAUGUAAUAACAUAUAAUUUUAAAAUAAUUUCAUUAUUUAAAAAAUAUUUUUAACAUUUUACAAUCUAUUAAAUAUAUUUUAUUAUAUUAAAGUAAUUUUAUAAUAAAUAGAAUCAUAUUAUUAGAAUAAAUGCAUUAAAACUUAAAUUAUUUUGAAUAUCAUGUAAGAUAAUAAUUUUAACAUUACUAGUAUGUCAGUUUUUUUUUAAUUGUAGAAUGUAUUUAGUGCAAAUAUUUAUUUCAAAUCUCUACAAUAAAUAAAAGAUUAAAAUAAAUAUAAUAAUUUACAUAUCUAAAUUUAUUAAAAUAUUUUAAUAUUGUUAGUCUACUGCAUAUAUCACAAUAUUUAUAUAACAUUUGUAUUUAUUAAAAGCUUUAAAAUCAAUUCUUUUGAGAAUAAUAGAGGUAAAGGGUACAAUGGUCAAAAUGGGGACUUUGUACCCUUUUUUGAAAACUUGAAAGUGUUGGUGGUUAUUUUUCCAAACCUUCAGGGUAUAGAUGUCCUUUUUCCACAAAUAUAUGAGAAAAUUAUCAAGAAAUACAGUAUCUGAACUUUGAAGUAACAAGGAUCACCUUUUAUGAAAUCGAUUGCUUUUCAUGAUAGACUGUUACCAUUUUUCUACAAUAGAUUGAAUUUAGUAAAAAAUUGAUUAAGAUGUCUACUCAUGGAGAGUGAAAUUUAUGUUCAAAACUAAUUUCAACAAGCAUGCACCACCGAACGUGUUUCUCACGGAAAAGUUGCUUGGAUUUUUGGGACUUCCUGUUCAAAUAUUCAACACGGCAUGCACCACGCGAUUGAACAUGCAAAAGUAGGGGUCUAUUUUCAUUUCCAGCAUUAUAGAAAUCUUAAUUUUGUUCAUUAGUUAUUUUGAUCAGCACUGUUGAAUCUCCAUGUAUUGCCAAUCACUAAGAAACAACAUAUUCUUAUUAAUUAUAUCCUCUAAUGGAGAGAACUCAUUGUCUCAGUAAGAUCACUGUGUCAUUAACCCACAGCAUGCUGAUUUGCUUGGUUGCUGCAGCAAGCAAAAAUAUUACCACAGAUCAAAAAUCUCUUCUUGCCCCAAAAGAUCACAUAACUUAUGCUCCAACUAAUCUUUUGACCCAAAAUUGGACCUCAAAUACGUCUGUUUGUACGGGGAUUAGCAUCCCUUGUGAUGUCAAUAGCCAUGAAGUCGCAGCCUUGGAUAUUUCUCAAUUCAAUCUACAAGGCACCAUUAUUCCAAACACAACUGGUAAUUUAAGAAACCUUAAGUGGCUCGGCUUGGCUUAUAAACUACUUGACAUCUUCAACUUCAAAAUUGAGCUUUCUUUCCUCUUUGGCAAAUUGCAAAAAAUUAAGAAUCUUAGGCUUACUGGAAAUCCACUUGACCGUAUCCUCUCAGGUUCAAUAGGUAAUCUUUCUAUGUCUUAGGAAAGAUUUCACAUCGCCAAUUGCAGCAUUAGUGGCAGAAUUCCUCAAGUAAUCAGCAAUUUAAGCAACUUGUUGGCUGGUGUGCAAAAUUUUAAUAUACUCGCAAACGCAGGAAUCUAGAAAUAGAAUAAUGGUAACGAGGUCAAACCCACAUGGAUUGUUAUAAAAUGACAAAAGAAUAGCUGCUGGUCUAGAGGUGGCUUACUACAUUCAUACAAGAUCGUUUCUUGUUCUCCAAGAUGUGCAUUAUACUAAUAAUGCUAUACAAACUUAUAUACUGAUCUUAUCCUCUAGAUCUGUUCAGGCUGAGUGAUCUCUCACAUUUGCCAUAUCAGAAGAUUACAUGCCAGUAAUGUCAUGUGAUGACCUGUUGCUUGGUGAUGUCGAAUGCCUGGCCUUUACUUCUCUGAGCAAAUUGAUCAAACAAUCUGUUCAUUUUAUCGAACACCUUCACCAACUAACAUUUAAUUUACUUUUGAUGGUUUUUAAGUGCAUUUAAUGAUUAUUUUUGCUCCAACUUCAGAUAAACCAAACGCUAGUAUAUUAGAAGAAGAAGUUAACUGGCAGCUAACCAGGUCAAAAUAGCGACUCUAUAUAAAAAAUAUAUAUAUAAAAUAAAAAAUAAAAAAUGGGACUUUAUUUAAUUAAUUGUUGGUCUAAAGCUGUUGGUAUCCGUUGGCCACGUUUCUGAAGAGUCAUCUCAAAUCAAAAUUUUUAACGAACAAAGAACUUUGCUUUUUUCCAUUGUUCACAUUGCUGCUGGCUGCCACCCGUGAGAUAAAAGUGCUACAAUCCAAAAUGUUCCACCAUUAUUUAUUCUAAUUUUAAUUUUCCAAUGGAAAAAAUUACAUAAUUAAAAUGGCUUCUAAUAUCAUUUCCACAUCUCAAUAUGUGUCACUAUCAGAAGGUUGUUUUCAUGAUUCAUUGUAAAUUUGGAUUACAGUACCUGUACUUUCUGAUGGUUCAUUAUUUAUUCUCAGGAAUCGAGUCUCCUUACAUUACCAAACUAAUAACAACCAGCAAUCUUUUAUCCUUUCACGGUGAGAAAUCACAGUCUUCGUAUGAUCGCAGUGCCAUUAACCCACUGCCUGCUUCUUUACUUGGUUGUUGCAGUAGCAGCAGCAAGCAACAUUACCACAGGCCAACAAGCUCUUCUUGCCCUGAAAGCUCAUAUAAGUUAUGAUCCAACUAAUCUUUUGGCUCAAAAUUCGACCUCAAAUACCUCUGUUUGUAACUGGAUAGGCAUUACUUGUAAUGUCAAUAGCCAUAGAGUUACAGCCUUGAAUAUUUCCAGCUUGAAUCUACAAGGUACCAUCCCCCCUCAACUUGGAAACCUUUCUUCACUGACAACACUUAAUCUUAGUCAUAACAAGCUUUCCGGCGACAUUCCCCCCUCCAUCUUCACCAUGCAUAAGCUGAAAUUUCUUGAUUUCAGUGAUAAUCAGCUCUCUGGUUCUUUGUCCUCCGUCACCUUCAACUUGUCUUCAGUAUUAGAUAUUCGUUUGGAUAGUGACAAACUCUCUGGUGAACUCCCAGUAAAUAUUUGCAAUUAUCUUCACUAUUUAAAAGUCCUUUUUUUGGCCAAAAACAUGUUUCACGGUCAAAUACCACUGGCUUUAUCCAAGUGCAAACGGCUACAACUGUUAAAUUUGGGGUUCAAUAAAUUAUCAGGAGCCAUACCGAAAGAAAUCAGCAACUUGACUAUACUUCGAAAGAUAUCUCUCAGAAAUAAUAAACUUCGCGGUAUAAAUGUUUAUAAUAUAUACUUUGUAAAUGCUCUUAUUAAUCAUUCUUAAACUUUCUUAGACACUUUUGUCUAAAUAAAUUUCGUAAGAGAGUUUUUUGCAUCUCUGUUAAUUUUGCAGAUGAGAUACCUCACGAAAUUGGGUAUCUUCCAAAUCUAGAGAAUUUGGUGCUUGGAUUCAACAACCUAGUAGGCGUUGCACCUGCUGCAAUCUUCAACAUGUCAACAGUGAAAGAAAUUUACCGGUUAGAUAACUCUCUCUCGGGAAGUUUUUCAUCAGGAAUAGACCUUUCACUUCCUGAACAGAUUUUCUGGAACCAUUCCUAGUUUCAUCACCAACGCAUCUAAACUUGUAUAUCUAGAUAUGGGAACAAACUCUUUUUCGGGCAUUAUUCCGAACACAAUUGGUAAUAAUCUAAGAAAACUUGACUGGCUCGACUUAACAUACAAUUGCUUGACAUCUUUAACUCUAGAAUUGAGUAGUACUAGGUUGUUAAAUGACGGUAUCUUGUCAUCACAAGGAACACUAGGAAGAUUUUCAUACCAAGAUCUUUUUCGUGCAACAGAUAAAUUUAGUAAAGACAAUCUAAUUGACAUAGGAAGUUUUGGUUCUGUUUAUCGAGGAAGACUUCGUGAUGGAAUUGAGGUUGCAAUAAAAGUGUUUCACCAGAAUUUGUGCAAUGGAAUUGAUGAGUUUUGAGGCUGAAUGUGAAGUGAUGAAAAAUAUUCGUCAUCGAAAUCUUGUCAAAAUAAUCAGUAGUUGUUCGAACGAAGAUUUCAAAGCAUUAGUUCUAUAAUAUAUGCCCAAUGGGAGAUUGGAGGAUUGCUUGCAUUCUACCAAUUGUUCGUUAAAUAUUUUUGGCAGGUUGAACAUAAUGAUAGAUGUUGCAUCGGCUUUGGAAUAUCUCCACUUCAAUCAUUCAACUCCUAUCAUUCAUUGCGAUUUAAAGCCUAGUAAUGUAUUGUUAGAUGAAAAUAUGGUUGCUCAUUUGAGAUUUUGGAAUUGGAAGGCUCUUAACUGGAGACAAAUCAAUGAUACAAACAGAAACACUUGCCACAAUUGGUUAUAUGGCACCAGGUUUGCUCUGAAACAAUUUUUUUUUUUUUUUUUUUGGGUUUUCAUUUACACUUUCCAAAUUAUUAUUUUUCCAUGAUCCUUCUAUCCUAAUGUUGUUGAUUAUUUAUCUAAUGAUAAAAUCAAUUUGGUUGAUAGAAUAUGGCAUAGAAGGACGAGUAUCUACUAGAAGUGAUGUUUAUAGCUAUGGAAUUAUGUUAAUAGAAACAUUUACCAGGAAGAAACCCACAGAUGAAAUGUUUACAACAGAAUUGAGCUUGAAGCUUUGGGUUAACAACUUGCUACCUGCUUCAUUGAUGGAAGUUGUGGACAAAACUUUUUAAGUAGGGAAGAAGAAGAUUUUACUGUGAAGGAGCAGUGUGUGUUAUCAAUCCUGAGUUUAGCUAUGAAGUGUGUGAUGGAAAUGCCAGAAAAAAGGAUCAAUGCAAUAGAUAUUGUAACUAAAAUAUUGAAAAUAAGAGAUGUAUUGAGUAAAUGGUUAGCAAAUUUAGGUUAAUCUCAUUUCUUGGCAUUGAAACUUUAACUUGAAUCAAUAUAUACUUAAUUUGAAUCUUUGUAUGAGUGUAAGAAUAUGAUAUAUUUUCCUUUGAUUUUUUUUUUUGAGACAAACAUCGUAGCUAUCUUGUUUCAAAUUAAUUUUAUGCUUUUUUUUUCUUUUUCUAAGAUCAUGCCUAAGAGCCGUAGGAAGAUCAGCUACAAAUUCAAAGCCGGCUAAGGCAUUUGACAAUGGAGAGAUUGUUAGUUUUUUCUCCAUUGAAAUUAAUAUAUAUCACCUAUCCCAACUAUUUUCAUAAUGUCUAAUAACCUCCUGGCACCAUAAUUUUACCAUAUAACCCUUAUUUUUAAAUGCACUUUUAUUUAUAUUAAUAUUAAUUAAAUAAAUCAUAUGAGUUGGAAUUAAAAUUAAAAAAUUAAAGACCAAGAAUAAGAAAUAUACGUUUUAGUGUGCUUAAAAAAUUAAUAUUAAAAUAUUUUUUUUUUGUACUUUUUAUUGUCCAACCAAUGUUGACAUUUGCCUAUAUCAGGUUUUUUAUGUGUACAGUGCAGGUUCAACUUAAGCCAUUAAUAGAACAACUUGAGAGAGCAAAAGUAUUGCAAGUUCUUGAUUUUGAAAUCUCCAAGCAUAGGAAGCCAAAGCAUCUGCUUCUUCUGGGCAUGCUGCAAUGCUGGUUCUAGUUCGAACGUGACCUCUCAGUCAUCUCAAGAAGGGCUAUUCAUUGGGGACAUCGAGGUAACUUUACCCCACCCGGAGGUUUGAUAAUUCAACUUUUUUAAUAGAUUUGUCUAAUACAUUCAAUUUGAUUUUAUUAUGUACAUGUUUGGUUAAUUACCGUGUUCUGUUAAGUUCAAGUCCAGUUGCAAGUCCCAUUUGGUUUUGCAUUGUGUUCGUUCCGCCACUGAAUCCUUCAUAAAAUAGUUUAAGGUUUGGAAGUUGGUUGGAUAAAUAGUGCUAUAAUGGUAGUUACUUUCUUUUAUUUCGUUUGACUUUUCGCUAGUGUAUCACUCCUAGCAUAUAAUUAAUCAAUUCUUCCAGGCAUACCAUGACUUGAUUGUGAUGCUGUGGAUUAUCUAGGACCAUAAGCAUUUGUGUGUUAAUGUAUUAAACUUUUGCCAUACCUUUAACCAAUCUCAUAUGCAAGUAAAUAUGAUCACUUAGAUCAAAUUUCAGUUUAGACUUGAAUUGAAGUUUUAGUGUCCUGUAUGACUGGUCUUUCUCAAUUUUAUCAAACAUAUGUUUCCUUCUGAAAAUAUUAAAGUGGAUUUGAUAGUUUAAGCAAUUUGUGGUUGGAUUUUGGCAGUUUGAAGUUGUAAUUCUGGUACCAAUCAAGACGAGGAAGUGGAUGCCAAGUGUGAAACAACAAGUGGGCAUCUGAAAGUCACGCCACAUUGGAUGAUCCCACAAAAAAUGAAUCUUACAGAGGAACAACAUGGACAGAUUAAGCAGGAGCUAUAAAUGGAUAAAAUUUGAGCAGCUGGAGGAUCCAUAGAUGCCAAUAAACAACCGGAUUAUUCGAACGGACGUACCUCUAAUGGUCUAUCUGGAAAGUCCAGCGGGCAUGAAGUCUAAACGUGAAGUGGAUGAGGAGGAAGAUGAUACUAAUUCUAGAAACUUCAAGAGCUUUCAUUCUCAUGCUUUAUGAAUUUCUUUCUUGCUUCAGAAUUCAAAUGCAAGCUUUCCCUCUCAGUAUUUCUUCAUUGAGACAUUUUUCUCGAACAGGUUUAUACUUGUGUCAAACAUCUUCUGUUAUAACUAGGAAGCCAGUAAGAUUGUUUUUCAAGUACGUUAAGCGGAAACAAUAGGCAAGGCCUUUUGUCAUUAUAUCUACCACUUGAUUUUUUCUGCCCAAGUACUUACUAUUCAAUUCGUUUGUUCCAAUUUUGUCCCUAAUGAAGUGGUCUUAUAUCCCCACAAACUUUGCUCUUCCAUGAAAGACGAGAUUCUGUGCAAGUGCUAUUGCACUCUUGUUGUCACAUAACAACAGAGGAAUAAUUAAACAUACAUGAAUAUGCACUUUAGUAAGCAAGGAUCUUAACCAGCUGAUCAUUUCUGCUGCUACAUGAGACAGGGCUCUGUCUUAUACUUUUGUACUAGAUUUUGAGACCACCUUUUGCUUCUUGGAGCUACAUGAGAUCAGAUUUCUUGCGGGGUAAAAAAAUUCAUGAAAACCCUCAAGUAUUUAUGACAUUUAUAUAAAAAUAGAGUUUGAUUUUUCUUUCAAGUAUGUUCCUACAUUAAUCUCUACUUAAAAACUGAAAUAUCAUUUAAAAAAAUAAUUAUUCUUCCACCUUUAAAAUUCAAUAUUAAAGAGUAAUUUGUCAUUUUUAAUUAGAGUUAGAGGCUUGUUUUAUUAUGUAUAUAAAAUAUUUCUUAGGUGCAAGAACCCUCAUUUUUUUGUGCGGAUAUACUAUUAAACCAUGCAGUUUAAAAGUUGAUUAAAAUGAAUGGUGUAAUAGUGUGUCCAUAUAAAAAAAAAAAAAACAUAAUAAGGGCAUUGGCAUUAAAGAACAUAUAUAUUAUCCCAAUUAGGGAUCCCUAACCAUAUUAAAGUCAGGGGACAAGUUAAAAACAAAAAACAAAAACUUCAAUGUAUUUUGUCAUAUAAUGUAUUAAAAUCUGUAUUUUCUUUUAUCUUUUAGUUUAUCCCUAUUUUAAUAUGGUUAAAGAUUCGUAAUUGGAAACCCACUCUAAUUAUCUAUGUAUUUCUUAUUUUUAAUACAUUCGCACAAAUAUUUAUAUACAAUAAAUGUAUUACUUAGCCCUGCCUGAUAAAAGAUCCCGGGUCCGGCUCUGAAGGAAGAUGCAAUAUCCUCCUGCUGACGCUUCAUUAACCUUUUUCCUUUCAUUUUAAACUUUCUGAAUUAUUGCCUUUCGUAAUUCUCAUAUCAUGCAUUGAGUAUUUAUCUAACUAUGAAAUUAAUUUGAUUAAUAGAGUAUGGCAUAGAAGGACGGGUAUCUAUUAAAAGUGAUGUCGUUGCGGAAUUGAGCUUGAAGUAAGUUUUGGAUAAAUCUGCCGUAAAGAAGCAAUGUGUGCUGUCUAUCUUGAGUUUUGGAUUAAUCUCCUUAUCAUUUGUUAUCUUACUUAAUUAUAGCACUAUAUGAUAUUAUUAUACACUAUUUACAGUUUUCUGUGUUUUUUUUUUUUUUCUAAUUACUAACAUAUGAAACUCUAUUGCCUGGGAAAUUCAAGGAAUUUUGUUUGUGUAUAAUUAAUCAUUUCUUUUUUGGGAUUAAUUUAUAAUUAAUUUUGCAGAUACCAAGUAUCUAGAAAGAGCAGGACCCAGCAAGACCGGGUAAUAGAUAUAUAGAGAGAGACUUUGCAAUUGGUAAAUAUUAAGAGUGGCAGCAAUUAAAGUUGAUUAAUAUGCUAGUAUAAUAUUAGUAUUGACAUUAGGCAGAGACGGAGACUUUAGUGAAUAUUAUUGCUAUAUGAGUAAUUUUUGUAUAUGAGCGUGGCUAAUUACAAUUUCCAAAUCUCUGCGGGUUACUGAAAAUUUAAGUGCCUUGCAUAUGACUAUUAACCCAGUUUUUCAUGCUCGCUCGAAGCAUAUUGAAUUAGAUUAUCACUUCAUUUGAGAAAAAGGUUGCUGAUGGUGCCUUGGUUACGAAGUUUGUCCCUUCUUCGUUACAAAUUGCAGAUGUUUUUACUAAGGCUUUGUCAAAAGCCAUGUUCCGCAAUUUCAGAUACAAGCUUGGCGUUCAUCAAAUGUCACUUGCCAGCUUGAGGGGGGAUGUUAAGCAAGCUGACCAAGAUUACUAAAAGGAAAGUCAUCAACGGUCAAGUCAACAACGGGUUUAUCACUCCACACAACUUGCUCACGUCAAAGCUAUUUGUCAAGGAAUAUCUCCAGCACGAUUUUUGCACUUGAAUGCCAAUAUCAUGUAGGAAUAUUUCAUUCCUAUUUUAUAAAGAUAUUGUGCAAUAGUUUAGGAAGUAUUCACUUAUUUUCCUUUAAUAUUAUUAAGCCUUUUAACGGCUACUUUGUCUUUAUUUUGUAUAAAUAAUUCUGUAAAUUUCAUUAAAAAUAUAGAACAAGAAUUAUACUCUUCAUAGAAUUUCUUUCACUAAAUUCAUCAGCCUCUUGAACCCUCUCCUGAGGGCACCUUCUGUCCUCUGUUUUCUGUUACCAUACACUAACAGACAAAAGCAUUCAGAAUGACAACUGGGACAUAUAUAAGAGUGAAAUAAUUGAAAAAUUAUGCUUUUUUGUUUGUCAUGUUAAAAUCGUAAAGUGCGUAAGUACUAUGAAAGAGAUUAGUUUACGGAAACUGAAGCCAAGGGUUAAAAAAAAAAAAGGUGCAAAGAGAAUAAAGGGCAACGCUUAUGUAAAGAGACAUAAUUGUAUUGGUAGCACAAUGUCACGUUCAUACAGGGAUCAAGCAUAUUAUUUACAGGUGGUAAGGGCUAAGAAUUGAUGUAGCUAGAAUACAAAGGUGAUAAGGUAUGUUGUGCACUAUUUAUUUAUUCUACAAUCAAUCUUGACCAUUGAUGCUUGGAUCUCAAUCUUGUCCAUUGAUCUUCUCUGAUCUCGAAAACUUCAAGACCUUUCAAUCUUAUGCCUUAUUAUUGGUGUCUUCCAUGCUGUAGAUUUCAAAUACAAGGUUUCCCGCCAACUUGCCAAGUAUUUGUCCAUUGGUGCAUUUUAUCAAACAGUUUGAUACUUAUACCAAACGCCUUCUGUUUUAACUCCCCCUCUCAAGCUCAACUAUCUGGGAAGACAUUAAUAAACUUGUUUCUCAAGUAUAUGUAUCUGAAAAUGAAAUUUUAAAAAUUAUAUUCGGACUCUACAUUUUCUAAUGAACAUUGGUUUGGCUUAUAAGCUUAUUAUACUCAGGCUUGGUGGGAUUAUCGGUCGGUAGAUGACCGAGUGUUAGAGCUUUCGAAUUUAUGCCAAUUAAAAAAAAAAAAAAAAGAAUCUACAUAAAGUUUCAACUAGGCUACUACCACAAUAAACAUUUGGAUCAACUAUUAUUGAAACCUUAUUGAGAAGUGGGACAUGUCGCAUACCAAUGCACUGACAUAUCUUCAAAUAGUGGUAACUCCACACAGCAUGGCACAAUAAAUUAAGAGUUAUAUAGAUAAAAUCUUUCACUCUUUGGUAAUCAUCAAUUUCACUAUUAUUCGGUUUAUUAUGUUUGUUUCUUUCAGUAUGUUAAAAGAUUAUGUUGUGAAUUUGUUUUACAGGCUGCCCGUAAGUCUGCGCCCACCACCGGUGGUGUUAAGAAGCCUCAUCGUUACCGUCCUGGAACCGUCGCCCUUCGGUUUGUUCUCUAAUUUAAAUUUCCGUUGUAUAGCUUUAGUUGUUCUUGUCUAAUUUUGUGGGUAAUUUUGUAUAGAGAAAUUCGCAAGUACCAGAAGAGUACCGAACUGCUUAUCAGGAAACUCCCAUUCCAGGGACUUGUUCGUGAAAUUGCUCAGGACUUCAAGGUACCUUGUUAUCGUUUUGGUUGUUAUCUUUGUUAUCUUUAAAUUGGGUUCCCAAGAUUUCUUGAUAGACGGUUAAUGGCUAUUUUGUUGUCUGUUUUGCAGACUGAUCUGCGUUUCCAGAGCCAUGCAGUGCUGGCCCUGCAGGAGGCAGCCGAGGCUUAGGGCAUCUCCAAUGUAGCACUAAACCUAACACCAAAUCAUCUUUUACAUCAUUUUUGGUGUAAAAUGCUUCUCCAAUGUAACACCAAAAUGGUGCAAUGAAUAGUAUUGCACCAAAUAUGGUGCAAUACUAUUCAUUUGCACCAUAUUUGGUGCUAGGAAAAAAAGUCUCAAGUAUCCUUAUUACUUUAUCUUAUUUACAUAUAUGUCAUAUUUUAUAUAAUAUUUUAAGUUAUUAUUAUUAUUGUUAUUUUUUAAUUUCAUUUUUUAAUUUUUGAAUAUUUUAAAUAAAAAAUAUUCAACACAAAAAUUUAUAAUAAAAAUAAAAUGCCAAUAACAUUAAUUACUAGAUUACAUAUUACAAAAUUAAAAAUACAAAAUUAAAUUAACACAAAUUAAAAAAGCUACUACUACUAGCAUAAAUUAAAACAAUUAUUUAGUAAUGUGGGAGAUCAUUAUUAGAUUCUCCAAUAUCAUCAAAAUAUUUUUCUAUAUUAAUGUAAUGUUUAAUUUUCAUAAUGCACUUAUUAUUGUUAUUGUAUUUUUCUAUAUUAAUGUAAUGUUUAAUUUUUAUAAUGUACUAAUUUAGUUAAUUAAAUGCAAUAUUUAUUAAUUUUCUAUUUUUUUGUUAAUCGAUAUAAAAUUACUUAUUACUUAAUUAUCUAUAUUAAUAGUAAUAUUUAUUGUGUUAAUUGAAUUAAUUCUUGAGAAUUAAAAGAAUAAAAAGAAAAAUAUUCUUUUUGAUGUAAAAUUUGGUGUAAAUGGGUUGGAGAUGAAAUAAUAAUUUAGUGUGAAAAAGGUUCAUUUUUAGUGUUGGUGUUACACCAAAAUGAUGUUAUGCAUUGGAGAUGGCCUUACCUCGUCGGUCACUUUGAGGACACCAAUUGAAUGACUGGAAAGGGAAGGGGGAAGUUGUAAUGUGUUAAUUUGUAUGUGGGGUUCGUGGGGACGACGUCGCUUUUUCUUAGAUAUUUUUUUUCUUUUUCCUCCCUUAAAAACAGUGAAAUUACUUAUACUGGUUUUUCUAUUUUACAUUUUGAAUAUUAUUAAUUAAUAUAAUUUAAGAUAACAAUCAGGGAUAAAACAAUCAUUUUUUAUUCAAGAUCAUUUUAUCAAUAUUCUGUUAAAUAUUCUCACAAUUUAACUUUAUCCUUAACAAAAAUUUAACUUUUUUUUUUAAACUAACGGAACCAAAUUCUAUAUAUAAAUGUAUAGUACGCAUUAAUAAAUAAAUAAAACUUUGACGACCGGAGGGAAUGAAUAAAUAAAUAGAUAAAACUUUCGAAGCUCGUGAAUGUGCUAUUUUGGUUUUUUUUUUUUAGUAAUUGUUUAAUUGAAAAAAGAAAGCUUCGGGAUUUAUUUUUGACGGGACGGCUGAGAUUUGUUGACCUUCUAGAGAAUGAGAACAGAUUUUCAAUUUGUUGAUUAGUAUUCCUACAGUCCAGCCCAAAAGUACCGGCUCAAUGAGUUCGGUCAUGUUUGGUAACAGGUAUCCAUCACUUUCAAAAUCCGGUCCUACCAACGUAUCGGCUUUUACUGGCUGUCGUAUCAUCCGUGAAUGCAUGGGAGAGUGAGACUACUCCAAUCUCCACGACAGAAAUUUUAGAAUAUAUCUAUUGUAUUAUAAUUAAUUGAUACAUAUAUGACAUGUAUAAUUGAGUAUAAUAUAACCACUAUUUAUAUAAUAAUUUAUAAAAUAAAUGCACACAUAUUAUGACAUUAUUUACUUGUUAUAUGGAUAAUAAAUGCACACAUGUCAUCAGUCUUUGGUAAACAAAUUCACAAUAUAUAUUAAUCUUUGUGGAAGCUAUGUCCAAAAAAUAAAUAUUGUAAAAAAAUUUUAAUUAAUAAUUUUUUGGACAUUAAUAAAAAAAAUUAAUAUAUUAACUCCUCAUGGAGUAUUCAAAACAAUUGAUAUAAAUUUUGUUGUUUCUAUUUUACUUUUUUGGUUUAAAUUGACAAUUUAAUUUUUCUUUUUAUUAAUGUCCAAUAAAAAAGAAAUAUUAUUGUACGAGUGUAAUACUGUAAAAACAAGUCAAAAAGAAUAAAAAGUAACAAUUAGGGUGUCAAUACUUAACAACAAAGAUGUUUUGAGAUAUUUUUAAAAAUAUAAGGAUUAAACGAGAUUUUACCAUUAUUAAUUAUAGUCAUCUUUUUAUAAAUUACAAUUAGAGGAAGUUGGUUAAUGUUGUUGACACGCACGCACACAUAAAGAUUUAUUGGAAGUGCUUAUGCCGACUCGAAGUUGUUGGGAAUUAAUGCAUGUAUUGAUUUAUUGGGAGUGUUUAAAUGAUUUUGUGAUUUACUUGAUUGAUUGAAUAUUGUUUGAUUGCUUCAUAUCCAUUCUACAAAGUUUAUUUCUUUGUGAAAUUUCAACGACAUAUUUUUAAAAAAUAAUAAUAAUAAGGGUGUUCUAAAUCAUUUUAAAAAAUAUAUGGACUUAUUAGAAUUAAUUACUAGGUAAUUAACUUGAUCUGUACAGGGUGAAACAACAUUUAUCCUAAUUGUAUCAUGACAAAUACUUUUCCGAUUAGAAUUAGGAAACCAUAGGUUUAUUGAAUUAUUUUUUUUUAUUUUCGUUUGGAGAAACGGAUUAGAGAAUUAGAAAACAAUCCUAAUGAUAUAAUUAUCAGGUUUAAAACAGUGCAUAAACAGUGAAAAGCUAAUUAGUCUGUAGAGUAAUUUGCUAAUUGUUAUCUCCUCUCUAUGCGCGCUGAAUAAUUUGUUGCAUGCAAACUUUUUAUUUUAUGCAAAUCGUACUUACUGUAACAUUGGAAUUGAUGUAUAAGCAAAAUUACAAUAAUAUUUAUGUCAAUAAAAAUAGUUUUUUUUUCCUUUUUAAAUAAACACAACGCGAUGUUGCUCUGCUCUACAUUUUUGCUAUCUCUUUAUUCUUUUUUUUUUUUUGGGCUUCUUAAAGCCUCAAACUUUGAUAACCAAAACUUCAUCGACCUAUGAAAAAAUCUGCAGAUUAGUUUUUAUUAUCGGAAUAAUUGUUUGAGAAUACGAAAACAAAAUAUAAAAUAAGAAAAUAGGGGGUUAAAUUAGAGGGGGAAAAAAAGGCAUGUUCUAUCGAUUACUAUAGUUUAAGGGAAAAAAAAUCAAUUGGGGAUUUUUUUUCUUUAAUUUUUGUUUUACUUGAUGGAGAUUUCUCCUUAGUCCUUACAGUUUUAAGUUUGGAUGCCGUAGGGUUAGUAAUUUAGUACUUCCUUUGCAAGCUGAGUGUAAGAAUGAAAAUCUUUAAAGAAAUUAAAAAAGAAAAAAAUAAAAAAAGCAUACCAAUAGGCAAUUAUAAAUAACCAUAAAUAAACAUAAACAAAAUGUUUAUGAAGUAAAUUACACAUGCACAUAUUAUUUUCUUGUUUUAUUUCUUACUUGUCUAUUUUAUUUGCUGCUUGAUAACCCUUAAAUACUAAUCUAGUACUGCUAAUUUCAGACACAAAAUGUUUAACUCUAGGCUGCAGUUUUACUCAAAAUGAUGACCACUGGCUUCGCACCAUUUAACCAGCAUACAUUUCUACAAAGGGAAAAGGACAUUCAACCCCCCAACGUUUAGGAAAAUGGACAAAAAACCCUUCAACGUUUCAAAAAGGACUUAUAACCCUCUUUCUGUUAACAAACACCGUUUGUUUUAACAGUAAAUUUAUUUUUAAUUUUUAAUUACUAUUAUACCCUUAUAAUAAAAAAAUUAAUGUAUUAAUUUGAGAUAUAUCACAAUUAAUAAUUUUUUAAAAGCUUAAAAUUAAGAUACAAUUAUUUUUUUGCCAAAAUUAUUUACUAUAAAUUAUACCUUUCUAACAAUAAUAAUAUCGUUUUGAUUCCUCAAAGAAAAAGAGUUUAAUCAAAUUUCGUUUUAUUAGUAAUAAUCACAUAUGAAAGAUUUUAUCAUUAGAAACGUAUAAUUUAUAGCAAAUAAUUUGGGCAAAAAUGUAAUUGUAUCUCAAUUUUUAGUUUUAAAAAAAUUAUUAAUUGUGACAUGUCUCAAAUCAAUAUAUUAAUUUAUAUUUAUUAUAAGGGUAUAAUAGUAAUUAAAAAUUAAAAAUAAAUUUACUGUUAAAACAAACGGUAUUUAUUAACGGAAAGAGGGUUAUAAGUCCUUUUUAAAAUAUUGAGGGGUUUUUUGUCCCUUUUCCUAAACGUUGGGGGGUUGAACGUCCUUUUCCCUUCUACAAAUUGAACAAGGCUAUUAAUUUUCAUUAUUAUUUUUUAUUUAUUUAUAAAUUACUAUUUUAAUUUUCACUUUUUAUUGGGUUGUUUAACGGAUUAGUGAAGUUGGUGGUCGUGAUGCACUCACAAGGUACAAUUUUAUUUUAUAAUUUCGAAUUUGUAUUUUAAAAUGCAGGAACAUUAUGUAUACAUAAUUAUUGAUUUUCGUAUGUGGAUGUUUUGAAAUAUUGCUAAAAGACCAAACUUUAAUAAACUAUUUUUCAUCUUUUUUUUCCUAAAGUUUGAGUGAUAUCCGCAUUUUAAAUUCAUCUGGAACAAAAGCUAAUGUAUGCACAAAAUUCUUUUAUUUUUUCCGAGAAAAAUGGGUAAGAGAAGAAGAUUUUUCUCUUGAAAAAGAAAAACUAAUACGAUGCAAGCAUAGGAAAGAGGUCAAUGUUUUGGAUUAGAAUUUAGUAUUGAGCUGAAUUUUAUACUAAACUCUUUUAUAGUACUGCGAUUAAUAAACUCAUGAUUUGCUUUUGCUUUUACUUCAAGUGAAAGAAAGAGGAAACCUUUUGUUUUUUGUUUGAUUCUUGACUAUAGAUGUUACCUAUAUAGAGAGUUGAGGUAGCUACCUUAAGUGAUGGUGAUAAAAAGAUUAAGCAGCGCACACAAUCUUACUGUCGUCCAGACCAUCCAGCUGUGAUGACUCUAGUUUUUUGGGUUACAUUAGCUUUAGUGGAAAGGAGGGCCAAUUUAACAAAGACUAGAUUUGGUGGCUUACUAUAAUGCUUAUUCUCAGGGAAUCUAAUGUUAUAAGAUGAUUUAAUGAUCUUCUAUGAUUGUGAGUAGUAUAGUAUAAUUGAAAAGAGCCUGGGCUCCUAUGAUGAAUAUAUAAUAGUAACACAGUACUGUGAUUGAAAAAAACACAGUUACAAUAAACUCUUCAUUUAUUCAUUGCGGAGAUUGAAUGGCAAAGAGAGAAUAAAAUGAAGCAGAGGAAUCUCAUUGCCAGUAAAAUUGAUCCUCUUUAAUGUUAUAUGGCACAGGUGUGUGUACAGCAAGAGCAAGUUACUUGCAGUUUUUAUUGUAAAAUAUACAGGUUAUGACCAUGAUCAUUGUAGUUAGGUUUUGAUGAUUUUAGAUGCUUUUUUUUUAUUUUUUUAAAUUGUGACACCUUUGAUUUAUGGUAGUUUUGCAGAAGAAAAAAAUAUAUAUAAAAAUUAGGAGGGAUGAGUUAACUAACGAUUGCAAUCAUUACAGUAAUGUUGAUGAGUGAUACAUCAUUUGAAAUUUACUUGUCAGUUGCUGAAAUGAUGAAAAAAAACAAUAAACAAUAGCAGUAAUAUUUUUAUGGAAAUUCUUGGUUUUUAUGGAAAUACUCUUGCUGAAAUUCUAAUUUUGACUUUCAACUCUUGGUUUUUAUGGAAAGUAAAAUGACUUGUUUGUUAUAUUCAUACAACCCACUCUACAUAAUGAUUUCAUUUUAAUAAAUGGUUGAUGAUCUCCACAGAAAAACUACUUCAAUUCUUUUUUUUUUUAUUUAACUUUUUGGUUGUUGAAAAUAGCCUUAAUUUUCAAAUCAUUGGAGAAAGAGUAAAGAACAUUUAACAAAUUUAUGUGCCAAAAAUAAAGGAGAAAUUGAAGAGAAAGGGUGCUUGCAGAAGUGGGUGCAAAGAUAAAUCAGUCCAUAAGAAUUAUUGUGGUUAUUAAUUUUUUGGCAAUAUAAAAAUUUUUCAGCAAAUAAAAAUUGAAUUUUCCGAUUUACUAAAAAAUCAAUUAAAAACUUCGGCGAUAGCAUUUUUUAUGGGUGCAUGUACCCUCCCUUUAAAAAAAAAUAAUAAUUAAUACUUAAUAUAGUAUUAAAUACGAAAAUAUCAAUAUUUGACUACACAAAUUUAUAUCAUUAGGUCCUUAAAAUUUAAAAUUGAAGACACAAAAUGAAAUAUAUAUAAAUUUCAUUCUCAUAGGAAAGGAUCCUCUUAUAAUCUUAAAAUAUUUGAGCUUUGAAAGAUUUUUUAAAACAAAUGUACUUUUAUUUUUGUACAAUCAAUAAUUACUUAUUUAUUAUAUUUUUAUUCAUUAACUAUCAAUCAUGUGAGUAUAUCUACUCAGAAAUAUCAUAUCAAGGGAGAAUCUUGAUCCCACGCACACGCAAAUAUGUUAAUUUCUAUACGCUUCACUUACCUGUAGAAUCAAUUAUCUAAAAUGCAAGUUUGUGGCCACAAAAAAAGCCAAAGAAAGAAGAUAAUAACAAUUGACUUGUAUAUUAUACUCAUACAAUCCACUCGACAUAAUGAUAUCAUUUUAAUAAGGCAAUGGCUGAUGAUCUCCAUUGAAAAACUAAUUCAAUUUUUUGCUUCAUUUAACUUGUUGGUUGUUGAAAAUAACCUUAAUUAUCAAAUAAUUGGAGAAAGAGUAAAGAACAUUUAACAAAUUUAUGUGCAAAAAAAAAAAAAAGAAAGGAGAAGUUGAAGAGAAAGGGUGCUUGCAGAAGUGGGUGUCAAAGAAAAAUCAGUCCAUAAUAAUUAUUGCCGUUAUUUUUUGGCAAUAUAAAAUUUUUAUAGCAAGUAAAAAUUAAUUUUUUUCCAAUUUACUAAAAACUUCUGCGACAGCAUUUUUUAUGGGUGCUUAUACCAUCCCUUUAAAAAAAAUAAUAAUAAUUUAAUGCUUAAUAUAGUAUUAAAUACGAAAAUAUCAAUAUUUGACUACUCAAAUUUAUAUCAUUAGGUCCUUAAAAUUUAAAAUUGAAGAUACGAAAGGAAAUAUAUAUAAAUUUCAUUCUCAUGGAAAGGAUUCUCUUAUAAUCUUAUAAUAUUUGAGUUCUGAUUUUUUUUUUAAACAAAUGUAAUUUUAUUUGUGCACAAUCAGUAUUUACUUAUUUAUUAUAUUUUAAUUUAUUAACUAUCAAUCAUGUAAGUAUAUUUAGUCAGAAAAAUUAUAUCAAGAGAGAAUCCUAAUUUCACGCAAACACAAAUAUAAGACAAAUAUGUCAAUUUCUAUACUAUUCACUUCCUGUAGAAUCAAUUAUCUAAAAUGCAAGUUUGUGGCUACAGAAAACUCGCCAAAGAAAGAAGAUAAUAACAAUUGAGCAUUGAUAGCAAAACUAAUGCAUCAUUUUAUUCUUGACUUGAUGAGAUGGUGGCAUUACAAAAAAAACAAGUACCUUAAUUGACGGGCACUGAGUGAUGUGAAUACUACCAGCCAGUUCAUCUCUUCCAGUCUUGCUUAAUCACAAUCACAAACACCACGAGAUCGACAUUUGCAUUAUAUAUAUCUUCAGCAAUCGAAACACCUUGCAUUACCAAAUUAACCAGUAACAAACAAAGCAAUCUUUCAUGGAGAGAAACCUUAGUCUCAGUAUGAUCACUGUGUCAUUAACCCACUGCCUGCUUCUUUGCUUGGUUGUUGCAGCAGCAGCAGCAGCAAGCAACAAUAUUACCACAGACCAACAAGCUCUUCUUGCCCUGAAAGAUCAUAUAACUUAUGAUCCAACCAACCUUUUUGCCCAUAAUUGGACCUCGAAUACCUCUGUUUGUACCUGGAUUGGCAUCACUUGUGAUGUCAAUAGCCAUAGAGUCACAGCCUUAGAUAUUUCUCAAUUCAAUCUACAAGGCACCAUCCCUCCUCAACUCGGAAACCUCUCUUCACUCACAACGCUUAAUCUUAGUCAUAACAGGCUUUCUGGAAACGUUCCCUCCUCCAUCUACACAAUGCAUACGCUAAAAUUUCUUGACUUCACUGAUAACCAGCUCUCUGGUUCAGUGUCUUCCUUCGUCUUCAACAUGUCUUCAAUAGUAGACAUUCGUUUGACCAAUAACAGACUUUCUGGUGAGCUUCCGAAAACUAUUUGCAACUAUCUUCCUCAUUUGAAAGCCCUUUUUUUGGACAAAAACAUGUUUCAUGGCAAAUUUCCUUCUGCUUUAUCAAAGUGCAAACAACUGCAACAAUUAAAUUUGCAGUUCAAUAAUUUAUCCGGUGCAAUACCAAAAGAAAUCGGCAACUUGACUAUGCUCAAAUGGAUAGACCUCGGCUACAACAAACUCCACGGUAUGUCCAUAAUAAUAUGUAAAUAUUUUAAUUUCUCACUUGUUAUUUUUCUUGAAUACUUUAGAUAAGAUUUGUAAGGGAGAUUUUUUUGCAUCUGUGUUAAUUUGCUAGGUGAGAUACCCCACGAAAUCGCUCAUCUUCGAAAUCUAGAGGAUUUAGUGCUUGGAAUGAACAACCUAGUUGGUGUGGUAUCAGCUACAAUCUUCAACAUGUCAACACUGAAGGUAAUUAUUCUCGCAAAUAACUCUCUCUCCGGAAGUCUUCCAUCAAGAAUAGACCUUUCACUUCCAACUAUUGAGCAUCUUAGCUUGGCACUUAAUAGAUUUUCUGGAACCAUUCCUAGUUCCAUCACCAAUGCUUCUAAGCUCACCUUGCUAGAAUUGGGAGGAAACACAUUUUCAGGCUUUAUUCCAAAUACAGUUGGUAAUUUAAGAAACCUUGAGAGACUCGGCUUGGCUAAUAACUCCUUGACAUCUUCCACCUCAAGAUUGAGUUUUCUUUCCUCUUUGGCAAAUUGCAAGAAAUUAAGAUCCUUAAACUUAAAUGGAAAUCCACUUGACGGCUUCCUUCCAAGUUCAAUAGGUAAUCUUUCCAUGUCUUUGAAAAUACUUCUCAUCGCCAAUUGCAGUAUUAUUGGCAACAUUCCUCCAGCAAUUAGCAAUUUAAGCAACUUGUUGGCCUUAGUAUUAGACCGCAAUAAAUUGACUGGACCAAUUCCAAUUACAUUCGGCCGACUGCAGAAACUCCAAGGCUUAUAUCUUGCAUCCAAUAAGUUGGUAGGUUCAUUCCCAGAUGAGCUUUGCCAUCUAGCUAGGCUGGCUGAAUUGGUCUUAUUGGGCAAUAAGCUUUCAGGAUCUAUACCUUCAUGCUUAAGUAACCUCACUUCUCUGAGAUCUCUCUACUUAGGGUCCAAUAGGUUUACUUCUGUUAUUCCCUCAACCUUCUGGAGCCUAAAAGACAUCUUGUUCUUUGACUUUUCAUCAAAUUUCUUUGUUGGUACUCUUUCUUUCGACAUAGGUAAUUUGAAGGUGCUUCUAGGAAUAAAUUUAUCAGAAAAUAACUUAUCGGGUGAUAUCCCAGCCACAAUUGGAGGAUUAAAAAACCUUCAAAUUAUGGACCUAGCAUAUAAUAGAUUGGAAGGGCAAAUUCCUGAAUCAUUUGGUGACUUGACAAGUUUGGAGUUUUUGAAUUUGUCAAAUAAUAAAAUCUCUGGGUCUAUUCCAACAUCCAUGGAGAAACUGUUUUUCCUCCGAGUGUUAAAUCUCUCUUUCAAUAAACUAGAAGGUGAGAUUCCUAGUGGAGGAAUUUUUGCCAACUUCACGGCUGAGUCAUUUAUGGGAAAUGAGUUAUUGUGUGGUUUACCAAAUCUUCAAGUCCAACCAUGCAAAGUUAGCAAGCCGAGGAAAGAACAUAAAUCAAGGAAAAAGAUACUUCUCAUUGUGAUUGUUUUGCCAUUGAUUAUUGCUCUAACAAUAGCAAUCACUCUAGCUCUCAAAUCUAAGCGGAUUGAAUGUGGAAAAAGAAGCACAGUGUUGUCAAAUGAUAGUGUCUUGUCAUCACAAGCAACACUAAGAAGAUUUUCAUACUUAGAACUUUUACGAGCAACAGAUAAUUUUGCUGAAAACAACAUAAUUGGCAGAGGAGGUUUUGGUUCUGUUUAUAGAGCAAGACUUGAAGAUGGGAUGAAGAUUGCAAUAAAAGUGUUUCAUCAGCAAUGUACAAGCGCAUUGAAGAGUUUUGAAGUUGAAUGUGAAGUGUUAAAAAAUAUUCGCCAUCGAAACCUUCUCAAAGUUAUCAGCAGUUGUUCGAACCAUGACUUCAAAGCAUUAGUCCUAGAAUACAUGUCCAACGGGAGCUUGGGGGAUUGGCUGCAUUCGAGCAAUUAUGUGCUGAAUAUAUUUCAGAGGUUGAACAUAAUGAUUGACGUUGCAUCAGCUUUAGAAUAUCUCCACUUCGAUCAUUCAACUCCUAUUAUUCAUUGUGACUUAAAGCCUAGUAAUGUAUUGUUGGACGAAAAUAUGGUUGCUCAUUUGAGUGAUUUUGGCAUAGCAAAGCUUUUAAGUGGAGAGGAUGAGUCUACGAUGCGAACAAAAACCCUUGCCACUAUAGGUUAUAUGGCACCAGGUUUGCUUCGAACAACUUUUUUUUUUUAGUUCAUUUUAAAUUUUGCAACUUAUUGAUUUUUACGAUCCUCACAUCAAAAUGUUAUUGAUUAUUUAUCUAAUUGUGAAAUUAAUUUGAUUCAUAGAGUACGGCAUAGAAGGAGAAGUAUCUACAAAAAGUGAUGUUUACAGCUAUGGGAUUAUGUUGAUGGAAACUUUUACCAAGAAAAAACCCACAGAUGAAAUUUUUGUUGCAGAAUUGAGCUUAAAACGUUGGGUUAAUGACUUGCUUCCUACUUCAUUAGUGGAAGUUGUGGACAAAACUCUGCUAAGUGGAGAGGAAAAACAUUUUGCAUCAAAGGAGCAAUGUCUGUUGUCUAUCUUUAGUUUGGCUCUGGAGUGUACAAUGGAAUCACCGGAAAAGAGGAUCAAUGCAAAAGAUAUUGUUACCAGAUUACUCAAGAUAAGAGACACAUUGAGUAAAAGGAUAGGAAACUUAAGUUAAUUUCGUUUGCUUUCAUUGAUAGUUAAUUCGAAUUCAUGUAAUAAGUGUAAGAAUCUUAUAUCUUUUCCUUUGAUAUAUUUUUUUUCUUGAGAAAACUGUUGUAGUCAUGUUGUUUCCAUGGGUAGAGUUGAUUUAGUUCUUCCAAAAAAUGCUACUGAUGACCUUUGUUUUAUACUUUCUCUUUUUUUGCAUGUGUUUAGGUAGAACAGUGGUUUGGCUGCAGGCUAAGAAGUCUAACUACACUAAAAGAAUAUGAUUUAAUUUAUUAAACAAAACUUCAAGUUCAAGAAAAGUAUUUCACUGCCCCCAAUGCUUUGGACACGUACUGGUAGUUUUGUACGUGUCCUCAACUUUUUUUUGGAGCACAAAAUUCGAGUCCCAUGGAGACUCAAACAUUCCUUUCCCACAUCCCGAGCACGCUAAAUUUAUCAGACUGACAACGGGGACAUAUACAAGAGUGAAAUGUUUAGAGCACGCUAAGUUCGAGUGAAAGAGAUUAAUUUACGGAAACUAAAGCCAAGGGUUCAGAAAAAAGUGCAAAGAGAAUAAAGGACAACACUUUUGUGAAGCGACAUUGUUGUAUUGAUAGCACAAUGUCAUAUUCAUACAGAGAUCUAGAAUAUUAUUUACAGCUGGUAAGGGCUAAGAAUUGAUGUAGCUAGAAUACAAAGACGAUAAGGUAUGUUGUGCACUAUUGUUUUAUUCUACGAUCAAUCUUGACCCUUGAUGCUUGGCUCUCAAUCUUGUCCACUGAUCUUCUUUGAUUUUGGACACUUCAAGACCUUUCAGUAUCAUGCCUUGUUAUUGGUGUCUUCCGUGCUGUGGAAUUCAUGUACAAGCUUUCCCGCCGACUUGCCAAGUAUUCGUUCAUUGAUGCAUUUUUAUCAAACAGCUGGGCUACUUAUACCAAACACCGCCUGGUUUAACUCCCCUUCUCUAGCUCAACUAUCUAGGAAGACAAUUAAUUGAGAUAUGAAUCAGAAAAUUAAAUUUUAAAAAUUAUAUUCGGACUCUACAUUUUGUAAUGAACAUUGGUUUGAAUUGUUAUACAUUUAUGCGUACAUAAUUAAUAACCGAUUCUCAAGUGCGGACAUUCAAGAGCACUGCUUAAAGACCAAAUAUUUUGAUUUACUAUUUUUUGACUUACAAUUUUCUUUUAAGUUUUGAUGACGUCCGCAUUUUAAAAUCCUGUGGAACAAAGGCCUGAGGUGCAUAUAAAAUUCUUUUAUAUAAAAUUUGGGGUUCAAUAAAUUAUCGGGAGCCAUACCGAAAGAAAUCGGCAACUUUAUUAUGCUUCGAACGAUAUCUCUCAGAAAUAAUAAACUUCGCGGUAUAAAUGUUUAUAAUAUAUACUUUGUAAAUGCUCUUAUUAAUCAUUCUUAAACUUUCUUAGAGACUUUUGUCUAAAUAAAUUUCGUAAGAGAGUUUUUUGCAUCUCUGUUAAUUUUGCAGAUGAGAUACCUCACGAAAUUGGGUAUCUUCCAAAUCUAGAGAAUUUGGCGCUUGGAUUCAACAACCUGGUAGGUGUUGCACCUGCUGCAAUCUUCAACAUGUCAACAGUGAAAGAAAUUUACCGGUUAGAUAACUCUCUCUCGGGAAGUUUUUCAUCAGGAAUAGACCUUUCACUUCCUGAACAGAUUUUCUGGAACCAUUCCUAGUUUCAUCACCAACGCAUCUAAACUUGUAUAUCUAGAUAUGGGAACAAACUCUUUUUCGGGCAUUAUUCCGAACACAAUUGGUAAUAAUCUAAGAAACCUUGACUGGCUCGACUUAACAUACAAUUGCUUGACAUCUUUAACUCUAGAAUUGAGCUUUCUUUCCUCUUUGACAAAUUGCAAGAAAUUAAGAUUCUUAGGCUUAACAGGCAAUCAACUUGACGGUGUCCUUCCAACUUCAAUAGGUAAUCUUUCUAUGUCUUUGGAAAACAUUUACAUCUCAAAUUGUAGUAUUGGCGGCAGCAUUCCUCAACUAAUCAGCUAUUUAAGCAAUUUGUUGCUCUUAGAUUUAGAAGGCAAUAAGUUGACUGGAUCAAUUCCAGUCACAUUCGGCCGGUUGCAGAAACUCCAAGGUUUAUAUCUUCCAUUUAACAAGUUAGCAGGAUCAAUCCCAGACCAGCUUUGCCAUUUAGCUAGACUGGAUACAUUAGGUUUGGCUGGUAAUAAGUUUUCUGGAUCAAUCCCUUCAUGUUUAGGUAAUCUCACUUCUCCACGGUUUCCCGACUUAGGGUCCAAUAGGCUUACAUCAGUCUUGCCCUCGACUUUUUGGAAUCUAAAAGACAUUUUGUUCUUUGACCUUUCAUCAAAUUCUUUGGAUGGUCCUCUUUCUUUAGACAUAGGAAAUUUAAAGGUUGUGAUAGGUAUAAAUUUAUCACGAAAUAACUUUUCAGGUGAUAUCCCAAGUACAAUUGGAGGUCUAAAAGACUUACAGAAUAUCUCCUUAGCAUGUAAUGGAUUGGAAGGUCUAAUUCCUGAAUCAUUUGGUUACUUGACAGGUUUGGAAAUUUUAGAUUUGUCAAAUAACAAAAUCUUUGGGUUUAUUCCGAUAUCUUUCGAAAAACUCUUGUACCUCAAAAGCUAAAUUUGUCUUUUAACAAACUAGAAGAAGAGAUUCCUAGGGGAGGACCUUUUGCAAAUUUCACAGCUAAGUCAUUCAUGGGAAAUGAGAAAUUGUGUGGUUUACCAAAUCUCCAAUUCCCAAAAUGCAAGCGUCGGACGCGUUGAAAAUCAAAGAAAAAGAUGCUUCUACUUGUGAUUGUCUUGCCAUUGAGUACUGCUCUAAUAAUCGUAAUCCCUCUAGCUCUCAAAUAUAAAUCGAUAAGAGGUGGAAAGAGUAGUACUAGGUUGUUAAAUGAUGUUAUCUUGUCAUAACAAGGAACACUAAGAAGAUUUUCAUACCAAGAUCUUUUUCGUGCAACAGAUAAAUUUAGUAAAGACAAUCUAAUUGACAUAGGAAGUUUUGGUUCUGUUUAUCGAGGAAGACUUCGUGAUGGAAUUGAGGUUGCAAUAAAAGUGUUUCACCAGAAUUUGUGCAAUGGCAUUGAAGAGUUUUGAGGCUGAAUGUGAAGUGAUGAAAAAUAUUCGCCAUCGAAAUCUUGUCUAAAUAAUCAGUAGUUGUUCGAACGAAGAUUCCAAAGCAUUAGUUCUAUAAUAUAUGCCCAAUGGGAGAUUGGAGGAUUGCUUGCAUUCUACCAAUUGUUCGUUAAAUAUUUUUGGCAGGUUGAACAUAAUGAUAGAUGUUGCAUCGGCUUUGGAAUAUCUCCACUUCAAUCAUUCAACUCCUAUCAUUCAUUGCGACUUAAAGCCUAGUAAUGUAUUGUUAGAUGAAAGUAUGGUUGCUCAUUUAGUGAUUUUGGAAUUGGAAGGCUCUUAACUGGAGAUCAAUCAAUGACAUAAACAGAAACACUUGCCACAAUUGAUUAUAUGGAACCAGGUUUGCUCUGAAACAAUUUUUUUUUUUUUGAGUUUUCAUUUAGACUUUCCAAAUUAUUAUUUUUUCCAUGAUCCUUCUAUCCUAAUGUUAUUGAUUAAUUAUCUAAUGAUAAAAUCAACUUGGUUGAUAGAAUAUGGCAUAGAAGGACGAGUGUCUACAUGAAGUGAUGUUUAUAGCUAUGGAAUUAUAUUAAUAGAAAUAUUUACCAGGAAGAAACCCACAGAUGAAAUGUUUACUACAGAAUUGAGCUUGAAGCUUUGGGUUAACAACUUACUACCUGCUUCAUUGAUGGAACUUGUGGACAAAACUCUUUUAAGAAGGGAAGAAGAAGAUUUUACUAUGAAGGAGCAGAGUGUGUUAUCAAUCCUGAGUUUAGCUUUGAAGUGUGUGAUGGAAAUGCCAGAAAAAAAGAUCAAUGCAAUAGAUAUUGUAACUAAACUAUUGAAACUAAGAGACAUACUGAGCAAAGGUUAGCAAAUUUAGAUUAACCUCAUUUCUUGGCAUUGAUAUUUUAACUUGAAUCAAUAUAUACUUAAUUUGAAUCGAUGUAUGAGUGUAAGAAUAUGAUAUAUUUUCCUUUGAUUUGUUUUUUCUUGAGAGAAAUAUCGUAGCUAUCUUGUUUCAAAUUAAUUUUAUGCAUUUUUUUUCUUUUUCUAAGAUCAUGCCUAAGAGCCGUAGGAAGAUCAGCUAAAAAUUCAAAGCCGGCUAAGGCAUUGGAAGAUGGAGAGAUUGUUAGUUUUUUCCCUAUUGAAAUUAAUAUAUAUCACCUAUCCCAACUAUUUUCAUAAUGUGUGAUAACCUCCUGCCACUAUAAUUUUACCAUAUAAUCCUUAUUUUUAAAUACACUUUUAUUCAUAUUAAUAUUAAUUAAAUAAAUCAUAUGAGUUGAAAUUAAAAUUAAAAAAUUAAAUGCCAAAAAUAAGAAAUAUACGUUUUAGUGUGAUAAAAAAAAUAAUAUUAAAAUAUUUUUCUUGUACUUUUUAUUAUACAACCAAUGUUAAGUUCAAGUCCAGUUGCAAGUCCCAUUUGGUCAUGCAUUGUGUUCGUUUCGCUACUGAAUCCUUCAUAAAAUAGUUUAAGGUUUGGAAGUUGGUUGGAUAAAUAGUGCCAUAAUGGUAGUUACUUUUUUUUAUUUCGUAUGACUUUUCGCUAGUGUAUCACUCCUAGCAUAUAAUUAAUCAAUUCUUCCAGGCAUACCAUGACUUGAUUGUGAUGCUGUGGAUUAUCUAGGAAGCAUUUGUGUGUUAAUGUAUUAAACUUUUGUCAUACUGUAUGACUGGUCUUUCUCAGUUUUAUCAAACAUAUGUUCCUUCUGAAAAUAUUAAAGUGGAUUUGAUAGUUUAAGCAAUUUGUGGUUGGAUUUUGGCAGUUUGAAGUUGUAAUUCUGGUACCAAUCAAGACAAGGAAGUGGAUGCCAAGUGUCAAACAACAAGUGGGCAUCUGAAAGUCACGCCACAUUGGAUGAUCCCACAAAAAAUGAACCUUACAGAGGAACAACAUGGACAGAUUGAGCAGGAGCUAUAAAUGGAUAAAAUUUGAGCAGCUGGAGGAUCCAUAGGUGACAAGAAACAACCGGAUUAUUCGAACGGACGUACCUCUAAUGGUCUAUCUGGAAAGUCCAGCGGGUAUGAAGUCUAUACGUGAAGUGGAUGAGGAGGAAGAUGAUACUAAUUCUAGAAACUUCAAGAGCUUUCAUUCUCAUGCUUUAUGAAUUUCUUUCUUGCUUCAGAAUUCAAAUGCAAGCUUUCCCUCUCAGUAUUUCUUCAUUGAGACAUUCUUCUCGAACAGGUUUAUACUUAUGUCAAACAUCUUCUGUUAUAACUAGGAAGCCAGUAAGAUUGUUUUUCAAGUACGUUAAGCGGAAACAAUAGGCAAGGCCUUUUGUCAUUAUAUCUGCCACUUGAUUUUUUCUGCGCAAGUACUUCUUAUUCAAUUCGUUUGUUCCAAUUUUGUCCCUAAUGAAGUGGUCUUAUAUCCCCACACACUUUGCUCUUCCAUGAAAGACUAGAUUCUGUGCAAGUGCUAUUGCACUCUUGUUGUCACAUCACAACAGAGGAAUAAUUAAACAUACAUGAAUAUGCACUUUAGUAAGCAAGGAUCUUAACCAGCUGAUCAUUUCUGCUGCUACAUGAGACAGGGCUCUGUAUUAUACUUUUGUACUAGAUUUUGAGACCACCUUUUGCUUCUUGGAGCUACAUGAGAUCAGAUUUCUUGCGGGGUAAAAAAAUUCAUGAAAACCCUCAAGUAUUUAUGACAUUUAUAUAAAAAUAGAGUUUGAUUUUUCUUUCAAGUAUGUUCCUACAUUAAUAUCUACUUAAAAACUGAAAAUAUCAUUUAAAAAAAUAAUUAUUACUCCACCUUUAAAAUUCAAUAUUAAAGAGUAAUUUGUCAUUUUUAAUUAGAGUUAGAGGCUUGUUUUAUUAUAUAUAUAAAAUCAUUCUUAGGUGCAAGAACCAUCAUUUUUUUGUGCGGAUACAGUAUUAAACCAUGCAGUUUAAAAGUUGAUAAAAUGAAUGGUUUAAUAGUGUGUCCAUAUAAAAAAAAAAAACAUAAUAAGGGCAUUGGCAUUAAAGAACAUAUAUAUUAUCCCAAUUAGGGAUCCCUAAUCAUACUAAAGUCAGGGGACAAUUUAAAAAAUAAAAAAACAAAAACUUCAAUACAGUAUAUUUUGUUAUAUAGUAUAUUGAAAUAUGUAUUUUCUUUUGUCUUUUAGUUUAUCCCUAUUUUAAUAUGGUUAAAGAUUUGUAAUUAGAAACUCACUCUAAUUAUCUAUGUAUUUACUAUUUUUAAUACAUUCACACAAAUAUUUAUAUACAAUAAAUGUAUUACUUAGCCCUGCCUGAUAAAAGAUCCCGGGUCCGGCUCUGAAGGAAGAUGCAAUAUCCCCCUGCUGACGCUUCAUUAACUUUUUCCUUUCAUUUUAAACUUUCUGAAUUAUUGCCUUUCGUAAUUCUCAUAUCAUGCAUUGAGUAUUUACCUAUAUGAAAUUAAUUAUUGAUUAAUAGAGUAUGGCAUAGAAGGGCGGGUAUCUAUUAAAAGUGAUGUUUACAGCUAUGGAAUUAUGCUAAUGGAAACAUUUACCAAGAAGAAACCCACAGAUGUUGUCGCGGAAUUGAGCUUGAAGUGUUGGAUUAAUGACUUGUUACCUAUUUCAUUGAUGGAAUUGUUGUGGACAUAAAUCUGCUAAGUGGAGAGGAAAGACAUUUUUGCCGUAAAGAAGCAAUGUGUGCUGUCUAUCUUGAGUUUGGCUUUGGAGUGUACCAUGGAAUCACCCGAAUAGAGGAUCGAUGCAAAAGAUAUUGUUACUAGACUUUUGAAGAUAAGAGAUAAGUUGACUAAAAGUUAAGCAAAUUUAAAUUAACUUCUUCUCUUUUCUUUUCUUUUCUUUUCAUUGUAAUGAACUUUAAUCCAUGUUAUGAGAAGACUCUUACAGCAAGAAGUGUAAGAACAUUGAAUAUUUUCCUCAGAUAUUUUGUUGAGAAAACUAUUGUAGCCAUCUUUUUCCCAUGGGAGCUGCAAUGAGCAGACUCUUCAACAAUGUGCAAUAUUAUACAGUAUAUUCAAAGACACACUAUCACACUAAAAAAUCUUGAGUUGACUCCUUAAUUUAUUUCAUCAAUCCCCACUUUUGAGUUAAUAUUAUUUAUCUUAGGAUUGUCCUUAUUGAAAAAUAAAAAUAAUUAAAAAAAUAAAUAUUUUUUCAUUCUCUCAAGCUCUUAGUAGAUUAAAUUCUUAUCUCUCACAACUCUCUCAUCGUUUUAAUUUAUUCAUAAUUUGAAUCAAAUAUUAACUCUUGAUCAAACCCCAAAUUAAAAUAAACAAAAUAUUAGAUUAUCACACAAAAUCAAAACCAGUAUUAUCAAUAACAACAAAAAUUACCGCUCAUCCAUUAAAUUUAACAAAAACCAACAUUUAAAUUCAUCAAAUAUUGGUGGAGGUAGUGGAUUCAUGGUGAAGAAAAUAGAUGAUGGGAAUGAACUCGUUGUUGAUGAAGUGGUGGGGGUGAUAAUUAUAUACGAGGGAGGGGAAGGUAGAGACAGAAUAAAAAUAAUAUUUUUUUUGUUUCAAUAAAGAUAAUUCUACAAAAUAAUAAGAUUAAUUGAUAAGCGGGGUUGAUGAGAUAAUUUGAGGGGUUCAAAUAUCAUUACUCAUAUCCGUUUACAUGAAGCUAAUUAAAAAUAGUGAAGUAAUUAAAUACGCUAAUCAUACACAGCUGCAAUGUAUUAAAACAGCCUAAUGAGCUUAGCCUCAAAUUGACCCUCACCGUUGAUCUGCCAUUCCUAUCGUCACUACUUGCCACCUCGCAUUGUAUCAAUAUCUCUUCGUAACACAUAAACAGAAUCAAUUCUUGUACCAAAUUACCAAAUUACCACAAAACUGUUAGAGAGUCGGUGUGAUUUACUCACUGUUAAAUAAUAAAGAGAGUAAAUUUUAUUUUUAUUUUUUUUAAAUUUGAAUCUACCCGCCACUUCCAAAACAGAGAAAGCGUCGUCGUUUUACGAUGGCUCCAUCAUCAUUUCCAUCUCCUCUCGAACGCACUGUCGCUUCAGCUCUUCUCCUUCUCUCCGUCUCCGACAAACCUCCCUCUCUCACUUCUCCACUGUAAGAUCUUCAUUAUUUCACUCUUAAAACUGUUUUUGUUUCUUAUUUGUUUUUCCUUAUUGAUUUGUUUGAUGUUUGUUUAAUGCUGCUGAAGAGCAAGAGCAGCAGCCGGGACGAAGAGAGCGUGAGCUUACUGUCGAGUGGAGAUUCAAAACGGUGCGUUUCAACGGUUACUAGUGAAUAUGCCUCCUCCAGUGAGAUCCGAGCUCAUAAGCUGAGGAUCAUCGCUGUUGUGGCUCGCUGUCAUGAAGUGAAACUCAAGGUACAUAUUCUUCUGUUUGGUUUAAUAUAUAUGAUUAUGUAAAUGGUUUCGUAGUUCUUAGUUUGAAUUUGAUCUGAAGUUGUUUGUUUGAUAAUAAAAUGAAAUCACAUCUCUGUUUUCUACUUCGUAAACAGUCAUCUCUUCGGAAUCAAUUUUUUGUGUUGUUCAUGUUGAAUUUUAUCAAAAGUGAUCAUUAAAACUUGUUUUUCUCAAAUUUAUGUUUGAUCUCUCAGUUUUUUUUUUCUCGACUCUUCAAUUCAAUUUCACUGGAAAUUUACUAGAAGAUUCAAAUUCUGUUCUGCUUGGACCUGUUUCGUUUUGAAUUCUCGUAAUCAUUUGAAGGCUCAAGCAACUUAAAUUUUGUUAAAACAUUUUAAUUAGCUUCGAUAAAUUUGUAAUUCACUUGCUCAUAGAUGUGAUCUCUCCGUUUCACCUCAAUUUUGCGCAUUGUUUGCUCAUAAUCUUUGUUUUUAACUUGAUUUUAAAAAAUGAUUUUAAGAUUUUAUUUUCAAUUUUUAGCUCUUUCAUCCUGUUAUCAUUUAUUUUUCUAUAAUUAAUUUCAUUUCUCUUAGUCUGAAUAUGAAUUUAAAUUGUUUUCUUUUAGUUCUGUUCUGAGACUUUGCAAUUGGUAAAUAUUAAGAGUGGCAGCAAUUAAAGUUGAUUAAUAUGCUAGUAUAAUAUUAGUAUUGACAUUAGGCAGAGACGGAGACUUUAGUGAAUAUUAUUGCUAUAUGAGUAAUUUUUGUAUAUGAGCGUGGCGUAGGCCUACGUAGUUAAUUACAAUUUCCAAAUCUCUGCGGGUUACUGAAAAUUUAAGUGCCUUGCAUAUGACUAUUAACCCAGUUUUUCAUGCUCGCUCGAAGCAUAUUGAAUUAGAUUAUCACUUCAUUCGAGAAAAGGUUGCUGAUGGUGCCUUGGUUACGAAGUUUGUCCCUUCUUCGUUACAAAUUGCAGAUGUUUUUACUAGGGCUUUGUCAAAAGCCAUGUUCCGCAAUUUCAGAUACAAGCUUGGCGUUCAUCAAAUGUCACUUGCCAGCUUGAGGGGGUAUGUUAAGCAAGCUGACCAAGAUUACCAAAAGGAAAGUCAUCAACGGUCAAGUCAACAACGGGUUUAUCACUCCACACAACUUGCUCACGUCAAAGCUAUUUGUCAAGGAAUAUCUCCAGCACGAUUUUUGCACUUGAAUGCCAAUAUCAUGUAGGAAUAUUUCAUUCCUAUUUUAUAAAGAUAUUGUGCAAUAGUUUAGGAAGUAUUCACUUAUUUUCCUUUAAUAUUAUUAAGCCUUUUAACGGCUACUUUGUCUUUAUUUUGUAUAAAUAAAUCUGUAAAUUUCAUUAAAAAUAUAGAACAAGAAUUAUACUCUUCAUAGAAUUUCUUUCACUAAAUUCAUCAGCCUCUUGAACCCUCUCCUGAGGGCGCCUUCUGUCCUCUGUUUUCUGUUACCAUACACUAAUAGACAAAAGCAUUCAGAAUGACAACUGGGACAUAUAUAAGAGUGAAAUAAUUGAAAAAUUAUGCUUUUUUGUUUGUCAUGUUAAAAUCGUAAAGUGCGUAAGUACUAUGAAAGAGAUUAGUUUACGGAAACUGAAGCCAAGGGUUAAAAAAAAAAAGGUGCAAAGAGAAUAAAGGGCAACGCUUAUGUAAAGAGACAUAAUUGUAUUGGUAGCACAAUGUCACGUUCAUACAGGGAUCAAGCAUAUUAUUUACAGGUGGUAAGGGCUAAGAAUUGAUGUAGCUAGAAUACAAAGAUAAUAAGGUAUGUUGUGCACUAUUUAUUUAUUCUACAAUCAAUCUUGACCCUUGAUGCUUGGCUCUCAAUCUUGCCCAUUGAUCUUCUCUGAUCUCUAAAACUUCAAGACCUUUCAAUCUUAUGCCUUAUUAUUGGUGUCUUCCAUGCUGUAGAUUUCAAAUACAAGCUUUCCCGCCAACUUGCCAAGUAUUUGUCCAUUGGUGCAUUUUAUCAAACAGUUUGGAUACUUAUACCAAACGCCUUCUGUUUUAACUCCCCCUCUCAAGCUCAAGCAUCUGGGAAGACAUUAAUAAGCUUGUUUCUCAAGUAUAUGUAUCUGAAAAUUAAAUUUUAUAAAUUAUAUUCGGACUCUACAUUUUCUAAGGAACAUUGGUUUGGCUUAUAAGCUUAUUAUACUCAGGCUUGGUAGGAUUAUCGGUCGGUAGAUGACCGAGUGUUAGAGCUUUCGAAUUUAUGCCAAUUAAAAAAAAAAAAAAAAAGAAUCUACAUAAGUUUUCAACUGGGCUAUUACCACAAUAAACAUUUGGUAAUCAUCAAUUUCACUAUUAUUCGCUUUAUUAUGUUUGUUUCUUUCAGUAUGUUAAAAGAUUAUGUUGUGAAUUUGUUUUACAGGCCGCCCGUAAGUCUGCGCCCACCACCGGUGGUGUUAAGAAGCCUCAUCGUUACCGUCCUGGAACCGUCGCCCUUCGGUUCGUUCUCUAAUUUAAAUUUCCGUUGUAUAGCUUUAGUUGUGGGUAAUUUUGUAUAGAGAAAUUCGCAAGUACCAGAAGAGUACCGAGCUGCUUAUCAGGAAACUCCCAUUCCAGAGACUUGUUCGUGAAAUUGCUUAGGACUUCAAGGUACCUUGUUAUUGUUUUGGUUGUUAUCUUUGUUAUCUUUAAAUUGGGUUCCCAAGAUUUCUUGAUAGACGGUUAAUGGCUAUUUUGUUGCCUGUUUUGCAGACUGAUCUGCGUUUCCAGAGCCAUGCAGUGCUGGCCCUGCAGGAGGCAGCCGAGGCUUAGGGUAUUUCCAAUGUAGCACUAAACUUAACACCAAAUCACAUUUUACACCAUUUUUGGUGUAAAAUGCUUCUCCAAAUGUAACACCAAAAUGGUGUAAUGAAUAGCAUUGCACCAAAUAUGGUGCAACACUAUUCAUUUGCACCAUAUUUGGUGCUAGGAAAAAAAAUCUCAAAUAUUCUUAUUACUUUAUCUUAUUUAUAUAUAUGUCCUAUUUUAUAUAAUAUUUUAAGUUAUUAUUAUUAUUGUUAUUUUUUAAUUUUUGAAUAUUAUACUAAUAUUUUAAAUAAAAAAUAUUCAACACAAAAAUUUAUAAUAAAAAUAAAAUGCCAAUAACAUUAAUUACUAGAUUACAUAUUACAAAAUUAAAUUAACACAAAUUAAAAAAACUACUACUACUAGCAUAAAUUAGAACAAUUAUUUAGUAAUGUGGGAGAUCAUUAUUAGAUCCUCCAAUAUCAUCAAAAUAUUUUUCUAUAUUAAUGAAUGUUUAAUUUUCAUAAUGCACUUAUUAUUGUUAUUGUAUUUUUCUAUAUUAAUGUAAUGUUUAAUUUUUAUAAUGUACUAAUUUAGUUAAUUAAAUGCAAAUUUAAUAAUUUUCUAUAUUUUUUUUGUUAAUCGAUAUAAAAUUACUUAUUACUUAAUUAUCUAUAUUAAUAGUAAUAUUUAUUGUGUUAAUUGAAUUAAUUCUUGAGAAUUAAAAGAAUAAAAAGAAGAAUAUUCUUUUUGGUGUAAAUGGGUUGGAGAUGAAAUAAUAAUUUAAAGUGAAAAAUGUGUAUUUUUUGUGUUGGUGUUAUACUAAAAUGGUGUUAUGCAUUGGAGAUGGCCUUACCUCGUCGGUCUCUUUGAGGACACUAACCUCUGCGCCAUUCACGCAAAGCGUGUCACUAUUAUGCCCAAGGACAUACAGCUUGCCCAUAGGAUCCGUGGCGAGCGUGCUUAAGCGCAAUUAGAGCUGGCAAAAUGGGUCAUCGGGUCGUGUUCGUGUCGUGUCAAAUUUAGGUCGACCCAAACCCGACCCAUUUAAUAAUCGUGUCAAAAUAUUGAGACCCAACCCCGACACGGAAAAAUAAUCGGGUUACCCAAUAACCCGUUUAAUAUCUAUAUAUUAAAUAAAAGUUACAUCAAAUAUUUACACACUAUCAUACAUACAUAUGUACAUAAAUACAUACAUACAUAAUUUAUCGAUAUUAUAAAAUAUACAUAUCUACCAAUAUAUUAUACAUUUACACUAUUGAGGUUUUAAUUAUAUAUAUAUAAAAUAUUAUAUAUCAAUAUUAUAAAAUAUACAUGUCUAUUAAUUUUUACACAUUUACACUAUUGAAGCUUUAAAUGUAUGUAAAAUUUUAUAAAUAAAACACUGUUUAUAUUCACCAUUUUAAAGAAUAAAAAAAAAGAACAUCUCUAAUAUUUGAGUUUUAAUUAUAACAAUAUGUAAAUUAUUUUAAAAUAGAAAAUAUAAUCGGGUCAUUGAUCGGGUAAAUGGGUCAAGAAUUUUAACCCAAACCUGACACGGAAAAAAAUCGUGUUGACCCGGACCCGACCCAUUUAAUAAUCGUGUUAAAUUUGACGACCCAUACCCAUUUAUUUAUGUCGUGUUCGUAUCGGGUAAUCGGGUCGUGUCAAAUUUUACCAGCUCUAAGCGCAAUUGCCGCUUGCUUCAAUUGAAUGACUGGAAAGGGAAGGGGGAAGUUGUAAUGUGUUAAUUUGUAUGUGGGGUUGGUGGGGACGGCGUCGCUUUUUCUUAGACCUUUUUUUUUCUUUUUCCUCCCUUAAAAACAGUGAAAUUACUUAUACUGGUUUUUCUAUUUUACAUUUUGAAUAUUAUUAAUUAAUAUAAUUUAAGAUAACAAUCAGGGAUAAAACAAUCAUUUUUUAUUCAAGAUCAUUUUAUCAAUAUUCUGUUAAAUAUUCUCACAAUUUAACUUUAUCCUUAACAAAAAUUUAACUUUUUUUUUUUAAAACUAACGGAACCAAAUCCUAUAUAUAAAUGUAUAGUAUGCAUUAAUAAAUAAAUAAAACUUUGACGACCGGAGGGAAUGAAUAAAUAAAUAGAUAAAACUUUCGAAGCUCGUGAAUGUGCUAUUUUUGUUUUUUUUAGUAAUUGUUUAAUUGAAAAAAGAAAGCUUCGGGAUUUAUUUUUGACGGGACGGCUGAGAUUUGUUGACCUUCUAGAGAAUGAGAACAGAUUUUCAAUUUGUUGAUAAGUAUUCCUACAGUCCAGCCCAAAAGUACCGGCUCAAUGAGUUCGGUCAUGUUUGGUAACAGGUAUCCAUCACUUUCAAAAUCCGGUCCUACCAACGUAUCGGCUUUCACUGGCUGUCGUAUCAUCCGUGAAAGCAUGGGAGAGUGAGGCUACUCCAAUCUCUACUAGAGAAAUUUUAGAAUAUAUCUGUUGUAUUAUAAUUAAUUGAUGCAUGUAUGAUAUGUGUAAUUGAGUUUAAUACAAUCACCAUUUGUAUAAUAAUUUACAAAAUAAAUGCACACAUAUCAUGACAUUAUUUACUUAUUGUACGAAUAAUAAAUGCACACAUGUCAUCAUUCUUUGGUAAACAAAUUCACAAUAUAUAUUAAUCUUUGUGGAAGUUAUGUCCAAAAAAUAAAUAUUGUAAAAAAAUUUUAAUUACUAAUUUGUUGGACAUUAAUAAAAAAAUUUAAUAUAUUAACUCCUCAUGGAGUAUUAAAAACAAUUAAUAUAAAUUUUUUUGUUUCUAAUUUACUUUUUCAGUUUAAAUUGAUAAUUUAAUUUUUCUUUUUAUUAAUGUCUAAUAAAAAAGAAAUAUUAUUGUACGAGUGUAAUAUUGUAAAAACAAGUCAAAAAGAACAAAAAGUAACAAUAAGGGUGUCAAUAUUUAAUGACAAUGAUAUUUUGAGAUAUUUUUUAAAAUAUAGGGAUUAAAUAUGUAUUAAUCUCAAAAUAUAGGGAUUAAACGAGAUUUUACCAUUAUUAAUUGUAGUCAUCUUUUUAUAAAUUACAAUUGGAGGAAGUUGGUUAAUGUUGUUGACACGCACGCACACACGCACACACGCACACAUAAAGAUUUAUUGGAAGUGCUUAUGCCGACUCGAAGUUGUGGGAAUUAAUGCAUGUAUUGAUUUAUUGGGAGUGUUUAAAUGAUUUUGUGAUUUACUUGAUUGAUUGAAUAUUGUUUGAUUGCUUCAUAUCCAUUCUACAAAGUUUAUUUCUUUGUGAAAUUUCAACGACAUAUUUUUUUUAAAAAAAAAUAAUAAGGGUGUUAUAAAUAAUUUUAAAAAAUAUAUGGACUAAUUAGAACUAAUUACUAGGUAAUUAACUUGAUCUGUACAGGGUGAAACAACAUUUAUCCUAAUUGUAUCAUGACAAAUACUUUUCCGAUUAGAAUUAGGAAACCAUAGGUUUAUUGAAUUUUUUUUUUCCUCUGGAGAAACGGAUUAGAGAAUUAGAAAGCAAUCCUAAUGAUAUAAUUAUCAGGUUUAAAACAGUGCAUAAACAGUGAAAAGCUAAUUAGUCUGUAGAGUAAUUUGCUAAUUGUUACCUCCUCUCUAUGCGCGCUGAAUAAUUUGUUGCAUGCAAACUUUUUAUUUUAUACAAAUCAUACGUACUGUAACAUUGGAAUUGAUGUAUAAGCAAAAAUACAAGAAUAUUUAUGUCAAUAAAAAUAGUUUUUUCGUUCCUUUUUAAAUAAACACAACGCGAUGUUGCUCUGCUCUACAUUUUUGCUAUCAUUUUAUUCUUUUUUUUUUUUUUUGUGGGCUUCUUAAAGCCUCAAACUUUGAUAACCAAAACUUCAUCGACCUAUGAAAAAAUCUGCAGAUUAGUUUUCAUUAUCGGAAUAAUUGUUUGAGAAUACGAAAACAAAAUAUAAAAUAAGAAAAUAGGGGGUUAAAUUUGGGGAAAACAAAAAAAACCAAUUGGGAAUUUUUUUUCUUUAAUUUUUGUUUUACUUGAUUGAGAUUUCUCCUUAGUCCUUACAGUUUUAAGUUUGGAUGCCGUAGGGUUAGUAAUUUAGUACUUCCUUUGCAAGCUGAGUGCGAGAACGAAAAUCUUUAAAGAAAUUAAAAAAGAGUAAAAAAAAGCAUACCAAUAGGUAAUUAUAAAUAACCAUAAAUAAACAUAAACAAAAUGUUUAUGAAGUAAAUUACAAAUGCACAUAUUAUUUUUUUGUUUUAUUUCUUACUUGUCUAUUUUAUUUGCUGCUUGAUAACCCGUAAAUACUAAUCUAGUACUGCUAAUUUCAGACACAAAAUGUUUAACUCUAGGCUGUAGUUUUACUCAAAAUGAUGACCACUGGCUUCGCACCAUUUAACCAGCAUACAUUUCUACAAAUUGAACAAGGCUAUUGAUUUUCAUUAUUAUUUUUUAUUUAUUUAUAAAUUACUAUUUUAAUUUUCACUUUUUAUUGGGUUGUUUAACGGAUUAGUGAAGUUGGUGGUCGUGAUGCACUCACAAGGUACAAUUUUAUUUUAUAAUUUCAAAUUUGUAUUUUAAAAUGCAGGUACAUUAUGUAUACAUAAUUAUUGAUUUUCGUAUGUGGGUGUUUUGAAAUAUUGCUAAAAGACCAAACUUUAAUAAACUAUUUUUCAUCUUUUUUUUUUCCUUUUUUCCUAGAGUUUGAGUGAUAUCCUCAUUUUAAAUUCAUGUGGAACAAAAGCUAAUGUAUGCACAAAAUUCUUUUAUUUUUUCCUAGAAAAAUGGGUAAGAGAAGAAGAUUUUUCUCUUGAAAAAGAAAAACUAAUACGAUGCAAGCAUAGGAAAGAGGUCAGUGUUUUGGAUUAGAAUUUAGUAUUGAGCUGAAUUUUAUACUAAACUCUUUUAUGGUACUGCGAUUAAUAAACUCAUGAUUUGCUUUUGCUUUUACUUCAAGUGAAAGAAAGAGGAAACCUUUUGUUUUUUGUUUGAUUCUUGACUAUAAAAAGAUUAACCAGCGCACACAAUCUUACUGUAGUCCAGACCAUCCAGCUGUGAUGACUCUAGUUUUUUGGUUACAUUAGCUUUAGUGGAAAGGAGGGCCAAUUUAACAAAGACUAUAUUUGGUGGCUUACUAUAAUGCUUAUUCUCAGGGAAUCUAAUGUUAUAAGAUGAUUUAAUGAUCUUCUAUGAUUGUGAGUAGUAUAGUAUAAUUGAAAAGAGCCUGGGCUCCUAUGAUGAAUAUAUAAUAGUAACACAGUACUGUGAUUGAAAAAAACAAAGUUACAAUAAACUCUUCAUUUAUUCAUUGUGGAGAUUGAAUGGCAAACAGAGAAUAAAAUGAAGCAGAGGAAUCUCAUUGCCAGUAAAAUUGACCCUCUUUAAUGUUAUAUGGCACAGGUGUGUGUACAGCAAGAGCAAGUUACUUGCAGUUUUUAUUGUAAAAUAUACAGGUUAUGACCAUGAUCAUUGUAAGGUUUUGAUGAUUUUAGAUGCUUUUUUAUUUUUUUAAAUUGUGACACCUUUGAUUUAUGGUAGUUUUGCAGAAGAAAAAAAUAUAUAUAAAAAUUAGGAGGGAUGAGUUAACUAACGAUUGCAAUAAUAUUUUUAUGGAAAUUCUUGGUUUUUAUGGAAAUACUCUUGCUGAAAUUCUAAUUUUGACUUUCAACUCUUGGUUUUUAUGGAAAGUAAAAUGACUUAUUUGUUAUAUUCAUACAAUCCACUCUACAUAAUGAUUUCAUUUUAAUAAAUGCUUGAUGAUCUCCACUGAAAAACUACUUCAAUUCUUUUGUUUUAUUUAACUUUUUGGUUGUUGAAAAUAGCCUUAAUUUUCAAAUAAUUGGAGAAAGAGUAAAGAACGUUUAACAAAUUUAUGUGCCAAAAAUAAAGGAGAAAUUGAAGAGAAAGGGUGCUUGCAGAAGUGGGUGCAAAGAUAAAUCAGUCCGUAAGAAUUAUUGUGGUUAUUAAGUUUUUGGCAAUAUAAAAAUUUUUCAGCAAAUAAAAAUUGAUUUUUUCCGAUUUACUAAAAAAUUAAUUAAAAACUUCGGUGAUAGCAUUUUUUAUGGGUGCAUGUACACUCCCUUUAAAAAAAAUAUAAUAAUUAAUACUUAAUAUAGUAUUAAAUACGAAAAUAUCAAUAUUUGACUACACAAAUUUAUAUCAUUAGGUCCUUAAAAUUUAAAAUUGAAGACAAAAAAUGAAAUAUAUAUAAAUUUCAUUCUCACAGGAAAGGAUCCUCUUAUAAUCUUAAAAUAUUUGAGCUUUGAAAGAUUUUUUAAAAUAAAUGUACUUUUAUUUUUGUACAAUCAAUAUUUACUUAUUUAUUAUAUUUUUAUUCAUUAACUAUCAAUCAUGUGAGUAUAUUUACUCAGAAAUAUCAUAUCAAGGAAGAAUCUUGAUCCCACGCACACACAAAUAUGUUAAUUUCUAUACGCUUCACUUACCUGUAGAAUCAAUUAUCUAAAAUGCAAGUUUGUGGCCACAAAAAAAGCCAAAGAAAGAAGAUAAUAACAAUUGACUUGUAUAUUAUACUCAUACAAUCCACUCGACAUAAUGAUAUCAUUUUAAUAAGGCAAUGGCUGAUGAUCUCCAUUGAAAAACUAAUUCAAUUUUUUUGCUUCAUUUAACUUUUUGGUUGUUGAAAAUAACCUUAAUUAUCAAAUAAUUGGAGAAAGAGUAAAGAACAUUUAACAAAUUUAUGUGCAAAAAAAAAAAGGAGAAGUUGAAGAGAAAGGGUGCUUGCAGAAGUGGGUGUCAAAGAAAAAUCUGUCCAUAAGAAUUAUUGCGGUUAUUUUUUGGCAAUAUAAAAUUUUAUAGCAAGUAAAAAUUAAUUUUUUUCCGAUUUACUUAAAAAUUAACUAAAAACUUCUCCGACAGCAUUUUUAUGGGUGCAUAUACCCACCCUUUAAAAAAUAAUAAUAAUUAAUGCUUAAUAUAGUAUUAAAUAUGAAAAUAUCAAUAUUUGACUACUCAAAUUUAUAUCAUUAGGUCCUUAAAAUUUAAAAUUGAAGAUACGAAAGGAAAUAUAUAUAAAUUUCAUUCUCAUGGAAAGGAUUCUCUUAUAAUCUUAUAAUAUUUGAGUUUUGAAAUUUUUUUGAAACAAAUGUAAUUUUAUUUGUGUACAAUCAAUAUUUACUUAUUUAUUAUAUUUUAAUUUAUUAACUAUCAAUCAUGUAAGUAUAUUUAGUCAGAAAAAUUAUAUCAAGAGAGAAUCCUAAUUUCACGCAAACACAAAUACAAGACAAAUAUGUCAAUUUCUAUACUAUUCACUUUCCUGUAGAAUCAAUUAUCUAAAAUGCAAGUUUGUGGCUAUAGAAAACUCGCCAAAGAAAGAAGAUAAUAACAAUUAUGGGAAAUGAGUUAUUGUGUGGUUUACCAAAUCUUCAAGUCCAACCAUGCAAAGUUAGCAAGCCGAGGACAGAACAUAAAUCAAGGAAAAAGAUACUUCUCAUUGUGAUUGUUUUGCCAUUGAGUAUUGCUCUAACGAUAGCAAUCACUCUAGCUCUCAAAUAUAAGCUGAACGAAUGUGGAAAAAGAAGCACAGUGUUAUCAAAUGAUUGUAUCUUGUCAUCACAGGCAACACUAAGAAGGUUUUCAUACUUAGAACUUUUACAAGCAACAGAUAAUUUUACUGAAAACAACAUAAUUGGCAGAGGAGGUUUUGGUUCCGUUUAUGGAGCAAGACUUGAAGAUGGGAUGAAGAUUGCAAUAAAAGUGUUUCACCAGCAAUGUGCAAGCGCAUUGAAGAGUUUUGAGGCUGAAUGUGAAGUGUGAAAAAAUAUUCGCCAUCGAAACCUGAUCAAAGUUAUCAGCAGUUGCUCGAACGAUGAUUUCAAAGCAUUAGUCCUAGAAUACAUGUCCAACGGGAGCUUGGGGGAUUGGCUGCAUUCUAGCAAUUACGUGCUGAAUAUAUUUCAGAGGUUGAACAUAAUGAUUGACGUUGCAUCAGCUUUAGAAUAUCUCCACUUCGAUCAUUUACCUCCUAUUAUUCAUUGUGACUUAAAACCUAGUAAUGUAUUGUUGGAUGAAAAUAUGGUUGCUCAUUUGAGUGAUUUUGGCAUAGCAAAGCUUUUAAGUGGAGAAGAUGAGUCUACGAUGCGAACAAAAACCCUUGCCACUAUAGGUUAUAUGGCACCAGGUUUGCUUUAAACAACUUUUUUUUUAGUUCAUUUUAAAUUUUGCAACUUAUUGAUUUUUACGAUCCUCACAUCAAAAUUUUAUUGAUUAUUUAUCUAAUUGUGAAAUUAAUUUGAUUUAUAGAGUACGGCAUAGAAGGAGAAGUAUCUACAAAAAGUGAUGUUUACAGCUAUGGGAUUAUGUUGAUGGAAACUUUUACCAAGAAAAAACCCACAGAUGAAAUUUUUGUCGGAGAAUUGAGCUUAAAGCGUUGGGUUAAUGACUUGCUUCCUACUUCAUUAGUGGAAGUUGUGGACAAAACUCUGCUAAGUGGAGAGGAAAAACAUUUUUCCGCAAAGGAGCAAUGUCUGUUGUCUAUCUUUAGUUUGGCUCUGGAGUGUACAAUAGAAUCACCGGAAAAGAGGAUUAAUGCAAAAGAUAUUGUUACCAGGUUACUCAAGAUAAGAGACACAUUGAGUAAAAGGAUCAGAAAUUUAAGUUAAUUUCGUUUGCUUUCAUUGAUAGUUAAUCUGAAUUCAUGUAAUAAGUGUAGGAAUCUUAUAUCUUUUCCUUUCAUAUAUUUUUUUUUCUUGAGAAAACUGUUGUAGUCAUCUUGUUUCCAUGGGCAGAGUUGAUUUACUUCUUCCAAGAAAUGCUACUGAUGACCUUUGUUUUAUGGCAAUCCCUAUCUUACGUGCAUGUAAGAUACAUCCCCUUCACAUGAAUAAUGUGUGAGUCCAAUCCCUAUCUUAUAUGCAUGUAAGAUACAUCCCCCUCACAUGAACAGUGCAUGUGUGGGACCCACACACUGUUCAUAUGAGGGAGAUGUAUCUUGCAUGCAUGUAAGAUAGAGGGAUCCUUGUUUUAUACUUUCUCUUUUUUUUGCAUGUGGUUAGGUAGAACAGUGGUUUGGCUGCAGGCUAAGAAGUCUAACUACACUAAAAGAAUAUGAUUUAAUUUAUUAAACAAAACUUCAAGUUCAAGAAAAGUAUUUCACUGCCCCCAAUGCUUUGGACACCUACUGGUAGGUUUGUACGUGUCCUCAACUUUUUUUUAGAGCACAAACUUCGAGUCCCAUGGAGAUUCAAACAUUCCUUUCUCGCAUCCCGAGCACUAAAUGUUUGGAAAUUGGUGGGUGAAGCAGAACCGCAGCUAAUAUGAAAUUGGAAGAAAAUAAAGAACAAGCACAAAAAGAGAAUACCAGAAUUACGUGGUUCGGCUUUUAGCCUACGUCCACGGGUGAAAACAGAAGGAAAUAUUUUACUAGUAAAAAGAAGUUACAAGUAUUGUAGUAUUUUAGCUCACUUCCCAAAAUCCCAAUGCACCCAAACUCUCAAAACACCAAAACAAGAGCUUAUAAUUUCAAGCUCUCUAAACUCUCUCUAAAUACAAGAAAACUCUUCUCAAAAUUGGAUAAGCAAAUGAGGGAAUGAGCCCCUCUAUUUAUAGACAAAAUCUUGGCUACAAUUCACUUUUUUUUUAAAAUUAUUUAUUAUUGUUCAAAAUUUCAACAUUCAAAGUUUGAUAUUCAAACUUUGAAUAUCUAGAAGUUUGAAUUUGAUAUUCAAAGUUCGAACAUCAAGACACCCAAUCUUGACAUUCUCCCACUUGGAGAUUUGAUUGAGAACCAAACAAUCUCCACACCAUUCUUUCUGCUUUGCCAUUGCCAUGUUGCUUACGUUUCUGCUAGGCCAUACGAGGAUCUAUUCCAGACAAACUUGUCAGUAUUGAUUGGCUUGGUCAAAACAUCUGCUAGGUUCUCCUUCGUAUGGAUUUUCUGUAAAUCCACACUUCCGUCUUCUACUACUUCUCGAACGAAGUGAUGUACUCCUAUGUGCUUUGUCCUGGAAUGAAAGGCUGGAUUCCUUACAAUGUGCAAGGCACUCUGACUGUCACAAAACACAGAAAUUUUCUCUUGUUUGUGCCCGAGCUCCUCCAAUAAUCUUUGUAUCCAAAUAGCUUCCUUGCAAGCUUGUGUAGCUGCCAUAUAUUCUGCUUCUGUUGUAGAUAAAGCCACAACAGUCUGUAGUUUCGAAACCCAGCUUACAGCUGCUCCCGCAAGUGUAAACACAUAACCAGUAGUGGAUUUCCUUUUAUCAAGGUCUCCUACAAAAUUUGAAUCCACAUAGCCCCUGACAGUAAACUCUGAUCCUCCAUAACAUAAUACAACAUCUGAGGUUCCUCUGAUGUAUCUCAGAAUCCUCUUCACAGCUAUCCAAUGCUCUCUACCAGGAUUCGCCAUGUAUCGACUGACUGCUCCCAUUGCUUAUGCAAUGUCUGGUCUAGUACAUAUCAUAGUGAACAUCAAACUUCCCACUGCUGAUGUAUACGGUACUCGAGACAUCUCCUUCCUCUCUGCUUCAUUGCUAGGACACAUACUUGAGGAUAAUUUGAAAUUAACAGGAAGUGGGGUAGAAAUUGACUUACAAUCUUGCAUGUUGAAGCGCCGCAAAAUUUUCUUCAAGUAAUUCCUCUGCGAAAGCCAAAUCUUCCUGUUAUUUCUGUCUCGGUGAAUUUGCAUCCCUAGAAUCUCGUUUGCUGGUCCCAAGUCCUUCAUUUCAAACUCCCUAGCCAACUGUGCCUUCAAUUCUUGGAUUCGAUCUUUGUUGAGACCUGCUACCAACAUGUCAUCCACAUACAACAGCAAAAUAAUGAAAUCAUUAUCUUCAAACCUCUUGUAAUAUGCACAAUGGUUUGAACUGAGUCUGUUGUAUCCAAGGCUCAUAAUGAAGGAAUCAAAUCUCUUAUACCAACACAUCGACGCCUGUUUGAGACCGUAUAGAGAUUUAUUCAACUUGCAAACCAAUUUCUCCUUUCCUGUUUCUGUAAAACUUUCUGGUUGGAGCAUAUAUAUUUCUUCUUCAAGUUCUCCAUGAAGAAAUGCAGUUUUCACAUCUAAUUGCUCUAGAUGUAAGUCAAAUGUAGCACACAUCACCAAGACUACUCUGAUUGUUGUGAGUCGAACCACCGGAGAAAAUAUCUCGUUGAAGUCAAUACCUUUUUUCUGAGCAUAUCCUUUCACCACCAAUCUCGCACGAUACUGCUCCACUUGGUUAUUGCCAUCACGUUUGAUCUUGUAGACCCAUUUGUUUCCAAUGGCUUUUCUUCCACGUGGUAGUGGUACAAGUUCUCAUGUCUUGUUCUUGUGUAGAGCUUCAAUUUCUUCCUGCAUUGCUGUCAUCCACAAAAUAACAUCUGAGCUGUUUAAAGCUUCAUGGAAAGUUGAAGGCUCUCCAUCUUCUGUUAGAAGAUAGUAUGCAACAUUGAUCUCUGUGACAUACUCCGAGUGCCACGUUGGCGGUCGUCUCUCACGAGUUGACCGACGAAUUUCUUGAGCCUCGGACUCGACUAGUUCUUGUUCCUCGUGCUCUGGUGCUGCUUCAGAAGAAUUUGAAUCUUCUGAAUUAUUUUUCACAUAUACCGGUACAGUUUCUGGCUUUUCUUUUACAGUGCUAUCAUCCUCAUCUUUCCUUUGCAAUUGAUCUUCUAUAAAAAUAACAUCUAUGCUGAUGACGAUCUUGUGGGCAGUAGGAUCCCACAGACGAUACCCUUUUACUCCAUCAGCAUAUCCCAAGAAGAUACAUCUUCUAGAUUUUGCAUCCAGUUUUGUUUUUUCUUGAGCAUUGUACAUCACGUACACAGGACAUCCAAAUGCAUGUAGGUAGGAAUAAUCAGCUGGCUUUCCAGUCCACAUCUUCAUCGCUGUCUUCAGCCCAAUUACUGUAGAUGGUGAUCGAUUUACUAUAUAACAGGCAGUUUUGGUUGCUUCUACCCAAAAUGAAUUGGGUAGACCAGCAGUCCUCAACAUAGCUCUUAUCCGUUCUGUAAGAGUUCUAUUCAUCCGCUCUGCCACUCUAUUUUGUUGAGAAGUAUAUGCCACCGUGAACUGUCUUUGAAUACCUUCUUGCUUACAAAAAGCAAAAAACUCGCUGUCUAUAUACUCUCUACCAUUAUCUGUCCUCAAGCACUUGAUCUUUUUACCAGAUUCAAGUUCUACUGCGUUUUGUAUUCUUUAAACACUGGAAAUACAUCUGACUUUUUCUUAAUUGGAUACACCCAACAUCUUCGGGAAUAAUUAUCAAUGAAAGUCACCAUGUACUUUGCACCUCCCAUGGAUAUAUCCGGUGAUUCCCAAAUAUCAGAAUGAAUCAAGUCUAUAAUGCAUUUACUUCUAGCAAUAGAUCUACUGAAUUUUAAUUUAUGCUGCUUACUUGUAACACAAUGCUCGCAAAAUGGUAAACUUACCGAUUUGAGCCCCGGAAGCAAUUUUCGCUCAGAGAGAAUCUUCAAUCCUUAUUCUAACAUGUGGCCAAGUUUGAGAUGCCACAUCAUCGUUGACUCUUCUCCAUUUGACGCGACACACGCAUCAGCCUCUUGUAGUGUUUCUCCUUUAAGCAUGAAUAAAUUAGCACCGAUCUUUUCUGCCUUCAUCAAUACAAACGCACCUUUAACGAUCUUCAUAAUUUCAUUCUCCACAUGAGUUUUGUACCCAUGACUAUCCAUUUGUCCCAAAGACAAAAGAUUUUUCUUCAGGCCGUUGACAUGUCGUACCUCCCUAAUUGUGCGAAUUGUACCAUCAAAUAUUUUUAUUUUGAUAGUACCAAUACCAGCGAUCUCCAAGGCAUGAUCAUUACCCAUAUAUACAGAUCCUCCUGAGAUAGGUUCAUAUGUGUGGAACCAUUCUCUCCGAGAGGUCAUGUGCCAGGUAGCUCCUGAGUCUAUAAGCCAGACAUCAGAUAGUCGUUUUCUGCCUUCUGAAACAGUUGUUGUUUCGCUGUAGAGAAUUUCGCCAUCAUCCGAGGUACUUACGACACAACUCUGAGCAUUUGAUGACUCAAGUUCUUUGCCCUCUCUUCUCUUCUGGUUACUCCAACACUCUUUCUUGACGUGCCCUUUCUUGCCACAAUUGUAGCAUUUAACAUUCUUCUUACUUCUAGAUUUUGAUCUACCAUGAUUUUGACUCCCAUUGGGGCCACGUUCCGUUGAUCUCCCUCUCGUCACCGAUAGCGCCUCCGCUUGCUGUGAACUUGCUUGUCUGUUUUCCUUAUUUUUCCGCCUGCUUUCCUCAUUUAAUACGAAGGCUGCAACAUCGUCGAAAACUAGACUGUCCACUGGAUUGUUGUUCGUUAAGUUGAUGAUGAGUUGAUCAUACUAAUCUGGUAGACUUUAAAGUAGAAGCUCUGCACGUUCAUUCUCCUCUAUAUUAUGACCCAACGUUGUAAGUUGUGAAAAUAGAGUCUUCAAUGUGUUGAUGUGGUCGGUCACCAUUAUAGAUUCCGCCAUUUGAAGAGUAUAGAGUUUCCUCUUCAAGAAGAUUUUGUUGUGUAGUGACUUGACCUCGUACAAUUUUGUGAGAGUAUCCCAAAUUUCCUUCGCUGUAUUUUUCUUUGCCACACUGGAUAAUACUCCGUCUGCAAGUGCCAAGUGUAGAUCAGAAAUAGCGUUGCCAUCUAUCUCGUUCCACUUGUCAUCAAUUAUCUCCAUGGGCCUUUCUCCAAUUGCUGCCAAGUAAUUAUUUUUCCUCAAUACAGCUUUCAUCUUCAUUUUCCACAACGAAAAAUUAUUUCCGUUAAAUUUCUCAAUUUCAUACUUUGCUGCCAUUUUGUUGAUAACUAUUGUACACAAACUAGUGUAUCACAUUGAAUAGUUGUGAGUAUGUGUAAAAAUGCACACCAGGAAAGUUUCCAGGAAAGACUGGAGGGGUCACAAUGGUCCCACUUAAAACUCAGACUCCUUAAGCUCUUAUCACCUUUGUGACAGAACUUUCCUAGACAUGUACAAAACCACACAGUUGCUUUACUCACACCACUAUUCCCUGCUUUGCACCGCCAAAUUCUUGGAUCGCUCCUACCGUUUUACGUGAAUAGUACUGUAUACGUGAACAGUACCGUAUACGUGAAUAGUACCCCUUACGUGAACAGUACCCGACUCUAAAAAAUAUAACAAAUAGCUCUGAUACCACUGUUAGGAAAUUGGUGGGUGAAGCAGGACCGCAGCUAAUAUGAAAUUGGAAGAAAAUAAAGAACAAGCACAAAAAGAGGAUACCAGAAAUUACGUGGUUCGGCUUUUAACCUACGUCCACGGGCAAAAAUAGAAGGAAAUAUUUUACUCAUAAAAGGAAGUUACAAGUAUUGUAGUAUUUUAGCUCACUUUCCAAAAUCCCAAUAUACCCAAACUCUCAAAACACUAAAACAAGAGCUUAUAAUUUCAAGCUCUCUAAACUCUCUCUAAAUACAAGAAAACUCUUCUCAAAAUUGGAUAACCAAAUGAGGGAAUGAGCCCCUCUAUUUAUAGCCAAAAUCUUGGCUACUAUUCACUUUUUUUUAAAAAUUAUUUAUUAUUGUUCAAAAUUUCAACAUUCAAAGUUUGAUAUUCAAAGUUUGAAUAUCUAGAAGUUUGAAUUUGAUAUUCAAAGUUUGAAUAUCAAGACACCCAAUCUUAACACUAAAUUCAUCAGACUGACAACUGGGACAUAUAGAAGAGCGAAAUAACUGGGACAUAUACAAGAGUGAAAUGUUUAGAGCACGCUAAGUUCGAGUGAAAGAGAUUAAUUUACGGAAACUAAACCCAAGAGAAUAAAGGACAACACUUAUGUGAAGCGACAUAAUUGUAUUGAUAGCACAAUGUCAAAUUCAUACAGAGAUCUAGUAUACUAUUUACAGCCGGUAAGGGCUAAGAAUUGAUGUAGCUAGAAUACAAAGACGAUAAGGUAUGUUGUGCACUAUUGUUUUAUUCUACGAUCAAUCUUGACCCUUGAUGCUUGGCUCUCAAUCUUGUCCAUUGAUCUUCUUUGAUUUUGGACACUUCAAGACCUUUCAGUAUCAUUCCUUGUUGUUGGUGUCUUCCGUGCUGUAGAAUUCAUAUACAAGCCUUCCCGCCGACUUGCCAAGUAUUCGUUCAUUGAUGCAUUUUUAUCAAACAGCUGGGCUACUUAUGCCAAACACCGCCUGGUUUAACUCCCCCUCUCUAGCUCAACUAUCUGGGAAGACAAUUAAUUGAGAUAUGAAUCAGAAAAUUAAAUUUUAAAAAUUGUAUUCGGACUCUACAUUUUGUAAUGAACAUUGGUUUGACUUGUUAUACAUUUAUGCGUACAUAAUUAAUAACCGAUUCUCAAGUGCGGACAUUCAAGAGCACUGCUUAAAGACCAAAUAUUUUGAUUUACUAUUUUUUGUCUUUCAAUUUUCUUUUAAGUUCUGAUGACGUCCGCAUUUUAAAAUCAUGUGGAACAAAGGCCUGAGGUGCAUAUAAAAUUCUUUUAUUUUUCAGAGGAAAAUGGGUGAGAGAAGAAGAUUUGGCAAAAGAAUUGCAACGGCAUUUGAAACUAGUCUUCGUCUUUUAAUUCUUUUAUAUUUGUUUUUGUUAUUGAUGUUAGCUUGGAUGUGUGCGCGUGUGACUGAAUUCAACUUCUAUUUGUUUUUGUUAUUGUUAUUAAUUUUAUUUGUUUUUGUUAAAUUGGAUCACAAAAAAGGGUGGUCCAUUAUCAAAUCAACACGGUUUAAUUAUUAUUAUUUCUAUGCUUUUUUUAUGAACAAAUAUAAAAUAAAAGGACAUAUACACCCCAAAUUUUAGUGCAAUAGUCAUCAGCAUCCCUAAAUUUUUAAAAAAAGACAUCAAGAUCAUUUUUUGAUCUUAAUACUCUUAUACGGUACCUCUAUUAUUCCUAAAAAUUGACUCUAAUGUUUUAUAAUAAAUAAAAAUAAAAAAUUAAAAUAAAUGUAAUAACAUAUAAUUUUAAAAUAAUUUCAAUAUUUAAAAAAUAUUUUUAACAUUUUACAAUCUAUUAAAUAUAUUUUAUUAUAUUAAAGUAAAUUUUAUAAUAAAUAGAAUCAUAUUAUUAAGAUAAAUGCAUUAAAAUUUAAAUUAUUUUGAAUAUCAUGUAAGAUAAUAAUUUUAACAUUACUAGUAUGUCAGAAUUUUUUUUUUUAGUUGUAGAAUGUAUUUAGUGCAAAUAUUUAUUUCAAAUCUCUACAAUAAAUAAAAGAUUAAAAUAAAUAUAAUAAUUUACAUAUCUAAAUUUAUUAAAAUAUUUUAAUAUUGUUAGUCUACCGCAUAGAUCACAAUAUUUAUAUAACAUUUGUAUUUAUUAAAAACUUUAAAAUCAAUUCUUUUGAAAAUAAUAGAGGUAAAGGGUAUAAUGGUCAAAAGGGGGACUUUGUACCCCUUUCUGAAAAUUUGAGAGUGUUGGUGAUCAUUUCUCCAAACCUUCAGGGUGUAGAUGUCCUUUUCCCAUAAAUAUAUGAGAAAAUUGUCAUACAAUAUCUGAAUUCUGAAGUAACAAGAAUCACCUUUAUGAAAUCAUAUUGCUUUCCAUGAUAGACUGUUACCAUUUUUCUAUAAUAGAUUGAAUUUAGUAAAAAAAUUGAUUAAGAUGUCUACUCAUGGAGAGUGAAAUUUAUGUUCAAAACUAAUUUCACAUUAAGUAUAUAAAUGUGUGUGUGUGUGUGUGAUUUAAUUCAUUAAGCACGUGUAACUUUAAGUUGAAGACAUGCAUUCAUCCCCUCGCCAAUGAUUCAGAAAAUAAUGCAAAAAGAAUGAAGUACAAAAUUUAUACAUAUAAAGCGACAUAAUUUUAUUGAUAUCAUAAUAUCAUACUGAAAUUGGAACUGAGAAGAGGCUCUAUUAAUUAAGUAUAUUAAAUAUCAAUUAAAAAUACAAAAUGACAAAAGAAUAGCUGCUGGUCUAGAGGUGGCUUACUACAUUCAUACAAGAUCGUUUCUUGUUCUCUAAGAUGUGGAUUAUACUAAUAAUGCUAUGCAAACUUAUCCAAAGGUCUAUUAAUUAAUUCAUUAAUCCGACGGCUCGUUAGGUUGUCCUUUCAUCCAUACAGCUGCAUGCUUGUCUUCUUAUAUGCUGAUCUUAUCCUCUAGAUCUGUUCAGGCUGAGUGAUCUCGAUCUUAUCCUCUAGAUCUUAUGCGAUCACGACCUGUUGCUUGGUGAUGUCGAAUGCCUGGCCUUUACUUCUCUGAGCCAAUUGAUCAAACAAUUUGUUCAUUUUAUCGAACACCUUCACCAACAAACAUUUGAUUUACUUUUGAUGGCUUUUAAGUGCAUUUGAUGAUUAUUUUUGCUCCAACUUCAGAUAAACCAAACGCUAGUAUAUUAGAAGAAGAAAUUAACUGGCAGCUAACCAGGCCAAAGUAGCGACUCUAUAUAAAAAAUAUAUAUAUAAAAUAAAAAAUAAAAAAUGGGACUUUAUUUAAUUAAUUGUUGGUCUAAAGCUGUUGGUAUCCGUUGGCCACGUUUCUGAAGAGUCAUCUCAAAUCGAAAUUUUUAACGAACAAAGAACUUUGCUUUUUUCCAUUGUUCACAUUGCUGCUGGCUGCCGCCCGUGAGAUAAAAGUGCUACAAUCCAAAAUGUUCCACCAUCAUUUAUUCUAAUUUUAAUUUUCCAAUGGAAAAAAUUACAUAAUUAAAAUGGCUUCUAAUAUCAUUUCCACACCUCAAUAUGUGUCACUAUCAGAAGGUUGUUUUCGUGAUUCAUGGUAAAUUUGGAUUACAGCACCUGUACUUUCUGAUGGUUCAUUAUUUAUUCUCAGGAAUCGAGUCUCCUUACAUUCACUACAACAAAUAGUUAUAUUACCGACCAUAUAUUUUUAAGGGUACCAUUUACUCUUGAUAAUAAGUACGUUUUACAAAGGUAUUACACUGUCGUCGGAUAAACGUAGAAACUAGUAACUAUUUUUCCAAGGGUAAUUUGCCCCUCGAUGGUAAUGAAUAUUUUGUCGGAAAAGUCGAAAUUACACUGAUUUUUUUAAAUGAAUUGUUUUUUAUUUUGAAAUAAUAAUCAAUAAAGAAAACCCAAAAAAAUUACUUCAGCAAACUAACUAAAGACAGCGACUACUAUUUGAAACCAUUGCCUAUUUCAAAUAUAUAAUAUUUAAGAAAAAAACUCGGUUACAAAUAAAAUCACAAAUCAAUGAAGUUUACUCAAUUCACCGGAAAAAAAAAACCCUAGAAAUUCUAUCACAAUUCCCGCCGUCAGCAACGAUCUCUCAUUCACACCGGCACCAACCUCUCAUUCAUGGGGGAACCGAUCUCUCCUUCUGAUGUCAGUAUGUCAAAAUUCCUUUUAUUCGAUUUGCAGAUACGGUCUGAAUCUUCUUAUUGAUUUUCAAUUUCAGCUUAAAAUUAGUCGAGGCAUCUUCAAUUUGCCGGCAAUUUCAGCCACGAUGAUGAUGAUUAAACCACAACCUGUGGGCUACGGCGACCAAGACGUCAAGCUUAAGGCUCAACGAUCGAUUAAAGAACCAAAUCAUCGGUAGCUAGACGAAGAAGCUCUCGUUCCUCAAGGUUGAUGUCGUUCUUGCCGUUUGCAGAAGCCGUAUCGGCCGAUAUUACAGCCUAGCAGGUUCACAUGUGGCUUCAAAGCCGUCUAAGCCAUGCUAGACGCCAGCCUAUUUCCUGAUUUGUCUCUGAUAUUUUCUCGUAGAGAUGAACAAGUGAAAUUUCAAAUCUAUUAUCUUUCUCUUUUGGUUUUAUUAUUGCAUAUUUUUUAAAUUUUUAAUCUUUUUAUUACUGAUUUGGGGAGCUUAGUGUUCAAUUUGUAUGAUCACAUAAGAGGAUCCUGUGAUAUUUAUUUAUCUGACAUUUACAUUUUAAUGUUCAUUACUGAGUAAUGAUCUAUGUUUGAGUUUUUGAUCAUCAUCUGCUAACUGAUUUUUUCUUUUAAUUUCAUGAAUUAUAUAUAUAUAUAUAAUUUCAUAGCUCUUUAGUAUAUGGCUAAGAGCAGAGCACAUCUAAUUUUGAGCCAUAUAUGAUGCCACUUGUUAUUUAUUAAUUAAUAGUAGAGUUAAUUAAAUUUAAAAAAAAGAAUUGAAAGAUAAGAAGUAACAUAGAAUUUUUUUUUUAAAAUCGAAUAUCAUUUUAUUGUAGUACAUUAGCUCUUGUUUAAUGAUUAUAUUUAGUUAAUGGAUUCAUUCAUUAGUUUGUUCAGAAAUUGGAGUUGCUAUAUUUUGAUCCAAAUGAAAAAUAAAAACUUAUAAUGAAGGAUGGAUGGGUGUCAUUUUCCCUUAUAGUUUUUAUAUUGCUUCGUAGAUGAUUGUAUUUAUUUUUUAUGCGAUCAAGCCUCAAUUCUUGUAUCUUUUAUGGCACCAUUUUAAUAGAACUUGAUCGAUACUUGCAGUUUUUCUGCCAAAACAAUUAUAGGGCGGCAUACAAAUUUUGUAGAGGUUACUUUGUAUAGCCUAAUUCAAGAUUUCUUUUUUCUUUGACUUUUGACAUGCAAUUCUUAUUUUGACCAUUAAAUGGAAAUUAAUCAUGCAUUUUCUCAGUAGUGUGAUGCUUAUUUGGCUUUUGACAUGCAAUUCUUGUAGAGAUGAUGCUUUUGGGAUUCAUUUCACUCGUACUCACUAUCAGGUGUCAAGGAAGCUCAUGUGAGCCAAAUAGUCAGCAAAGCAGAGGAUUAUAACAGCAGCAACUUACAGCUGCGAGUUGAUGAUUUGGACUGCCAGCUGGCACCUGGUGGUUAUAUAAUUUCUUGUACUCGUAACUGAUUAGUUGUAGUUUGUUAAUAAGCUGCUGCAUGAUUAGCAUGUGAGAUUAGUUUAGCUAGUAUGGUUAAUCAGUUACGUGAGUAUAUAAAGCAAAGGCAGCACAUUUCCUCUGUAAUCUUGUUGAAAGAAAUAAAAACAAAUUCUCAGAUUCUUAUCAUUUUCUCUCAAUAUUUCUUAGUCAUCAAACAAGCUGUUUUGUCACUUGGUAUCAGAGCCAAGAUAAUGGCGUCUGUUAAUCUAGUUACUUCAAAUCAGAUCCAAAAUACUCCCGCUGUUUCAACUAAUAUUUCAUUCACUUUCAAUACACCAGUGAAGCUUGAUCAAGCUAACUAUCUCAUAUGGCGAUCUCAAGUGCUUGCUUCAAUUCGUGGCAACAGACUUGAAAAGCUUAUUGAUGACUCGAUUACUCCUCCUCCAUCUCACAUUGCUCAAAGAGUUGGAGAUGACGUCAGAUCUGUGGAGAAUCCAGACUUUAUAUCUUGGAGAUCUCAGGAUCAAGUGCUGCUUGGAUGGUUACUCUCUUCAAUGAGUGAAGGAAUCAUCAGUCUAGUCUUCAAUCUGGAGACAUCACGUGAGGUUUGGAAAGCUGUUGAGGUACAAUUUGGUUCUCAAUCCAAAUCACGACUGUUACAUCUAAGAUAUAUGAUGAAUUCUACUAGAAAGGAUGAUAUGAAAAUCACAGAUUACUUCAUUAAAAUGAAAAACAUAUCUGAUAAUAUGGCUGCAGCAGGAAGUGCCUUGAGUAAUGAUGACUUAAUUUUGCAUGUGUUGUCUGGUUUAGGACCAGAUUAUAAUUCAGUAGCUACCUAUAUAACUGGUCAAGUAGGAACUGGAAAAAUGGAUCUGAAUGAAGCUUAUGCAAUGCUUUUAACUCAAGAAGUUAGGAUUGAACAACAGUCUCAUAUGCUAGCUGGUACAGAUAUGAAAAAUAACUUUGAAGCAAAUUUUGCUCAAAACAGAGGACCUAAGAAAGGAAACAUGUUCAAUGGAAAAGGUUUUGGUGGUUAUGGCUAUAAUUCUGGUUCUGGAAAUAACUAUAACUCAGGCUUUAGCAAUAAUGGUUAGUACAAAGGAAACUUUGGUACUGAGUUUGCUGGUACUGGUUUUAACAAUCAGUUCAAAGGAUACCAGUCCAGUAAUCAUGGAGGGGGAGGAGGAGGUAACUGGAAUAACAACAAUGGACCAAGUAACUUUAACAGUGGCAAACCAUCUGUGAAUCCUAAGCCACAAUGGAAUGCAUCAAAGCCUACCUGUCAAAUUUGCCUCAGGCCUGGACACACUGCAAAUAUUUGCUGGAAACUUGAAGAGUUUAUUACUUCAGGUGCUUACAAACCACCACCAAAUAGAGGACCUAAGGCAGCUUAUCUGGCUAACAUGGAUGCUCCAGUUGACAACAAUUGGUAUCUGGAUAGCGGAGCCACACAUCACCUCACAAAUGAUAUGAAUAAUGUGAAUGGUGUUGAACCUUUUGCAGGUAAUUCCAAACUUAUUGUUGGAAAUGGUGUUGGUUUGUGCAUAACACACAUAGGUUCUGUUGUUCUAAGAAUGCCUGAUGAUCUGAAUUAUUCUGAUCUUAAGCUAAACAACAUUCUACUUGUUCCAAAAAUAACCAAAAACCUGAUAAGUAUUUCCCAAUUAACCAAAGAUAAUAAUGUUGUGGCUGAAUUUACUGAUAGUUUCUGUUUUGUGAAGGACAAGGUGAAGAAUUCAGUUAUGCUACAGGGCAAAGCUGAAAAAGGUUUAUAUAGAUUGUUGUGUGUUUCCUCAACCAAGUCCUCUGCUUCACAGUCAAACCAAGGUCUUCUUACUCAUGUCGAGUCAGCUGUUUCAAAUCAGCCAAUUUCAAUGUUUUCAACUGUUGUUUCAAAAUUUCCAAAUAAAACUGCUUGCUGUUUGCAUACAGAAGCACUAUGUUGUCAAACUCCUAGUUGUAUGUUGAAUACUAUGGUAUUACAUCAGAGACUAAGGUGCUUAGUCAUGUAAUCAAUUCUUGUUCUUCCUUAAAGAAUGUCAGUGGUAAUAAAACAAUCGAUUCCUGUGAUGCUUGUAAGAUGGGAAAAAUGCAUAAACUUCAUUUUUCAAUUACUGAAACCAAAACCAAAAAUCCUUUGGAACUUCUACAUACUAAUCUAUGGGGACCUUCUCCCACACCUUCUAUCCAAGGAUACAAAUACUAUGUUAGCUUUGUGGAUGACUUCACAAGGUUCACCUGGAUUUUCCCUUUGAAAACCAAAGCUGAUACAUUUCAAGUGUUUAAAAUCUUUAAAGCUCAGGUGGAAAAACAAUUGGAUAAGCCUAUUAAAUGUCUUCAGUUAGAUUGGGGUGGGGAAUACAGAUCUUUUGUUCAUUUUCUUCAUGAAACAGGAAUACAAUUUAGACAUUCAUGCCCUUAUACACACAAUCAAAAUGGUCUUGUAGAAAGAAAGCAUAGGCACAUCACUGAGUUGGGUUUAACUUUACUUGCACAAGCUAAAAUACCCAUCAAAUUCUAGUGGGAUUCUUUUCAUACAGCCACUUACAUUAUUAACAGAUUACCAACUCCUGUUCUUUCCAUGAAAACUCCCUAUGAAUGUCUCUUUCAUUUGCUACCUGAUUAUCCUUUUCUCAAAACUUUUGGUUGUGCUUGUUUUCCAUUCUUAAGAGAUUACAAUCGUCACAAGUUUGAUUUCCAUACAUCCAAGUGUGUCUUCCUAGGAUACAGUCCAUUACACAAAGGUUACAAGUGUCUUCAUCCAUUAGGGAAAACUUAUAUAGCCAGCCAUGUUCUUUUUUAUGAAACCUCUUUUCCAUACUCUACUGAUUCACAUUUUUUGAAGUCCUUGCCACCUAAGGUGUCUGACUUCCAAUACAAUUCUCUACAGUUUUACAAUAUUUCAGUUCCUCAUAGCAAUCUAAAACCUUUUGAAGCUGCUGCAGCAGACACUGAUUCUCAUACUUCUAGUUCUAAUUACAAUAUCAUGUCACCUUCCUUCUCUACUCAUCCUGUUUCUUCUACUGAUACCAUAUCCUCACCUAUUAUUUACACCACAUCUCCUAUCACAACUCCAAACACUACAUCUUCACCCAUCAUCCAUCACCACUCUCCAGAAUUUCCUAUAACACAUCAGGUUCCUUUACACACAUCACCUUCCAGACCAUCUUUCUCCUCUGCUCAUCCUAUGAUUACCAGAGCUAAAGCUGGUAUCUUCAAACCUAAGGCAUUCUUAACAGCACAUAAUAGCUUAGAGCCUUCUAGUGUUGAUGAAGCUUUAGCUGAUCCUAAGUGGCAAGCUGCAAUGCAACUGGAAUAUGAUGCACUUAUUCAAAACAAAACCUGGAGUCUAGUUCCAAUGGAUCCAGCUUAUAAACUGGUGGGUUGUAAGUGGGUUUUCAGAACAAAGUAUAAUCCAGAUGGCUCAGUCUCUAAGUAUAAGGCUCGGUUGGUUGCUAAGGGUUUCCAUCAGACAGCUGGGGUUGACUAUUCAGAAACUUACAGUCCUAUAGUUAAGUCUUCCACUGUCAGAGUUAUACUGAGCUUAGCAGUCAUGCAAGACUGGAAUGUUAGACAAAUAGACAUCAACAAUGCCUUUCUUAAUGGGGAUCUCACUGAAGAUGUGUUCAUGCAACAGCCAGAGGGUUUUGUUUCAGGGGGAGGCUACGUCUGCAAGCUAAACAAAGCCCUUUAUGGUUUAAAACAGGCACCAAGGGCCUGGUAUGAUAAACUUAAGGGCUGUCUUACUGAUUGGAAGUUUACAAACGCUAAGGCUGAUACCUCACUGUUUAUUAGGCAUGACAUUAAAGGCAUAAUCUUUGUUUUGAUCUAUAUAGAUUAUAUUCUAGUCACAGGACCAGAUUCAGUCUUGCUGGAGGCUUUCAUCACAAACUUGAGUAAAGUAUUUGCCUUAAAAGACUUAGGUCUGGUUUCAUACUUCCUUGGUAUAGAAGUCAGCUACACAGAUCAUGGAAUGCAUCUCUCCCAAACUAAGUAUAUCAAGGAUUUGCUAGCUAAAGCAUCAAUGCAGAACUGCAAAGAGACAGAAACUUCUUUCAGCACAGGCUACAAAUUAGAAAGAACAGCUAAAGGUCUUUUGGGUGCAGAAUUUGAAAAUCCAACUCUCUACAGAAGUAUAGUUGGAGGACUUCAAUACUUGAUCUUAACCAGACCAGACAUUGCCUAUUCAGUACAUAAACUUAGCCAGUAUCUAUGUGCCCCAACUCUCCAACAUUGGUUAGCUUGUAAAAAGGUGUUGAGAUAUUUACAAGGAACUAUUACACAUGGUCUUUAUAUUCAGCAAGAGGGGACUUUGGAAACAAUUGGCUUGACAGGGUAUUCAGAUGCUGAUUGGGCGUGUGAUAUUGAUGACAGAAAAUCCAUUGGAGCUUACUGUAUUUUCCUUGGCAAUAAUCUAGUUUCCUGGUCUUCGAAAAAGCAAGCUAUUGUAGCAAAGUCUAGCACUGAAAGUGAAUACCGACCAUUGUCGGCAGCAAGUUCAGAGCUUACUUGGCUACAGUCCUUGUUUUCUGAGCUGAAGAUUAUCAAGUUGCCAACUUCUGUUCUCUGGUGUGAUAAUCAGAGUGCAGGUGAUCUAGCUAAAAAUCCAGUAUUUCACUCUAAGUCCAAACAUAUAGAGCUGGAUGUUCAUUACAUUAGAGAUAAGGUUCUGAAUAAGGAGUUAGAAGUAAGGUACAUUCUCACUGAAGAGCAAGUGGCAGAUGUUCUUACUAAGCCUCUGUCAUUUCCAAAAUUUAGUUAUUUUCGUUCCAAGCUCAAUGUGAUCAACAGACCCUUGAGCUUGAGAGGGGAUGUCAAGGAAGCUCAUGUGAGCCAAAUAGUCAGCAAAGCAGAGGAUUAUAACAGCAGCAGCUUACAGCUGCGAGUUGAUGAUUUGGACUGCCAGCUGGCACCUGGUGGUUAUAUAAUUUCUUGUACUCGUAACUGAUUAGUUGUAGUUUGUUAAUAAGCUGCUGCAUGAUUAGCAUGUGAGAUUAGUUUAGCUAGUAUGGUUAAUUAGUUACGUGAGUAUAUAAAGCAAAGGCAGCACAUUUCCUCUGUAAUCUUGUUGAAAGAAAUAAAAACAAAUUCUCAGAUUCUUAUCAUUUUCUCUCAAUAUUUCUUAGUCAUCAAACAAGCUGUUUUGUCACUUCAGGCAUAGGUAUAUUUCUAAAAUAUUUCUUCCUGCAAAGGUUGCAGACACUAUGUUGCUGUGCAAGGCUGGUGGUAUGCACGAGACAGAGGAGUAAGUACUUGCUUUGUAGAAGAUUUUAGCUCGUCUUAAGAAUUAUAUAUGAAUUAUUUUUGCUAAAAGACAUAUUCUAACUAGUUUUAUGUUUAAUUGACAAAGUGUGGAGGUUCUAAAUGGCAGUGAUCAUCAUUAUGAUAGUGUGGUUCCUUUGGAUCCUUCCAAAAAUAGUCUGAACAAUGAAUGUGGUAUAAUCUAUCUCUCACUGAUCCUUGCUGAAAUAUUUUAUUAUCAUGUAGCCUAUGAAGUUAAAUUUUAUGGUUUGAAGAAUAUUUUUUAGUUUAUUUAUUAUAAUUGAUCUGCUAUUGAACUAUUUCUCAUUAUAAAUAAUGACAAACAAUAUCUACGGCUGUUGUUACACUACAAAUCCUUUGAUUGAGAUGCAUAUUUGUAUAAAUGGUUAGGCAUUGUAAUCACUUCACUUCUCAAUCAACAUCAAUUACUGAACACAAUUAAAGGUUUGUUUAAGUUACUCAUUCAUGCGUUUCAACAUUUUAGAUUAAAAGGUUUGGUUACUGUUGAUAUAAAUGUUUCUGCUUUUGUAUCGAAUGGGUGCGGUUGUUUCAUGUUUUCUGUAAGGUUGCCAAGAAAGGGAAAGAUAUGAAAUAAAGUUUCCAGUUUUGCUUUGUUUUCAUUUUGCUUUCUAAUUAACAAAGGGGAGUGAAUUCCGUCGGCAAGUGCAAACUAAACCUAAAUUAUCAAAUUUAUUUAUUAUCAUCAGGUCCUUAAAAUUUAAAAUUUAAAUUUAAAUCUUGACGGCACUUUAUAUCAUUAGGUCCUUAAAAUUUAAAAUUGAAGACACAUAAUGAAAUAUAUAUAAAUUUCAUCCUCAUAGGAAAGGAUCCUCUAAUAAUCUUAAAAUAUUUGAGCUUUGAAAGAUUUUUUAAAACAAAUGUACUUUUAUUUUUGUACAAUCAAUAUUUACUUAUUUAUUAUAUUUUUAUUCAUUAACUAUCAAUCAUGUGAGUAUAUUUACUCAAAAAUAUCAUAUCAACGGAGCAUCUUGAUCCCACGCACACGCAAAUCUGUAAAUUUCUAUACGCUUCACUUACCUCUAGAAUCAAUUAUCUAAAAUGCAAGUUUGUGGCCACAAAAAAAGCCAAAGAAAGAAGAUAAUAACAAUUGACUUGUAUAUUAUACUCGUACAAUCCACUCGACGUAAUGAUAUCCUUUUAAUAAGGCAAUGGCUGAUGAUCUCCAUUGAAAAACUAAUUCAAUUUUUUUGCCUCAUUUAACUUUUUGGUUGUUGAAAAUAACCUUAAUUAUCAAAUAAUUGGAGAAAGAGUAAAGAACAUUUAACAAAUUUAUGUGCAAAAAAAUAAAAAAAAAGGAGAAGUUGAAGAGAAAGGGUGCUUGCAGAAGUGGGUGUCAAAGAAAAAUUGGUCCAUAAGAAUUAUUGAGGUUAUUUUUUGGCAAUAUAAAAUUUUUAUAGCAAGUAAAAAUUAAUUUUUUUUCCAAUUCACUAAAAACUUCUGCGACAGCAUUUUUUAUGGGUGCUUAUACCCUCCCUUUAAAGAAAAAAUAAUUUAAUGCUUAAGAUAGUAUUAAAUACGAAAAUAUCAAUAUCUGACUACUCAAAUUUAUAUCAUUAGGUCCUUAAAAUUUAAAAUUGAAGAUACGAAAAAAUUGAAGAUAUGAAAGGAAAUAUAUAUAAACUUCAUUCUUAUGGAAAUGAUUCUCUUAUAAUCUUAUAAUAUUUGAGUUUUGAAAAUUUUUUAAAACAAAUGUAAUUUUAUUUGUGUACAAUCAAUAUUUACUUAUUUAUUAUAUUUUAAUUUAUUUAUUAUAUUUAGUCAGAAAAAUUAUAUCAAGAGAGAAGCCUAAUUUCACGCAAACACAAAUACAAGACAAAUAUGUUAAUUUCUAUACUAUUCACUUUCCUGUAGAAUCAAUUAUCUAAAAUGCAAGUUUGUGGCUACAGAAAACUCGCCAAAGAAAGAAGUUAAUAACAAUUGAGCAUUGAUAGCAAAACUAAUGCAUCAUUUUCUUCUUGACUUGAUGAGAUGGCGCCAUUACAAAAAAACAAGUACCUUAAUUGACGGGCACUGAGUGAUGUGAAUACUACCAGCCAGUUCAUCUCUUCCAGUCUUGCUUAAUCACAAUCACAAACACCACGAGAUCGACAUUUGCAUUAUAUAUAUCUUCAGCAAUCGAAACACCUUGCAUUACCAAAUUAACCAGUAACAAACAAAGCAAUGUUUCAUGGAGAGAAACCUUAGUCUCAGUAUGAUCAUUGUGUCAUUAACCCACUGCCUGCUUCUUUGCUUGGUUGAUGCUGCAGCAGCAGCAGCAGCAAGCAGCAAUAUUACCACAGACCAACAAGCUCUUCUUGCCCUGAAAGAUCAUAUAACUUAUGAUCCGACCAACAUUUUUGCCCAUAAUUGGACCUCGAAUACCUCUGUUUGCACCUGGAUUGGCAUCACUUGUGCUGUCAAUAGCCAUAGAGUCACAGCCUUAGAUAUUUCUCAAUUCAAUCUACAAGGCACCAUCCCUCCUCAACUUGGAAACCUCUCUUCACUCACAACGCUUAAUCUUAGUCAUAACAAGCUUUCCGGAAGCGUUCCCACCUCCAUCUACACCAUGCAUACGCUAAAAUUUCUUGACUUCACUGAUAACCAGCUCUCUGGUUCAGUUUCUUCCUUCGUCUUCAACAUGUCUUCAAUAUUAGACAUUCGUUUGACCAAUAACAGACUUUCUGGUGAGCUUCCGAAAAAUAUUUGCAACUAUCGUCCUUAUUUGAAAGCCCUUUUUUUGGACAAAAACAUGUUGCAUGGCAAAAUUCCUUCUGCUUUAUCAAAGUGCAAACAACUGCAACAAUUAAAUUUGCAGUUCAAUAAUUUAUCCGGUGCAAUACCAAAAGAAAUCGGCAACUUGACCAUGCUCAAAGAGAUAGACCUCGGCUACAACAAACUCCACGGUAUGUUCAUAAUACUAUCUAAAUAUUUUAAUUUCUCACUUGUUAAUUGUCUUGAAUAUCUUAGAUAAGAUCUUGUAAGUGAGAUUUUUUGCAUCUAUGUUAAUUUACCAGGUGAGAUACCCCACGAAAUCGCUAAUCUUCGAAAUCUAGAGGCUUUAGUGCUAGGAAUGAACAACCUAGUUGGUGUGGUAUCAGCUAUAAUCUUCAACAUGUCAUCACUGAAGGUACUUAUCCUCAUCAAUAACUCUCUCUCCGGAAGUCUCCCAUCAAGAAUGGACCUUUCACUUCCAACUAUUGAGCAUCUUAACUUGGCACUUAAUAGAUUUUCUGGAACCAUUCCUAGUUCCAUCACCAAUGCUUCUAAGCUCUCCUUUCUAGAGUUGGGAGGAAACACAUUUUCGGGCUUUAUUCCAAACACAAUUGGAAAUUUAAGAAACCUUGAGUGGCUCGGCUUGGCUAAUAACUCCUUGACAUCUUCAACCUCAAAAUUGAGCUUUCUUUCCUCUUUGGCAAAUUGCAAGAAAUUAAGAUCCUUAAACUUAAUAGGCAAUCCGCUUGACGGCUUCCUUCCAAGUUCAAUAGGUAAUCUUUCCAUGUCUUUGAAAAUACUUCUCAUCGCCAAUUGCAGUAUUAUUGGCAAUAUUCCUCAAGCAAUUAGCAAUUUAAGCAACUUGCUGGCCUUAGUAUUAGAACGCAAUAAAUUGACUGGACCAAUUCCAAUUACAUUCGGCCGACUGCAGAAACUCCAAGGCUUAUAUCUUGCAUCCAAUAAGUUGGUAGGUUCAUUCCCAGAUGAGCUUUGCCAUCUAGGUAGGCUGGCUGUAUUGGCCUUACUUGACAAUAGGCUUUCAGGAUCUAUACCUUCAUGCGUAAGUAAUCUCACUUCUCUAAGAUCUCUCUAUUUAGAGUCCAAUAGGUUUACUUUUGUCAUUCCCUCAACUUUCUGGAGCCUAAAAGACAUCUUGUUCUUUGACUUUUCAUCAAAUUUCUUGGUUGGUCCUCUUUCUUUAGACAUAGGAAAUUUGAAGGUGCUUGUAAGAAUAAAUUUAUCAGAAAAUAACUUAUCCGGUGAUAUCCCAGCCACAAUUGGAGGACUGAAAGACCUUCAAUUUAUGGACCUAGCAUAUAAUAGAUUGGAAGGCCCAAUUCCUGAAUCAUUUGGUGACUUGACAAGUUUGGAGGUUUUGAAUUUGUCAAAUAAUAAAAUCUCUGGGUCUAUUCCAAAAUCCAUGGAGAAACUCUUUUACCUCCGAGACUUAAAUCUCUCUUUCAAUGAACUAGAAGGUGAGAUUCCUAGUGGAGGAAUUUUUGCCAACUUCACAGCUGAGUCAUUUAUGGGAAAUGAGUUAUUGUGUGGUUUACCAAAUCUUCAAGUCCAACCAUGCAAAGUUAGCAAGCCGAGGACAGAACAUAAAUCAAGGAAAAACAUACUUCUCAUUGUGAUUGUUUUGCCAUUGAGUAUUGCUCUAACAAUAGCAAUCACUCUGCCUCUCAAAUCUAAGCUGAUCGAAUGUGGAAAAAGAAGCACAGUGUUGUCAAAUGAUAGUGUCUUGUCAUCACAAGCAACACUAAGAAGAUUUUCAUACUUAGAACUUUUACAAGCAACAGAUAAUUUUGCUGAAAACAACAUAAUUGGCAGAGGAGGUUUUGGUUCCGUUUAUGGAGCAAGACUUGAAGAUGGGAUGAAGAUUGCAAUAAAAGUGUUUCACCAGCAAUGUGCAAGCGCAUUGAAGAGUUUUGAGGCUGAAUGUGAAGUGUUAAAAAAUAUUCGCCAUCAAAACCUUAUCAAAGUUAUCAGCAGUUGCUCGAACGAUGACUUCAAAGCAUUAGUCCUAGAAUACAUGUCCAACGGGAGCUUGGGGGAUUGGCUGCAUUCUAGCAAUUAUGUGCUGAAUAUAUUUCAGAGGUUGAACAUAAUGAUUGACGUUGCAUCAGCUUUAGAAUAUCUCCACUUCGAUCAUUCAACUCCUAUUAUUCAUUGUGACUUAAAGCCUAGUAAUGUAUUGUUGGAUGAAAAUAUGGUUGCUCAUUUGAGUGAUUUUGGCAUAGCAAAGCUUUUAAGUGGAGAAGAUGAGUCUAUGAUGCGAACAAAAACCCUUGCCACUAUAGGUUAUAUGGCACCAGGUUUGCUUCAAACAAUUUUUUUUUGAGUUCAUUUUAAAUUUUCCAAAUCAUCGAUUUUUACGAUCCUCAUAUCAAAAUGUUAUUGAUUAUUUAUCUAAUUGUGAAAUUAAUUUGAUUCAUAGAGUACGGCAUAAAAGGAGAAGUAUCUACAAAAAGUGAUGUUUACAGCUAUGGGAUUAUGUUGAUGGAAACUUUUACCAAGAAAAAACCCACAGAUGAAAUUUUUGUCGGACAAUUGAGCUUAAAGCGUUGGGUUAAUGACUUGCUUCCUAAUUCAUUAGUGGAAGUUGUGGACAAAACUCUGCUAAGUGGAGAGGAAAAACAUUUUGCCGCAAAGGAGCAAUGUCUGUUAUCUAUCUUUAGUUUGGCUCUGGAGUGUACAAUGGAAUCACCGGAAAAGAGGAUUAAUGCAAAAGAUAUUGUUACCAGGUUACUCAAGAUAAGAGACACAUUGAGUAAAAGGAUAGGAAAUUUAAGUUAAUUUCGUUUGCUUUCAUUGAUAGUUAAUUCAAAUUCAUGUAAUAAGUGUAAGAAUCUUAUAUGCUUUCCUUAGAUUUUUUUUUUUUUUUGAGAAAACUGUUGUAGUCAUCUUGUUUCCAUGGGCAGAGUUGAUUUAGUUUUUCCAAGAAAUGCUACUGAUGACAUUUGUUUUAUACGCUCUCUUUUUUUGCAUGCGUUUAGGUAGAAUAGUGGUCUAGCUGCAGGCCAAUAAGUCAAGCUACGCCAAAAGCGUAUGAUUGAAUUUAUAAGAGUGAAAUAAUUAGCAAAAAGAGUUUAGAAUGACAACUGGGACAUACAUAUAUAAGAGUGAAAUAAUUAAAAAAUAAUGCUUUUUUGUUUGUCGUGUUAAAAUCGUAAGUACCGAAGUACUGUGAAAGAGAUUAAUUUACAGAAACUGAAGCCAAGGGUUCAAAAAAAAAGUGCAAAGAGAAUAAUUGUAUUGGUAGCACAAUGUCAUAUUCAUACAGAGAUCAAGUAUAUUAUUUACGGCUAGUAAGGACUAAGAAUUAAUUGUACACUAUUGUUUUAUUCUACAAUCAAUCUUGACCCUUGAUGCUUGGCUCUCAAUCUUGUCCAUUGAUCUUCUCUGAUUUUGGAGACUUGAAGACCUUUCAGUAUUAUGCCUUGUUGUUGGUGUCUUCCAUGCGGUAGAACCGACGACUUGCCAAGUGUUUGUUCAUUGACGCAUUUUAUCAAACAGUUGGCCUGCUCAUAGCAAACAGCUCCUGUUUUAAUUCGAUGUUAUACGGGUAUUUCAUUUAUUUGAGUAGGGGUUAGGGGUCAAUUGGAUACAAAUUCAAAAUUAUCCUUACUUGAGAUGGUGAUAAAAAUUGGGGAUUUAAUUUGGAUGUGAUUAGCUACAAAUAUUAAGCUCAUACAUUUAAUUCAAAAUUGGAGGGCUGAUAUAUGUGCAUCAUCGUGCACGUUAUAGUGACACUGCGUCACCAUCCCACAACCUCUCCAAUGAAAAAUUGACAUGCAUCUUGUGCGCUUCUGAUCAAAAUCCUGAAAAUUAAUCACAAAGUUAUACUUUUAUUAUAAAAAGAAUAAAGAAACUCCAAGAAAAAAAAAAUAGACUUACAUAAAUAGUUUGAGUAUUCUAGAUUCCAAGUUGUCUAUAUUAGCUUGAUCUUUUUAUAAAUAGUCAUCUUCGAAAAAAAAUUCCACCACCAUAUAUUUUAAUUUUAUGUUAAUUAAUAAAUAGAAAAAAAAUCAUUUUAGAAUUAAUUAAAACAUUAUUUAUUGUUGCCAAAAAAAAGGAAGAAUUUAGUGAUAAGAAAAAAGUGUCUCAAAUAUACGUUAAAAAAAUUAAUCAUGGUGGGUUCGAUUGAUUGAAUUUUUUUUUUUAUCUUUUUCUUUUUUAAGAAUUAAGACAAUUGGAUUGAUUGAGUAAUAAUAAAAUAUAUUUAUUUGGCAAAUGGCAGUUAGGCUUUCUUCUGAUGCAGAUUAAUUAGAGAGAAUAUAUAACCAUUUUAAGCUCGUCAGAUUCGGAACCUGCUUAUCUGUCGUGUGGGGAUCACUUCCGUGUCUUAUUUUUCUACAAAAAUCUAGACCAUUGGAUUUCCCAUUAGUCAAUAGAUAAAUGUUUGAUCUUGAUUCUUGAUUAAGAUCGAAGUUUGAUUCUAACCAACAUGAUGUCUGAUUCAGAUUGCGAAGCCAGCAAAUUGAAAGUAACUUGUUCUAUUUUGAUAAAACAUUCUCAUAGUAAAGUGAAUUACCAUCCAACGAUCCAACUCAUGUUUUCAAAUUGUAAAUUGCAAAUCGUGUGUUUGCCCCAUUACAGAGUUUCUUCAAUCUGAAAUAGAGAAUCAUUUGUGUUCUAGAUUAAUCGUGGGUCUAUAUCCAAAUCUAAAAAUUGACUAAAUUCUUAAUCCUAACAAGAAAAAUUGAAGAUUAAAAACAACUAAUUUGGUACCAUACCACUAUUGUAACAUAGGUAGAUCCUCUAUUAAUUGGAGUAAAGAUUGAAUUAUCUCAUUUAUUAAGGUUUAUCAAAAUCUUGUGUCAAAAUCUAUUAAUGAUAUAGGUUCAAGGAUGAAAGAGUCACUUCAUUACUUUUGAGUUCCCAAAUAGAUGAAUGGGUGUUAUUUUUGGAUUCCGGAGAGUCGAAAAUAUUAGGAUAGGUGCUAAAUCGAAUUAAGUUGUAGAUAAGAUAGAAAUGGAUUUGGAGAGAUUGGAAUCCUAGGUAAUCCGGUGCACGUUGUCGUGUUAAAUUAUCGUUGACUUCACGUUGACUGAAGCAUUAUUGGAAGAAACAAGUUUAUUGAUGUGAGGCCUUUGAGAUUGUAAGUGUUAAAUCUGAGAAGAAUACCCACACACCCAUUAUCCUAUUACUCUUAUAUCACAUGAAGAGAAUUCAACAUUUGAUUCACACGGAAAAAAUUUGUGAGGAUUGUGAGGGUUGAUGGAAUAUAAUUUAGAUACAAAGUGUUUACCAGUGCGAUGCUUCGCAAGUGUUCUUGAAUCAAUAUAAACUCACAUUAUUUUCAUAGUGAUUGUUUCAUCUGCACGUGGAUAUAAUCACAUGUCGAGAUUUUUUUCCUUAAAUUAUGGUCUUAUUUAGUAUUGAGGUGUUAUAUCUUUUAAGGUACAAUUAUUGUUGGAAAAAAGUUACAACUAUCAAAUAAAAUUAAUACUAUGUGCUAAAUAUAAUUGUUAAAUAAUAAUUUUGACAAAAUUAGUGAAGUUAUAUAGAUUUUUUUUCAUCAUCCAAGUAUAAAAUCAAAUCAACUUAACUUCUAAGUUAUAUAUCGGUUACUGUUUAUCAUAUGUUUUAGUUCUGUAACUUUUAAGUUAUAGUUACCCAACCUCAAUUCUAAACAAGACCUAUAAAGAUCAAAGAUUUCCUCAUUAAAUUAUAUGUCUUGUGAUUGCUUAUUUAAUUUAUAUUUUUGUUAUUUAUCUUUAUUAAUUAUAAUCAUCUUUUUAUAAAUUAAAAUUGAAGGAAGUUGAUUGAUGUUGUUGACACACACGCACACACUCACAAAGACAUAUUGGAAGUGCUUACGUCGACUCGAAGUUGUUGGGAAUUAAUGCAUGUAUUGAUUUAUUGGGAGUGUUUAAAUGAUUUUGUGAUUUACUUGAUUUAUUGAUUGAAUAUUGUUUGAUUGCUUCAUAUCCAUUCUAGAAAGUUUAUUUCUUUGUGAAAGUUCAACGAAAUAUGUUUUUUUUUUUUUAAAUAAGGGUGUUCUAAAUAAUUUUAAAAAAUAUAUGGACUAAUUAGAAUUAAUUAUUAGGUAAUUAACUCAAUCUGUACGGGGUAAAACAACAUUUAUCCUAAUUAUAUCAUGAUAAAUACUUUUCCGAUUAGAAUUAGGAAAUCAUAGGUUUGUUGAAUUGUUUUUUUUUUAUUUUCCUUUGCGGAAACGGAUUAGAGAAUUAGAAAACAAUCAUGUUGAUGUCAAAAUCUGAUCUAGUCGGUUAGCGACUUAAUAUCAUAUUACUGCACCAGUAUUAAAUUUAUUUGGUAGAGAAUCGGCUGGUCAAUUGUCAAGAUGUCCUGCAAUCACUAGCGAUUAACCUACGAAUAUAUGAAAUUAUAGAAGACGGUAAGAGGCACCGGAAGUUUUUUCGUCGUGAACCUUCUGACGCUCAAGUCAGUUUAUAGGUUUACGAUAAUAAAAAUAAAUAAUUUCUAUUUAAAACAAAAAAUAGAGUUCAAAAGCUCAAAAAUAAAACCCAAUCCCAAUAUGAAAAUGAAUAUCUUUUUUUUUAGCUUGGCCGAAUCCUUCUGCCUCCUAAAGAAACAUAAUAGAGAAGCCGGUAGCCAUGUUCCCUAGGUAACGCCCCACUCCCCUCUUUUAUUCCUCCCCCUCUCUUCUGUUUCCUUCUUUUGCUCACUAUCCUUUAUAAUUUUUUAUGCUUGUCUUCCCAAAAUAGCCUUUGAAUACACAAGUAAAUGUCUAGGCUUUGGUGAGGAUAGUUUGGUUAUUGCAUUUUACAAGUAAGAUGAGUGGUGGAGAAAAAUGAGGAGUGCAUAUAACUCUUCAGCAAAUCCCACCAACAAUUCCAUUUUCUUAAUUAAUUAAUCUCCUUUUUUAUCCCCAAACAAAUCCUAAUGAUACUAUUAUCAGGUUUAAAACAGUACAUAAAUAGUGAAAAGCUAACUAGUCUGUAGAUUAAUUUGCUAAUUGCUAUCUCCUCUCUACGCGCUCUGAAUAAUUUGUUGCAUGCAAACUUUUUAUUUUAUGCAAAUCGUACGUACUGUAACAUUGGAAUUGAUGUAUAAGCAAAAAUACAAGAAUCUUUAUGUCAAUAAAAAUAGUUUUUUUUUCCUUUUUAAAUAAACACAACGCGAUGUUGCUCUUCUCUACAUUGUUGCUAUCUCUUUAUUCCCUUUUUUUUUUUUCGGCUUCUUAAAGCCUCAAACUUUGAUAACCAAAACUUCAUCAAACUUUGAAAAAAAUCUGUCUGGUUAGUUAUUAUUAUCGGAAUAAUUAUUUGAGAAUACUAAAACAAAAUAUAAAUAAGAAAAUACGGGGUUAAAUUUGGGGAAAACAAAAAGGCAUGUUGGAUAGAUUACUAUAGUUUAAGGGAAAAAAAAUCCAAUUGGGAAUUUUUUUCUUUAAUUUUUGUUUUACUUGAUUGAGAUUUCUCCUUAGUCCUUACAGUUUUAAGUUUGGACUCCGUAGGGUUAGUAAUUUAGUACUUCCUUUGCAAGCUGAGUGCAAGAAUGAAAAUCUUUAAAGAAAUUAAAAAAGAUUAAAAAAAAGCAUACCAAUAGGUAAUUAUAAAUAACCAUAAAUAAACAUAAACAAAAUGUUUAUGAAGUAAAUUACACAUGCACAUAUUAUUUUUUUGUUUUAUUUCUUACUUGUCAAUUUUAUUUGCUGCUUGAUAACCCGUAAAUACUAAUCUAGUACUGCUAAUUUCAGACACAAAAUUUUUAACUCUAGGCUGCAGUUUUACUCAAAAUGAUGACCACUGGCUUCGCACCAUUUAACCGGCAUACAUUUCUACAAAUUGAACAAGGCUAUUGAUUUUCAUUAUUAUUUUUUAUUUAUUUAUAAAUUACCAUUUUAAUUUUCACUUUUUAUUGGGCUGUUGAACGGAUUAGUGAAGUUGGUGGUCGUGAUGCACUCAUAAGGUACAAUUUUAUUUUAUAAUUUCAAAUUUGUAUUUUAAAAUGCAGGUACAUUAUGUAUACAUAAUUAUUGAUUUUCGUAUGUGGGUGUUUUGAAAUAUUGCUAAAAGACCAAACUUUAAUAAACUAUUUUUCAUCUUUUUUUUUCCUUUUUUCCUAAAGUUCGAGUGAUAUCCGCAUUUUAAAUUCAUGUGGAACAAAAUCUAAUGUAUGCACAAAAUUCUUUUAUUUUUUCCAAGAAAAAUGGGUAAGAGAAGAAGAUUUUUCUCUUGAAAAAGAAAAACUAAUAUGAUGCAAGCAUAGGAAAGAGGUCAGUGUUUUGGAUUAGAAUUUAGUAUUGAGCUGAAUUUUAUACUAAACUCUUUUAUGGUACUGCGAUUAAUAAACUCAUGAUUUGCUUUUGCUUUUGCUUUUACUUCAAGUGAAAGAAAGAGGAAACCUUUUGUUUUUUGUUUGAUUCUUGACUACAGAUGUUAGCUAUAUAGAGAGUUGAGGUAGCAGCCUUAAGUGAUGGUGAUAAAAAGAUUAGGCAGCGCACACAAUCUUACUGUCGUCCAGACCAUCCAGCUGUGAUGACUCUAGUUUUUUGGUUACAUUAGCUUUAGUGGAAAGGAGGGCCAAUUUAACAAAGACUAGAUUUGGUGGCUUACUAUAAUGCUUAUUCUCAGGGAAUCUAAUGUUAUAAGAUGAUUUAAUGAUCUUCUAUGAUUGUGAGUAGUAUAGUAUAAUUGAAAAGAGCCUGGGCUCCUAUGAUGAAUAUAUAAUAGUAACGCAGUACUGUGAUUGAAAAAAACACAGUUACAAUAAACUCUUCAUUUAUUCAUUGCGGAGAUUGAAUGGCAAACAGAGAAUAAAAUGAAGCAGAGGAAUCUCAUUGCCAGUAAAAUUGACCCUCUUUAAUGUUAUAUGGCACAGGUGUGUGUACAGCAAGAGCAAGUUACUUGCAGUUUUUAUUGUAAAAUAUACAGGUUAUGACCAUGAUCAUUGUAGUUAGGUUUUGAUGAUUUUAGAUGCUUUUUUUAUUUUUAUUUUUUAAAUUGUGACACCUUUGAUUUAUGGUAGUUUUGCAGAAGAAAAAAAUAUAUAUAAAAAUUAGGAGGGAUGAGUUAACUAACAAUUGCAAUCAUUGCAGUAAUGUUGAUGAGUGAUACAUCAUUUGAAAUUUACUUGUCAGUUGCUAAAAUGAUGAAAAAAAACAAUAAACAAUAGCAGUAAUAUUUUUAUGGAAAUUCUGGGUUUUUAUGGAAAUACUCUUGCUGAAAUUCUAAUUUUGACUUUCAACUCUUGGUUUUUAUGGAAAGUAAAAUGACUUGUUUGUUAUAUUCAUACAACCCACUCUACAUAAUGAUUUCAUUUUAAUAAAUGCUUGAUGAUCUCCACAGAAAAACUACUUCAAUUCUUUUUUUUUAUUUAACUUUUUGGUUGUUGAAAAUAGCCUUAAUUUUCAAAUCAUUGGAGAAAGAGUAAAGAACAUUUAACAAAUUUAUGUGCCAAAAAUAAAGGAGAAAUUGAAGAGAAAGGGUGCUUGCAGAAGUGGGUGCAAAGAUAAAUCAGUCCAUAAGAAUUAUUGUGGUUAUUAAUUUUUUGGCAAUAUAAAAAUUUUUCAGCAAAUAAAAAUAGAUUUUUUUCUGAUUUACUAAAAAAUUAAUUAAAAACUUCGGCGAUAGCAUUUUUUAUGGGUGCAUGUACCCUCCCUUUAAAAAAAAUAUAAUAAUUAAUACUUAAUAUAGUAUUAAAUACGAAAAUAUCAAUAUUUGACUACACAAAUUUAUAUCAUUAGGUCCUUAAAAUUUAAAAUUGAAGACACAAAAUGAAAUAUAUAUAAAUUUCAUUCUCAUAGGAAAGGAUCCUCUUAUAAUCUUAAAAUAUUUGAGCUUUGAAAGAAUUUUUAAAACAAAUGUACUUUUAUUUUUGUACAAUCAAUAUUUACUUAUUUAUUAUAUUUUUAUUCAUUACACUACUAGAAAAAUGGUCUUUUGUGACACUUGUCUUCUGACACUUUAUUAUAAAGUAUCAGUAAUUACAUAUAUUUGGGGCAUUUUCCGUGUUUAACAUAUAAGUAUCACAAAUUGCUAAUACUAUGGUGUCAGUAAAUUUAAUAUCACAGAUUCGUGACACUAAAGUAUUAGUAGUUAAAAAAAUAAAAUUUUAAUUUUGUAUCUAGUAAUAAUCGCACCGAAGACCCCGAAGCCAUAACCUUUUGCUUUUAACCGCUAUACCACUCGGCCACAAAUUGCAUUUUUGAACUUAUAAAUUAAUAAAUAAAUAAAUAUUAAAACUUAAAACCUAAAACCUAAAAAUUUUUCAUGUAUGGUAUGUGUGAAACCUAAAACCUAAAAAUUUUUGUUAAGUCAAAAAUCUAUCUUAUGGCCGCCGAAGCUUUCUUCCUUCUCUCUCCUUCCCUCUCUCUCGCUCUCUUUCUCUCUCGAACAAUGAUCUACCUUGAAAGCCGCCUCCGUCAACACCUUGAAAGCCGCCGUCCUUAAGCUAAAAUAUCCCUGAAAAGAACCCAGAAAGUGCUGUGAAGAAUUUGGGCAAAGCUAAGGUUUGAAAGUCCGAAUCAGUGUUGUGGUAACUCUUUGCCUCAUUCUCUAUUCUCAUUGUUUAAGUAUUUAUCUGUUAAUUGAUUGAUGUUUAUUGAGUGCAAAUGAGAGCUUGCACUUGUUUGGAAAUCCAGCCAUCUAGGGUUUUUGUUGCUUAUAAUCUAAUUUAUUGUUUAAUAAAAUAAAUAAAACGCAGCUUUAUUAUAGGUGGAAUUCAGUUUAUUAAGUGAAAGAAUGAUUACAAUCGGUGAUUAUGGAUUUAGGUUGAAUGCAAUUUGUUAAUUAAAAGAAUAAUGGUAAUCGACAGUCAUGGGUUUAGUAUGUAUUAUAUAUUUCGUUUAAUGGUGUGUAUGAAAACCCAAAACCUAAAAUUUUCUUAAGUAAAAAUCUCAGUUCUCCCUCACAACCUAUAAGCCCAUCACUCUCUCUCUCUCUCUCUCUCCCCUCUUUCUAGCUAACAACCCAAAACUUAUUGUGAAACCGCCAUUUCAAUCUUUCAAAGCUCAUUAGUUAGCUGGUCAUUGUGAAAAGUAAGGUUAUUGUUUGCUUUAUGUCUAAUUUACUUUAAACAUGGGGAUUGAUGAUAUUCGAGUUGCUGAACACUUGAUUUUGAGGUGAAAGAUUAAUUAAUAGUUUACAAAAUUAUGCUGAAAAUUUGAGGAUUGAUAGACUGUUGUUGUGAACUUGGUUGUUUCCGAACUUGACUAAAUGACUUUCAAUUGAUUUGAAAGUUUGAUUAAACUAAGUUUAAAUGAGAACAUUUUAAUUCUGGAAAUUUUGGAAUGAAUUGGGUCUAUAUUUGAUUUUGAAUGGAUUUCUCAAUAUGGUUGGUUGUUGUCCAAUUUUAUUAGAAAUUACAUAUGUACCAUGUUUGAUAUUGCAAACGUAUAGUUUAACAUAGUUAGAAUAAGCUGAAAUUCAGAUAAACUACACUUCUAUUUGCAUACUUCGAAUCUGGAAAAUUUUAUUUUGAUUGAACCUGUAAUUUAUUUUUAAUGAUUUUUCAAACUCUGCUGCCUCUGCAGUAACUUCUUUUGACAGAACUGUUCAUUAAUCUUUGAUCCUAUCAAACACCAGCCUACUGAUAUCGGAAUAGCCUCAAAUUUUAAUAUGUUGUUGACUUAUAUGUCCACUUAAAAUCUAGAAAGUAUCAUUCUAAUAUAUUUAGUAUUUUAAAUUUAAUAAAUAUUCAAACACCUGCUGCUACUUUUACAGUUUCAUAUGCAAUUUUAACUUAUAUAGUUUUAUCAUGUGAGAAGCAAAUGUAUGGUUGUCCAAAUGACUUGGAAAUUUUUUUUGUGGUGCAUUGAAAUGUCUAAUUAUGUUUUGUAAGUUUCAUAGCAUUCCAAAUUGAAUUAAAGAAAAUCUUAAAUUCAAGUUGUCAAUGUUUCCUAUUAAAUCUUAUUAGUGAUAAAUCUACUAACUUGCAGUACUUUUCAGGAAAAAAAAUGUGUCAACACUGUGAAUUGCAAUGGGAGAAGAAAGUACUAAAGGCAUAAAUCUUUUUUCAUUAUAUUUGGGACUAUUCUUAAAGGUUAGUCUUUUCCUUUUUCCUUUUUUUCUUUUUUAUUUAAGGUAAUCAUAUUCAUUUUAAUUUUAAUUACAAUCAAUUUGGCGUUGUUAGACAACUCGCACCAACCAGUCCAACAGCAAAUGAAGAUAACAUUUUUGAAAUGCAUUCAGUUUUUGACAAUAGCAAAAAGAAAAAGGAAAAAUGAUACUAGUUUAGGCUUUAGGAAAUUUGCACCAUCAUUCUUGCACUGCAGCUGCCUCUAUCUCGGUGCUCUCGGAGAAGUAAUCUUGCUUGAUUUUGCGUGAUAGUUGAUACAAGCCCGUCCUAGCCAUUACAAAAUUGACACUAAAAAGGUUCUAGUUUUUCAUAUUGUAGUUUGAAAAGUCUGCAAUGUUUGCUAUGCUGAUGCCCCAUUUGAAUGUUGGAGCCCAAAAAUGAAUGGUUUUAGGACCAGCCGGGUGGUUCCAAAAAGCUAGGAGCUUGUUAGCUAUUCUUUUUAAUUGAACUAAUUUAACUUAAAUAUUAGCCCGAUUAUUGAUUUCUAUGGUUUGCCAUUGAUUUGAGUUUGACAUUCUUGUUUUGUGUUGGUUUGAGUUUGACAUCCUAGUUUAAGACUUUGAAGGCUUCCAAGAAAUGAUUUUGGAUGAUGAGCAAAUGAGUAAUAGUUUGAAAAUUAAUUUACUGUAUCAAAUAUAUACUUAGUGUAGCAUAUUAAUUUUAAGAACUAUGGAUUAUUCCUUGAAUAUUCUAGUAAAUGGUUAUGUUAUAUAUGCAUGUCUUAAUAUAUAAUAAUUAUAUUUUGAAGUUUGUUUUUUUUUUUUUCCCUUUCUAGGUUUAGGAAAAAUGUUUAAAGUGAUUUUGGGUUAUGAUGUCAAUCAAGUUAAAGCAACAUUACUUGUGAGUGGAAAUAUAUAAUGAUUAUAUUUUUAUUCUACUUUUUUUUUAUCUUCUUAAAGUUUUAUAAUUAGGCAAAAUUAAUGAAUACUUAAUUACAAUUUAGGGUGAUAUUCUUUAAAUGGUUCACAUGAAUAGAUUUAAGUAGUAUAAUAAAUCUCAUACUCACUUUAUAAAGGCUUAACUAAGUUUGCAAAUAUUAUUUCUUUUAGUAGUAAUAAUUUUGGAUCGAACUCUCAAAUUAUUGAAAUAUUUUAUGUCCAAACUUUAUUAUGCCUAAUAUAAAUAUUGAGAUUCAUAGUUAUUUUAUGCCCAGUUUAAGGAAACUGUAGUUUGAGGACUUAUUUUUUGCCUUGUUAAAUAAACUUUUAGAAUGAAUAAAUUGAGGAAAUGAGUGGUGAUUUAUUUAUAAUAGAGCAUUUGUGAUAGCUUUUAACUAUGCACAAAAAUCAUUUGGUAUAUGUAGAUAGAGUAACAUGCUUGUGCUGAAAGUAGAUAUUACAUUGAAAACUUCUUGUCUACUAUAGUUUGCUAUAUAUAUAACCUUUACCAAAAGAGAAUAAUUGAGUUUAUUUAUAAAUAGCUUAUGAGGAUUUUUUUUUUCUUUCGAACAAAAUAAUUUUAUUUCUGUUAAUUGUUGUUUCUCUAAUGGCUGGAUAUUGGCAGCUAAUUUUUUUUUUCUUUUCCAUGUAUUCAUAUGCAGCUUUGAUCAAUGUGUUUGAAGUGUUUAUUCCUCAACUUCACUUAUAUCAUAACCCAUACAGUCUAUUGAAUGGAGAAGCUGCUGGCGUGAUAACGCAAUUAUACUACUCAUAUUCAAACAGUGAAAGACAAUCAUCCUUCUCAAUUUAGCUUCUAGAUUUAUUAAAUUUAGCCACAAGUAGUAGGUAUUUGAUUGGAUGGUAGAAAUUUUUAUGUAUUGAAUUUGGAUUAUUGAGUUAUGAGAGUAGGAUAUCUCAUAUUUUUGUUAUUGAAGUUUUGGAAUUUGUAAUAUAUACUAAUAAUAUUUAAAUGUGAAAUGAAAGAUUUUGCGAUAUAAAUCAAUUUCUUUUUGUUAUUUUGUGGUGCUUUUUAAUUUUACCAAUAAAUCAAUAGACAAUGAUCCAAUUCUUUUUUUUUUUAAAUAAAUUAACUAGUGAUACUAUGGUAACAGUAAUCAUAGACACUAAUAAAAUAUCAAUAAUUACUAACACUAUGGUGUCAUAAUAUUGGUGAUACCGUAGUAAUAGUAAUCACUGACACCACUUACAAGUGUCACUAUUUUUCUGACUCCCAGAUUACUGGCACAAUUAACAAGUGUCAAUGAAAGUAAUUUCUAACACUAUUCUAAAGUCAGUAAAUACCAUUUUUCUAGUAGUGUUAACUAUCAAUCAUGUGAGUAUAUUUACUCAGAAAUAUCAUAUCAAUAGACAAUCUUGAUCCCACACACACGUAAAUAUGUUAAUUUCUAUACGCUUCACUUAACCUGUAGAAUCAAUUAUCUAAAAUGCAAGUUUGUGGCCACAAAAAAAGCCAAAGAAAGAAGAUAAUAACAAUUGACUUGUAUAUUAUGCUCAUACAAUCCACUCGACAUAAUGAUAUCAUUUUAAUAAGGCAAUGGCCGAUGAUCUCCAUUGAAAAACUAAUUCAAUUUUUUUGCUUCAUUUAACUUUUUGGUUGUUGAAAAUAACUUUAAUUAUCAAAUAAUUGGAGAAAGAGUAAAGAACAUUUAACAAAUUUAUGUGCAAAAAAAAAAAAAAGGAGAAGUUGAAGAGAAAGGGUGCUUGCAGAAGUGGGUGUCAAAGAAAAAUCUGUCCAUAAGAAUUAUUGCGGUUAUUUUUUGGCAAUGUAAAAUUUUUAUAGCAAGUAAAAAUUAAUUUUUUCCGAUUUACUAAAACAUUAACAAAAAAACUUCUGUGACAGCAUUUUUUAUGGGUGCAUAUACCCUCCCUUUAAAAAAAAUAAUAAUUAAUGCUUAAUAUAAUAUUAAAUACGAAAAUAUCAAUAUUUGACUACUCAAAUUUACAUCAUUAGGUCCUUAAAAUUUAAAAUUGAAGAUACGAAAGGAAGCAUAUAUAAAUUUCAUUCUCAUGAAAAGGAUUCUCUUAUAAUCUUAUAAUAUUUGAGUUUUGAAAUUUUUUUGAAACAAAUGUAAUUUUAUUUGUGUACAAUCUGAAAUGGCCCAAAACGUCAUAAAACUUUUCAAAUAGGUUCAAUUUCAGAACUUCCUAAAAAUAGUCGUCUUUCCCCAACUUUCUGAAAUUAUGAUAUAGCCCCAAAGAUUUUAUUAUUUCGCACAAAGGUCCUUUUCAACAUAAUACCCAUAUUUUUCAAAGUUCUCAAAACCUUUCACUUUAGUCCAAAAUAUUCAUAAAUUAUAGUAUGGCCCAAAACAUUUCAAAUGUUUGUAAAAACGUCCAACUCUGAAAUUUAAUACUUAUUAAAAACAAAGAUUUCAAAUCUUAGCAUUUAAAUCCAAAUUACUCAAAUCGAUAAAAUACUUUAUUUUAUAAAAAUAAAACCUUUUAGUUUAUGAAAAGUAUUUAAUUAAAUUAAUCUCUUGAGCUUCUCAAAUGCUAAAUCAUGCAUCAAUUAAAUCAUACCGGCUUUACAAGAAUUUAUCGCACUAAUUUGUUCGUUGAGCUCUAAACUAUAUUCUUGAUGUCGCCGUUGUCCGCUGAGUGUCUUCAAUCUUGAUUUCACUUGAUUCACUUGCAUAAAUAUUAUCCUUAAAAAACUAGUGAAAAUGUGAAAUACAAUAUUUAUUAAAUCACUCAAUACAUAUGUUUGUUAUCAUCAAAAUUACAUUAUGUAUAGCCCUUUAGGCUAACAAUCUCCCCCUUUUUGAUGAUGACAAACAUCUCAUGUAUUUUGACAUUUAUACUCCCCCUUAAUACAUGGCAUAUAUAAUUAAACAUAUAAAUCAAAUUCAAAACAAAAACUCCCCCUGAAUAUUUGAUUUAUGAUAAUUUGUAAGCUCCCCCUUAAUAUUUCAAAACCAUGCAUAAAUACUUGAAAUACAAAAUACGUAUUACAUGUCUUCAUAUUCAAAAUACAUGACUUCUCCCCUUCAUCAUCAAAAUUACUAGAAAUUCAUGCGAAGAUCGAUAAUAUGUCAAUGGUUAAUCAAGAAACAUAUAAUAACCAAACAUCCAAUUAACCAUUAAAUGAUCAUGAAUCAUCAUGCCAUCAAAAGAAUGUUCUAAAUGCAUAUUAUCCAAAAUCAUAUUGUAUGCUCCCCCUAAAUAUAUGGCCAAUUAAAAAAUUUAACCAAAAUGAUAUUAUCCAAAAACAUAUCAUAUUUAUCUCUCCCUUCAUAAAAAAUAGAUAGAUGCAAUCGAAACAAGAGCAUAAAAAAUAAUUCGAUAAAGAUAUUACCAAUUUUGUGCGAGCAAAAAUUUCGGCAGAGUCUCCCCUUAAAAUGAACAAAUCCUUAAAUAUACAACAUGGUUAAAAACACUUCCAUAUAAGCUGAAACAAUUAUAACAAACCAACAACUCCAUUAAUUCAUCAAGCAAUACACAUACAAUCAUCAAUCAUCAAAAGUACUAUAAAUCCAUGCUUAUACCAAAAAGAAUAUCUCAAUGAUUAAUCAAGAAGCAUAAAAAUAAAGCAUGCAAUUAAUCCAAAGAGUCAUAUUCAUUCUAAGAAUUCAGAAAAUAUCAUCCAAAUAUAAAUUAUCCAAAUAUUAAACAACCAUCAUCCGUAAUCCACAAUUAGAACAAUUAUGCAUAUGAAAAUGUAGGCGCAUAAUAUAAUAAGGAACCAUGGUAAUUUAAAAUACCCAAAAAUGCACAAAUUCGGUUUUGGAAAAUAAUUAGUGAAAUGAAUGAUUUUAAACCGAUUGUAUUGAUCCAAGAGAUGAUUUAAGAUAAUGGAUGGUGUUGAUUGGAUCAAAAGUGGACUAAAAAGAGUUUAAAUUGGAAGAGAAAGAAAUGGGUAAGUUAGGUUUUUUGAUUUUGGGUUUUAUGUGGAGAGAUAAUGAAAUCAAGUUUUGAGAGUGAAAAUUGAAGGAGUAAUGGAUGAAUAAUGAGUUGGAUGAUUGAUUUUAGCAAGAGAAUGAGUGAAAGAUGAAGAAAUUUGAGAAAGAAAAUGGAGAACACUAUUCACGCGUGAAUGAAAUGAGAAUGGAAUGAUGAAGAACAAGUGAAGAAAUCAUGAUGGAGAAGUGUUUAAUGAAGAUAAAAUGCAUGGGUAUUAGUUUGAAUGGUUGAUUUGGGCAUGAAAAUGGAUGAAAAAAGAAGAAAUUGAAAGUGAAAAUGGAUGGGUUGCUCACGGUUUUGAGUGAAAGAGAGAACAUGUGCAGAAAAUUAACAAAGGAAGAAGAAGAAGCAAAAAAAAUUUUCCCAACCCGUGACCAAGCGGCUAGCCGCUUGCUCUCGGGUUGGGGACAGUUUCCAAGCGGCUAGCCGCUUGGAACAGGCGGCUAGCCGCCUGUUCCAGCUGCACUCAAGUUGAUUUCCGACUAAUUUCGAUCAAUUUUGUGACCAUUUUGUGAUCCUGAAACAUCUCAAGAGCCAAUUUAAUGCAUGAUUCAUGAUUUUAAACAUCUAAAAGAUGAUUAAUUCAAACAAAUAAUCCAUCCAACAAGCAUAUAUUCAUGAAGCACAUAAGCAUUCAAAAAUUAAUAAAUCAAACACCACAUAUAUCUAACUUGCUCAAACACUUCAUAAACAUUAAUAAUCAUCAAGCAAACGAUUUUAAUAGAUUCAAUAACAUAAAUAGAGAUGUUAAUGCGAAAAUUUCAUCAUCCCAAGUUCAUGCCGAAUUUUUGAAAAUUGUUCUUCGCAAAGGGGUUUUGUAAAAAUAUCGGCAAGUUGUUUUUCCGUAAAGAUAAAUUCUAAUGCAAUAUCACCUUUUUGAACAUGAUCUCUCAAGAAAUGAUGCCUAAUCUCUAUAUGCUUGGUUCUAGAAUGUUGAAUGGGAUUCUUUGAAAGAUUUAUGGUGCUAGUAUUAUCACACUUGAUAGGAAUUUGUUCAAGAUUAAUACCAUAGUCUCUAAGUGUUUGUUUCAUCCAAAGUGCUUGUGCACAACAACUACCUGCGGCAAUAUAUUCCGCCUCAGUAGUUGAGAGUGUCACCGAAUUUUGUUUCUUACUAAACCAUGAAACAAGUGAAUGACUAAGAAAAUGGCAAGUUCCACUAGUACUCUUCCUAUCGACCUUGUGACCAGCAAAAUCGGCAUUCGAAUAACAAGCUAAAUCUAUAUGAGUUCCUCUAGGAUACCAAAGGCCAAUAUCUAUGGUUCUACUCAAAUAAUGAAAAAUUCUUUUAACAUAAAGCAAAUGAGAUUUCUUGGGACAUGAUUAAAAUCUUGCACACAAACAUACACUAAACAUGAUAUCGGGUCUACUUGCAGUUAAGUAAAGUAAGGAUCCAAUCAUACAUCGAUACUUUUUAAUAUCAACCACUUUACCUUUUUCAUCUUUAUCAAGCAUGAUUGUUGUACUCAUUGGAGUAUUCUUGGUAUUUGAUUCAUCAAUACCAAAUCUCUUGAGCAAGUCUUUGACGUACUUAGCUUGGUUGAUGAAGAUCCCCUCAUUGGUUUGUUUGAUUUGAAGUCUAAGAAAAUACUUCAAUUCUCCCAUCAUGCUCAUCUCAAAUUCCUUACUUAUACAAGAGGAAAAUUCUUUGCACAAAGAUUCAUUAGUAGAACCAAAAAUAAUAUCAUCAACAUAAAUUUGAACAACAAGUAUAUCUUGAUUUUUAUUUUUAAUAAAGAGGGUAGUAUCUGCUCUUCCCAUCGAAAAAUCGUUAUCCAAUAAGAAAUUUUUAAGCCUAUCAUACCAUGUUCUAGGUGCUUGUUUUAAUCCAUAUAAUGCUUUUGAUAACUUAUACACAUGAUUUGGAAAUUUCUCAUUUUCGAAACCAGGGGGUUGUUUCACAUAAACUUCCUCCAUAAUAUAACCAUUUAGGAAAUCACUCUUGACAUCCAUUUGAAAUAAAAUAAAAUCUUUAUGACAUGCAAAUGCUAACAACAUCCUAAUGGAUUCUAAUCUAGCUACAAGUGCAAAAGUUUCAUCGAAAUCGAUUCCUUCUUCUUGGUUGUAUCAUUGAGCCACUAAUCUACCUUUAUUUCUUACAACCACACCGGAUUCAUCCAUUUUAUUUCUAAAUACCCAUUUAGUGCCUAUAAUGGAUUGAUGUUCCGGUUUAGGAACCAAUUCCCAUACUUUAUUUCUCUCAAAUUGAUUUAACUACUUUUGCAUUGCCAUAAUCCAAAACUCAUCAUUUUCCGCAUUCGCAAAAGAUUUUGGUUCAAUUUGAGAAAUAAAUGCAGCAUGCUCACAUGUGUUUCUAAGUGAUGAUCUAGUUGUGAUACCUCUUGAAGGAUCACCUAAAAUUAAAUCCUUAGGAUGAGCGGAAACAUACCUCCACUCCUUGGGGAGUGUUUGAGAACUACCUUCUUGUUGCUCCAGCUCCAUAUUUGUUUGUUCUUCUUGUCUAUCCUCUUGAUUUUCUUGUGGUGCAUUCUCUUGAUUCUCUUUUGAUGAUUCUUCUUGUAAUUCUCCAUCUGCAUUAUCAUUAACAACUCCUUUCUCCGCAGAGGAGGGGUUAGAUUCAUCAAACGUAACAUGCAUGGAUUCUUCCACAACUAAAGUUCUUUUAUUAUAAACUCUAUAAGCUUUGCUUGAGUUUGAAUACCCGAGAAAGAUGCCAACAUCAGAUUUUGGAUCAAAUUUAUCAAGAUAAUCUUUUUUGUUUAAAAUAAAACAUUUGCAUCCAAAAACUUUGAAAUAACCAAUGUUGAGUUUUCUAUCUUUCCAAAGCUCAUAGGGAGUUUUAUUGAGAUGAGGUCUAAUCAACACCCGAUUUAAAACAUAACAAGCGGUGUUGACGGCUUCGGCCCAAAAAUAUUUUAGUAAUGCAUUUUCAUUUAACAUGGUCCUAGCCAUUUCUUGAAUAGACCUAUUCUUUCUCUCAACAACUCCAUUUUGUUGUGGAGUCCUAGGUUAUGAAAAUUGAUACUCAAUGCCAAAAUCAUUACAAAAAUUUUCAAAUGCAUGAUUUUCAAACUCUCCACCAUGAUCACUUCUAAUACAAGUAAUAGAAUAACCCUUUUCAUUUUGAACCUUUUUAUAGAAAAUUCUAAAUGCAUCAAUGACAUCAUCCUUAUUAGCUAAGAAUAAUACCCAUGUGUAUCUAGAAUAAUCAUCUACAAUUACAAAUGCAUAAAAUUUGCCACUUAAACUAGCAUAUCUAGAGGGUCCAAACAAAUCUAUGUGAAGUAAUUGAAGAUGUUUUAAAGUAGAGAUAUGAUUCUUGUUUUUGAAAGAGGUUUUGAUUUGUUUUCCAAAUUGACAUGCUUCACAAAUUCUAUCCUUUUGAAAACCAAUUUUUGGAAGACCUUUAACUAAAUCGUUUUUCGAAAUUUUUGAAAUUAAAUCCAUGCUUGCAUGUCCUAGUCUUCUAUGCCAUAACCAACCAUCAUCAUGCAAUGCCGAAAAACAUUUAUCAUGAGUAGAUGCACAUUCUAUAUCAAUCGUGUAAACAUUGCCACAUCUAUUUCCCAUAAACAAAAUUUUCCCAUCACAUGCAUUCUCAAUAACACAUCUUGAUUUAUCAAAAACAACUUUAUAACCUUUGUCACAUAGUCGACUAAUGCUAAUCAAAUUGUGUUUCAAAUUUUCAACAAAACACACAUUUUCAAUUAGAGUUGAAGAAAUUUUACCAACAUUUCCAAUUCCGAGAAUUUUUCCUUUUGAGUUAUCUCCAAAGGAUACAUCUCCACCAUUUUCGAUUUUGGUGAAACUUGAGAACCAUGCAUAGUUUCCUGUCAUAUGCCUAGAACAUUCGCUAUCCAAGUACCAUUUAUUUUUCUUUUUCUUCAAGCCCGGCAAAGAAAAUCUUAUGUCUUAGGUACCCAAACCUUUUUGGGUCCUUGAUCGUUAGCAAUGGUUCCUUUUGGAACCCACACACAUUUGACACCAUUAUAUGCAUUCCUUUUUACGGGACAUCUAUAUUUCAUGUGGCCAUUUUAAUUACAAUAAUGACAAAAAAUCUUAUGAUCAUUUGUGGAGGUAGCUUUAACAAAAUAAUUCUUAUAAUCUUUUGCUUCAAGUUAGGCUUAUACCCAAGUCCUCCUUUAUCAAAAACACAUUUUUGGGAGUUAAGCAUGUUAUCCAAUAUCUUUUACCCAUUUCUAAAUUUUAGAACAACAUUACUAAGUUCAAUAUUCUUUUUCUUGAGCAUUUCAUUUUCCUUUUUCAAAUCAUCUACAUGUGACUCUAAAUGCUCAUGUAAAGUGCUAGAUUUUUCAUUUAAUAAUGCAACUCUAUUAUGCAAGGUUUUAUUCUCUAAUUCUAAUCCUUUAAUCUUCUCAUUCAAUGACUCAUUGCAUUUUUGCAUGGCAUCCUUUUCAUUUGUAGAUUCUAGCAAUUUCUUUUUAAGGCAUGCAUUCUUUUUACUAAUUUUCAUCAACUCAUCAUGCAUUUCUUUAAAAGCAUCAUAUAAUUCAUCAUAGGUUGGAUCACUUACCUCAUUGAGAUCAUCAUCAUCUCCUAGUGCCAUAAGUGCUAGGUUUGAUACUUCUUGCGACUCAUCUUCAUCACUUGAAUCUUCAUCGCUAUCAUCCCAAGUAGCAACCAUAGCUUUCUUCUUGAGUUUGUUGAGAAGUGGGCAUUCCGAUCUUAUAUGGCCGGGCUUCUUGCAUUCAUAGCAUAUGAUUACCUCUUUCUUCUCCUUUUGGUUUUUGAAAUUUUUGAAUUUUCUUCGGUCACCGGGUUUCAUGAAAAAAAUUUUGAACCUCCUUGCUAGCAUAGCCAACUCCUCAUCAUUUGGCUCACUUUCCCCAUCACUCUCAUAUUUGGUGACUUUGAGAGCAAUGUUUUUCUUCCUUUCCUCAUUUCCUCUUUCAGCUGCUAAAUCUUCCUCAUAAAAAUAAGAAAACCAAUUAAAUCAUCAAUAGGUAAGAUAUUCAAAUCUUUAGCUUCCUCAAUGGCAGUCCUUUUUGGUCUCCAUUCCUUAGGUAACGACCUAAUGAUUUCUUAACUUUCUCGCUAUUUGAAAAGGUCUUUCCUAGAGCUCCUAGAGUGUUUACUAUAUCCGUAAAUCUAGUAUACAUAGAAUACACACUCUCAUUUUAUUCCAUUUGGAACAAUUCAUAUUGCCGAGUGUACCUACUAAUUUUAGACUCUUUCACUUGAUUCGUGCCUUCAUAAACAACUUCAAGUUUGUGCCAAAUUUCAUUAGCACUUUCACAACUAGACACUCUAUGAAACUCUUUCUUAUCGAGUGCACAAAGCAAGGCAUUCAUGGCUUUGGAAUUUAGAGAAGCUUUUCUCUUUUCCAAUUCAUUCCAUUCCCGUGAAGGUUUCGGAAUGUCUUCCCCAAUUUCAUUUUUAGUCAAAGGCAUAAAUGGACCAUCACAUACAACUUCCCAAAUUUCAUAAUCUAAUGCUUGUAAGUAAAUUCUCAUCAUAGUUUUCCAAUACGGGUAGUCAUUUCCGUCAAAGAACGGUGGCCUAGUUGUGGAUUGUCCUUCCCUAAAGAUUGAAUCAUUUUGGGUUGCCAUGGAUCUUUUACUCUAGACGGUUAGUCCUAACAAGAGAACCAAGCUCUGAUACCAAAUGAAAUGCAAGUAACGCAACCCAAGAGGGGGGUGAAUUAGGUUUUUAAAAUAAAUGCAAUACGAUUCGCACAAUAAAUCAAUCUAAUGCCUUAAUGAAAUAGAGAACAAUAAAUUCAAACAAGCGUAAAAAUAAAAGAGCAAGGGAAGAGAAAAAUGAACACGUGGAUUUUUACGUGGUUCGGCAAUCCCCGCCUACGUCCACGCCUCCAAGCCAACCAAGCUCGAGAAUUUCACUAUCCAAGCCUCCCAAGGCUUCAAGUUUUUACAAUUGACUUCCAAGGUGUCAAUGAACCUUUACAACCAAGAGAUUAUCUCCCCAAUCUCUUCACUCCAAGUGUUUCCCACACUUACACACUCACAAUUUGAUAAGAAAUGAAAAUUACAACAAAAACUCUCUUUAAGAGUGGAUAUGCAACUAAUAGCUCAAUAAUGAUUCAAUCAAUGAUGAUUUGUGUUUUGGAAGCUCAAUAUAUGUUGUAUGAUCUUAUAUUUGCGUGCAUUAGUUCUUAGAAUGAAGUUUGAGUUGAGUUUUUAUAGUGAAAGCCCAAAAACUAGCCGUUAUAGGCAAAUUCCCGCGCCCAAGCGGUUAGCCGCUUGAUUAUCUGGCUAGCCGCUCAGGAACAGUGAUAUUACCAUUAUCUUUAAAUUGCUACAGUACUACUGUUCACUAAAAUUACACUUUAGCCCAAAAUUUUCUAUAAUUAUACUUUGGCCCAAAACGUCAUAAAACUUUUCAAAUAAGUCCACUUUCAGAACUUCCUAAAAAUAGUUGUCUUUCCCAAACUUUCUGAAAUUAUGAUAUGACCCCAAAGAUUUUAUUAUUUCGCAUAAAGGUCCUUUUUAACAUAAUACCCAUAUUUUUCAAAGUUCUCAAAACCUUUCACUUUAGUCCAAAAUAUUUAUAAAUUAUAGUAUGGCCCAAAACAUUUCAAAUGUUUGUAAAAACGUCCAACUCCGAAAUUUAAUACUUAUUAAAAAUAAAGAUUUUAAAUCUUAGCAUUUAAAUCCAAAUUACUCAAAUCGACAAAAUACUUUAUUUUAUAAAAAUAAAACCUUUUAGUUUAUGAAAAGUAUUUAAUUAAAUUAAUCUCUUGAGCUUCUCAAAUGCUAAAUCAUACAUAAAUUAAAUCAUACCGGCUUUACAAGAAUUUAUCGCACUAAUUUGUUCGUUGAGCUCUAAACUAUAUUCUUGAUGUCGCCGUUGUCCGUUGAGUGUCUUCAAUCUUGAUUUCACUUGAUUCACUUGCAUAAAUAUUAUCCUUAAAAAACUAGUGAAAAUGUGAAAUACAAUAUUUAUUAAAUCACUUAAUACAUAUGUUUGUUAUUAUCAAAAUUACAUUAUGUAUAGCCCUUUAGGCUAACACAAUCAAUAUUUACUUAUUUAUUAUAUUUUAAUUUAUUAACUAUCAAUCAUGUAAGUAUAUUUAGUCAGAAAAAUUAUAUCAAGAGAGAAUCCUAAUUUCACGCAAACACAAAUACAAGAAAAAUAUGUCAAUUUCUAUACUAUUCACUUUCCUGUAGAAUCAAUUAUCUAAAGUGCAAGUUUGUGGCUACAGAAAACUCACCAAAGAAAGAAGAUAAUAACAAUUGAGCAUUGAUAGCAAAACUAAUGCAUCAUUUUCUUCUUGACUUGAUGAGAUGGCGCCAUUACAAAAAAACAAGUACCUUAAUUGACGGGCACUGAGUGAUGUGAAUACUACCAGCCAGUUCAUCUCUUCCAGUCUUGCUUAAUCACAAUCACAAACACCACGAGAUUGACAUUUGCAUUAUAUAAAUCUUCAGCAGUCGAAACACCUUGCAUUACCAAAUAAACCAGUAACAAACAAAGCAAUCUUUCAUGGAGAGGAACCUUAGUCUCAGUAUGAUCACUGUGUCAUUAACCCACUUCCUGCUUCUUUGCUUGGUUGUUGCAGCAGCAGCAGCAGCAAGCAACAAUAUUACCACAGACCAACAAGCUCUUCUUGCCCUGAAAGAUCAUAUAACUUAUGAUCCAACCAACCUGGUUGCCAUUAAUUGGACCUCGAACACCUCUGUUUGCACCUGGAUUGGCAUCACUUGUGAUGUCAAUAGCCACAGAGUCACAGCCUUAGAUAUUUCUCAAUUCAAUCUACAAGGCACCAUCUCUCCUCAACUUGGAAACCUCUCUUCACUCACAACACUUAAUCUUAGUCAUAACAAGCUUUCUGGAAAUGUUCCCUCCUCCAUCUACACCAUGCAUACGCUAAAAUUUCUAGACUUCACUGAUAACCAGCUCUCUGGUUCAGUGUCUUCCUUCGUCUUCAACAUGUCUUCAAUAUUAGACAUUCGUUUGACCAAUAACAGACUUUCUGGUGAGCUUCCAAAAAAUAUUUGCAACUAUCUUCCUCAUUUGAAAGCCCUUUUUUUGGACAAAAACAUGUUUCAUGGCAAAAUUCCUUCUGCUUUAUCAAAGUGCAAACAACUGCAACAAUUAACUUUGCAGUCCAAUAAUUUAUCCGGUGCAAUACCAAAAGAAAUCGGCAACUUGACCAUGCUCAAAGGGAUAUAUCUCGGCUACAACAAACUCCACGGUUUGUUCAUAAUACUAUAUAAAUAUUUUAAUUUAUCACUUAUUAUCUUUCGUGAAUAAUUUAGAUAAGAUCUUGUAAGUGACAUUUUUUGCAUCUAUGUUAAUUUACCAGGUGAGAUACCCCACGAAAUCGCUAAUCUUCGAAAUCUAGAAGCUUUAAUGCUAGGAAUGAACAACCUAGUUGGUGUGGUAUCAGCUAGAAUCUUCAACAUGUCAACACUGAAGGUAAUUACCCUCAUAAAUAACUCUCUCAGCGGUAGUCUUCCAUCAAGAAUAGACCUUUCACUUCCAACUAUUAACGAGCUUAACUUGGCACUUAAUAGAUUUUCUGGAACCGUUCCUAGUUCCAUCACCAAUGCUUCUAAGCUCACCUUGCUAGAGUUGGGAGGAAACACAUUUUUGGGAUUUAUUCCAAACACAAUUGGUAAUUUAAGAAACCUUGAGUGGCUCGGCUUGGCUAAUAACUACUUGACAUCUUCAACCUCAAAAUUGAGCUUUCUUUCCUCUUUGGCAAAUUGCAAGAAAUUAAGAUCCUUAUCCUUAGAACGCAAUCCACUUGGCGGCUUCCUUCCAAGUUCAAUGGGUAAUCUUUCUAUGUCUUUAGAAACACUUUUUAUCGCCAAUUGCGGUAUUAUUGGCAAUAUUCCUCAAGCAAUUAGCAAUUUAAGCAACUUGCUGGCCUUAGUAUUAGAAGGCAAUAAAUUGACUGGACCAAUUCCAAUUACAUUCGCCCGACUGCAGAAACUUCAAGGCUUAUAUCUUGCAUCCAAUAAGUUGGUAGGUUCAUUCCCAGAUGAGCUUUGCCAUCUAGGUAGGCUGGCUGAAUUGGCCUUACUUGACAAUAGGCUUUCAGGAUCUAUACAUUCAUGUGUAAGUAAUCUCACUUCUCUAAGAUAUCUCUAUUUAGGGUCCAAUAGGUUUACUUCUGUCAUUCCCUCAACUUUCUGGAGCCUAAAAGACAUCUUGUUUUUUGACUUUUCAUCAAAUUUCUUGGUUGGUCCUCUUUCUUUCGACAUAGGUAAUUUGAAGGUGCUUCUAGGAAUAAAUUUAUCAGAAAAUAACUUAUCGGGUGAUAUGCCAGCCACAAUUGGAGGACUAAAACACCUUCAAAUUAUGGACCUAGCAUAUAAUAGAUUGGAAGGGCGAAUUCCCGAAUCAUUUGGUGAGUUGACAAGUUUGGAGGUUUUGAAUUUGUCAAAUAAUAAAAUCUCUGGGUCUAUUCCAAAAUCCAUGGAGAAACUCUUUUACCUCCGAGAGUUAAAUCUCUCUUUCAAUGAACUUGAAGGUGAGAUUCCUAGUGGAGGAAUUUUUGCCAACUUCACAGCUGAGUCAUUUAUGGGAAAUGAGUUAUUGUGUGGUUUACCAAAUCUUCAAGUCCAACCAUGCAAAGUUAGCAAGCCGAGGACAGAACAUAAAUCAAGGAAAAACAUACUUCUCAUUGUGAUUGUUUUGCCAUUGAGUGUUGCUCUAACAAUAGCAAUCACUCUAGCUCUCAAAUCUAAGCUGAUCGAAUGUGGAAAAAGAUGCACAGUGUUGUCAAAUGAUAGUGUCUUGUCAUCACAAGCAACACUAAGAAGAUUUUCAUACUUAGAACUUUUACAAGCAACAGAUAAUUUUGCUGAAAACAGCGUAAUUGGCAUAGGAGGUUUUGGUUCUGUUUACGGUGGAAGACUUGAAGAUGGGAUGAAGAUUGCAAUAAAAGUGUUUCACCAGCAAUGUGCAAGCGCAUUGAAGAGUUUUGAGGCUGAAUGUGAAGUGUUAAAAAAUAUUCGCCAUCGAAACCUUAUCAAAGUUAUCAGCAGUUGCUCGAACGAUGACUUCAAAGCAUUAGUCCUAGAAUACAUGUCCAACGGGAGUUUGGAGGAUUGGCUGCAUUCGAGCAAUUACGUGCUGAAUAUUUUUCAAAGGUUGAACAUAAUGAUUGACGUUGCAUCAGCUUUAGAAUAUCUCCACUUCGAUCAUUCAACUCCUAUUAUUCAUUGUGACUUAAAGCCUAGUAAUGUAUUGUUGGACGAAAAUAUGGUUGCUCAUUUGAGUGAUUUUGGCAUAGCAAAGCUUUUAAGUGGAGAGGAUGAGUAUGUGAUGCGAACAAAAACCCUUGCCACUAUAGGUUAUAUGGCACCAGGUUUGCUUCAAACAACUUUUGUUUUUAGUUCAUUUUAAAUUUUCAAACUUAUUGAUUUUUACAAUCCUCACAUCAAAAUUUUAUUGAUUAUUUAUCUAAUUGUGAAAUUAAUUUGAUUCAUAGAGUACGGCAUAGAAGGAGAAGUAUCUACAAAAAGUGAUGUUUACAGUUAUGGGAUUAUGUUGAUGGAAACUUUUACCGAGAAAAAACCCACAGAUGAAAUUUUUGUUGCAGAAUUGAGCUUAAAGCGUUGGGUUAAUGACUUGCUUCCUACUUCAUUAGUGGAAGUUGUGGACAAAACUCUGCUAAGUGGAGAGGAAAAACAUUCUGCAGCAAAGGAGCAAUGUCUGUUGUCUAUCUUUAGUUUGGCUCUGGAGUGUACAAUGGAAUCACCGGAAAAGAGGAUUAAUGCAAAAGAUAUUGUUACCGGAUUACUCAAGAUAAGAGACACAUUGAGUAAAAGGAUAGGAAAUUUAAGUUAAUUUCGUUUGCUUCCAUUGAUAGUUAAUCUGAAUUCAUGUAAUAAGUGUAGGAAUGUUAUAUCUUUUCCUUUCAUAUAUUUUUUUUCCUUGAGAAAACUGUUGUAGUCAUCUUGUUUCCAUGGACAGAGUUGAUUUAGUUCUUCCAAGAAAUGCUACUGAUGACAUUUGUUUUAUACUUUCUCUUUUUUUGCAUGCGUUUAGGUAGAAUAGUGGUCUAGCUGCAGGCUAAUAAGUCAAGCUAUGCCAAAAGCGUAUGAUUUAAUUUAUUAAACAUAACUUCAAGUUCAAGAAGUGUUUCUCAUUGCCACCAAUGCUUUGGACACCUGUUGGAAGGUUUGUUGUCCUCAGCUUUUGUUUAGAGCAAAAGUUCGAGUCCCAUAAAGGCUCAAACAUUCCUUUCCUUCUGUCCCAAGGGCGCCUUCUGUCCUCUGUUUUCUGUUUCCACACACAAAUAGCCAAAAGAAUUUAGAAUGACAACUGGGACAUAUAUAAGAGUGAAAUAAUUAAAAAAAUAAUGCUUUCUUGUUUGUCGUGUUAAAAUCGUAAGUACCGAAGUACUGUGAAAGAGAUUGAUUUACAGAAACUGAAGCCAAGGGUUCAAAAAAAAAGUGCAAAGAGAAUAAUUGUAUUGGUAGCACAAUGUCAUAUUCAUACAGAGAUCAAGUAUAUUAUUUACGGCUGGUAAGGACUAAGAAUUGAUGUAGCUAGAAUGCGAAGAUGAUAAGGUAUGUUGUGCACUAUUGUUUUAUUCUACAAUCAAUCUUGACCCUUGAUGCUUGGCUCUCAAUCUUGUCCAUUGAUCUUCUCUGAUUUGGGAGACUUGAAGACCUUUCAGUAUCCUGCCUUGUUGUUGGUAUCUUCCAUGCUGUAGAACCGCCGACUUGCCAAGUAUUUGUUCAUUGAUGCAUUUUAUGAAACAGUUGGCCUGCUCAUAGCAAACAGCUCCUGUGUUAACUCCCCCUCCAUAGCUCAACUAUCUGGGAAGACAAUUAAUUGAGCUUGUUUCACAAUUAUAUGAAUCUGAAAGUUCAAUUUUAAAAAUUACAUUCGGACUCUACAUUUUCUAAUGAACAUUGGUUUGGCUUAUAAGCUUAAUAUG